rnacentral:lncRNA from 1 species
AGCCUUUUGGAAGACAUACAACAGAUCCGUCGGCUUGGGAGUUCAACUCAUCAAGCCUAGCAUUACUUUCUUCUGAACUCAUCCCUUCAACCUCCCAAUUUUUUAUCCGACCAUAAAAUUCUUCUAAUUUUUUUAUCGUAAUGGGAGAAACAGAACCGGUAUCAAUAUAUAGAAGUUUCAAUUGGCGAAGUUCAUCCCACAAUUCUUCAGGAAUUUCAAUGGGAGACUUUCGGAGAAAAAGAAUUUGAAGUCCCUUCAACUUUCCAAGAAAAGACGCGUCACUCACAUCACAUUGAAUCAACUGCAAAACUCGGAGUUUUUUGUCGAGGAAUCGAAGCGAUUUUAGUGAAAGGACUCCACCAAUUAUAGUAACAACUUUCAAUGCUGGCAUCCCUUUAAAAAAAUAUUCUGGAAUUUGCAAUUCGUAAAAAUAUUCGGUGUUCUCCAAUCGCAGAAUAUGAAGGUUAGGGCAUUUCAAAUCACUAGGAAGCUCUUCUUCUUUUUUAUCUACGACAAAAGACAUUCCCCUGCACUGUUGCAGGCCUUCUUCCACCGCCCGUUCCACCAUUUCGAUGCCAGUUACACUAAAAAAUCUCUCCUCUUCCUCCUCCUUCGUUUUGCUUAUCCAUAUGGCUACAUCACGGACUACGUCAUGCAUUUUCACAGAUCUGUCAUUACCAGUGUCUAACAGCAAUGAAGAAGCUUUGAGCUCUUUCAUCGUUCCACUCAGUAGGCUUCUGGUGUUCUCUAUUGACUCAGCUUGAUACCAAGUCAACCCUACUGCAUAUCCAACCAAAUCAUCCAAAUCUAUCUCAUAAUCCUCUGGAAACAAAGAACACAACAAGAAGCACGACCUGGAAUCCUCACCAUUCAAAUAAUCGUAACUAAAUUUGAGACAACCGUAAACAUCUCGGUUCUCCAUAUCAAUACCUUCUAUUGCAUAGAGUUUUGCAGCCUUUAGGUUAUGUAGAGCUAGAUUCCAUUCAUGAAAUCCUUUUCCUCUUAGUGCACUUCCAACAGCUUCAAUGGCUAAAGGCAGCCCGCUACAUUGGCCAGCAACAUCUUUGGAAACAUCAUUCAAGGUGGAGUCAUUUGCAUCAAUGCCGGCAUUUUUUUGCAGUAAAGCCAACCCUUCUUCUGCCGUUAGUGUACCCAGUUGAAUCUGCGGGUCACAACGCAUGCUUUUACAAACUGACUGCAGGCGAGUGGUUAGAAGGAUUUUACAAAGAUUGUCGCUAUCACCAACAGGAAUACCUAAUUUUUCCUUCAAGUCGAGAGCAUUCCAGACAUCAUCGAUGAUUAUGAAGAUCUUGGUGCUUUUACUGUCAGAAAACAUCGAGCGCAAUCGGUCUACUCCAUGGUUUUCAUCUUCCUGUUUUAAUUCCCAACCUAACGACUUCAUCAGCUCGUUUCGAACAUUUAUUAUGUUUGGAUGCCGAGAUAUAGUGGCUAUCCCCACCUUAUCGAAAAUGUUUUUUUGCCGAAGUUGAUUGCCCACAAAUUUUGCCAGGGUUGUCUUUCCUACACCACCGAGACCAUACAAUCCCACCAUCUUUGUGCUCUCUUUUUUCAGUGCGUCAAUGAUCUGAUUGCAAGCUGAUUCUCUGGUCUCGAAAGUAGAAGUAAAAUGACUUGGCAAACUUAAUUUUCUCUCUAAUGGUAGAGGUUUAGGAAAGGCAACUGUUUCGAAUUGGCUGCAGUCUAGCAGAUCAGACAACUUGCAAGUCUUCUCUGAUGCUUUUCUGCCCAGACGAUACCGGCAACACCAAUUAGGACACAAUCCAUGAAGACUACUAUCCUUUUCAUCUAUCUCUGCUUUCAACUUCCAAACAUCGUCCAAUUCUUCGACUCCAUUAUUCAGCCACUCCAUUACAUUUUCAUCGACUACUAUGUCGGGGCAUUUUCGCAGUUCAUCGUCUAUUCUUGUUUUGAUGCCAUCUCGUGCCUUCUUCAACUUAGUUUCUUUAUCCUCAAGUUCUUUAACAAUGCUGUUGAAACAGAACAUAUAGCGAGCUUGGUCAAUGGCUGCAUUCACCAAUAAUUCUUCAACCUUUGAUUUUAAAGCUUCCAUGCUAUUUAUCUGCAAAUAACGAAGUUGGUCUCAGCACGCUAUUAGCGAAACAACAAGGAUUGAUCACCAGACAAAAUGAGAACGUUUAAUUACCUUUUUCUGUACUGUGAAUGCCCGUCUAGUAACACCAGCUUUGACCAAUAAGAGCAAAAUGCAGAGGCGGGGCCUUAAGAGUUUCGGUGGCCUUUAGCUGCAAAACGGCAGAUGACAAAUAAGGUAAACGUUCCCAGCAAACGUGAUUUACGGUGAAUUAUAUUCAAAUUAGAUUAUUUUAAAAGUUGGUAAAUUAUUUAUCACUCUAUCUUAAUGAUAUCUUAUUUGGGAUGGUAAAGAUUGGGGUAAAUUCCCUUUUAUUCUCACAUGUUUAUAGUAUUUAUAUUUUUAUAAAUUACCUAAAACAUCCAUGUAACUUACUUUUAUAGCUAUUGAGCAUAUCAUUUCAAAUAUAAAAUACUAUUUCUGUCUAAUAUAAAUUAAAAAUCAAACAAAUCUAUCAUGCAAUAAAUGAAAAGUAAAGAAUAUUAAUUAGGUUUUAAUGGAAACAAAUAUAAAACAUAAAGGUUUUGAGUAACUUUUGUGAUUUUUUUUUUAAUGUUCAAUUUAGAAUUGAAUAAUUUGCAUAAUGAAAUUUUGAGGUUUCUAUAAUUUAUAUGAAGAUAAACUGCAAAAUAAGUUUAUAUGCCGAAAUUAAAAUAGUUAUAUAUUAGCAAUCAUAUAAUUAUCAAAACAUUUAAUAAGACUUAUUUAAAAAUUGGCCAAUUGUGUUUCAUGAGGAAAACAGAGAGCAUUAUGGACUUAUAUUGGGUCUUGGGAUUGAAAAACUAAGGGUAAGGGGCCGGGAGGUAGGACGGUAGGAAAAUUAUUAUUAUUAUUUUUUUAAAUAUGGUCAACAAUACUGACUUGGAGGUGAUUGCCGUUAAUAAAUUAUCUUUAACUUAAGAAUUAAUACAAACAAAUGGCAAGAAUAAUAUAAUGAAAAUUAAUGUAAUAAAAAAUUGCAUUAAAAGACUUAGAACUUAAAAUUCUCGACCAUUUUAUCUGUGUAUGUUUUUAAUCCAACGUGCAAAAUUGGCAAAAAACAAAGUAAUACAGCCAUUAAAAGUAAAACAAACAUCUAGUUAAGAGCCUAUGAAACAAUAAGAUCUCAUACCUUUUUCGUUAUAGAUCCUAAUUACUGAUGAAAGCUCUAAUUAAGAGAGUCGCACAAGUUCAGAGAAAAUUAAAAGCUGCAUCCAGCAAUGUAAAUAAACAUCAGAUCAAAACAACAUAAGCAUAUAUCUAGCUAACUAAACAUCAUCUAUAACUCCUUGUUCUCUGUCAAAUCUUUCAUUCUUAGGUUAAAAAAAAAAAUUGAAAUAAUAACUAUUAAGUGAUAUAGGAAGCAGAGGUAAUGUACCCAGACAUGACAGAUCUGUGACUUCAAGAGUAUGAAAAAUCAUUGAAACUUUGGGAGAAAGGUCUGAGUCAUGAGUCAUGUUUCACAAGUUGCCAUUGACUUCGUGGGUUGCUUUUAUUUAUUAUUAUUAUUUUUUCAAAUUCUAUAUCAGUGAGAAUUGAAAUGUGGAAAGUGAAAUGAUACACAUGCCUUAUCAUCUAUCAUGAGGGGUAAUUUAGUAAAAUUUAUUUAAAAUAAAAAAAAAGUUUAAAACAAUUUAAUAAGAAGCUUUGUGUCCAACUGUUUGUAUAUGGGGUGUCUCUUGGGUUCUUGAGAGAAUCAGUUUAAUUAAAUAUAAGAUUUUUAUUUUUCUUUUAUAUAUUCCUCAAUUCAAAAUAAUGCUUUUUCUGAUUAAAUAAAUGAAAAUUGACGUACAAUCUGUCCUGAACACACCAUUCAAUUGACCGUUUAUUUCCCCUUAAAUUUUUAAUCUCAAUGAAACAUAGAUAAAAUAGGAACCACACAUCCAUAAAAAUACUAUAGAUUGAAGAAAAUGAAUUUUUCUUGUAAGUAUUUUUGGUUCAUACGAAAGAAUUCUAGCAAGUUAAUACAAAAGUACCAUAAAUUUAUAGUAGUACAAGAGAUUUUUUUUCAUUUGCUGUUAAGAGUUUUCGAGAUGCAAAAAAAUGGGCGAAGGAUGAAGAUGAGAGAAGAAAAAAUAUUAAGAAUAGUUUUGGCAUUUUGAUGGAUUUUAUAGAGUAAAACCUAUAUUUGCAAAUCUGACAAUUUUUAAUGGGGUGUUAUGAAAUAAAGGUGUUUAAAGUAUAAAUAGGUAUACCCAAAAUUUAAUAAAGUUCGAUCAUUUUCUAUUAUGAAAACCUAUAUUUGACUAGUAUGAUGUUAAUUUUGGGGUCCAACUAUAGUGUACAGUUGUAUAGUACGACAGUUAGAUUCAGCUAUUGAAUUUAUCUCUAGUGAUAAUUAGAGGUUAAAUUCAAUGAUCAAAUAUAGUUGUAGUACCAUAUAACUGUGGUAUCAUAAAUUUGCCCUUAAUUUUGAUAAGUCAUUUUUUGGUAGAUUAUUUUUCUGACACGCUCUCUAGUUUUGGUGAAAAAAAACUGUAUAGUUUUAAGGAAAAAAAAUAAUAAAUCAACAAAAUAUAUUGUUGUUUUCGACAACUUCUGCGCUGUCAAGUGCGCCUGGGCAUUGCCUUCUUCAUGAUCAGUAGCAAAACGGGCAAAGUGGAUAUGCUAAAAGUGAUGAAAAUUGAAAAGCCACACGUUAUAAUAGUUAAAAAGAGUAAUAGAGAUUCGAAGACUUCAACAUCCUUUUGCAAGUGCACUCAUGAUAAAAUUUGAAGGAUUUCAGGGCUAUUACCCCCUUUUUUCUUUAAUCAAUAUUUUUAAUAAAAUAAUAUCAUAAUUCCCAAAUAAUAUCCGUUUUUUUAUUCAAGUUUUCAUGAUACCCACCUAUUGGAUAAUUAAUUUAAUUAUUUAUUACUCUUAACUUAAAAUAUAUAAAUAAGUUAAUUUUUUGUUAAAUUAUUUAUUACUCUUAUCUAAUGGGUAUUUUAAAUAAAUUGAAGUGAAGAGUAUUUUAGUAAGUUAAAAUAAUCCAUCAAUAUUUUUAAUGUAUAAAUAUGUUCACUUACUGAAUUACUUUUGAUAAUAAAAUAUAUUAAUGGACCAAUAUGUUAAAAUUUUAAAAAUUAAUAUUUUUUUAUUCUUUUAGUAAAACAUAAGAGACUACAUCUUUAAUAUCCAAAUAAUAACUUCUUGGUUUGGUUGGAUCAAUGGUUUGAUCACAAAAAGACAAAAAAAUAAGUAUGAAACUACAAUUAUACUGUAACUGGACUCAUUAAUUUAAUCAUUUGUUAAAUUAUUUAUUAUUCUAUCUUACCAUAUAUCCAAUGUAUAUAAAUGUCACCUUAUUUGGGGUGGUAAAGAUUGGGGUAAAUUGAAUAAUUUGUAUCAGAAUAAUUUAGGUUUGUGUAAUUUAUAUGAAGAUAAUCUGCAGAAUAAGCUUAUAUGUCAGUUUUAAAAGAGGGAUAUUAGUAAUCAUAAAUUUAUCAGACUUUUUAAUAAAGAUUUUGUUUAAAAAUUGGCCAACUGGGUUUCACGAGGAAAAUAGAGGAGCAUGAACGGCGGCACUUUUAAUUUUUAUUGUUGUUGUACAAAUGAAAUUUCAAAAGAUUGAAAGGCUAAGGGGCCAGACGGCCAAUAGGAAAAAUUAAUUUUAUUUUUAAAGUAUGGUAAACAAUACUGACUUGGAGGUGAUUGCCGUUAAUAAAUUAUCUUUAACUUAAGAAUUAAUACAAACAAAUGGCAAGAAUAAUAUAAUGAAAAUUAAUGUAAUAAAAAAUUGCAUUAAAAGACUUGGAACUUAAAAUUCUCGACCGUUUUAUCUGUGUAUGUUUUUAAGGCAAAGCUUAUGUUACAUUGGCAGUAUGUUACAGCCAUAAAGUUUUAAAGCCUUAGAAAAUACAAUAAUUGUUAAAAAGUUCAAUAAGUUCUAAAAUUUUACUUUCAACCCCAAGCUGCAGCUAGACAGCAGUACUGCAAUUACUUCAAUUUUUUUUGAAGUUUUUCAUUUUAUUUUAUAACAAAUUUAGUACCAAAUUACUCAAUAAUUAUUUUUAUUUUAUUUAAUUGAAUCUCUAACUUAUUAUCUAUUGAGUUUUUAUUCAUUAUAUUAAUAAUCUCUUACUUUAAUAUAUCAUGAUUUUCAAUGUUGAAAUCUUUCAUUAAUUGUUUAACUUUAUUAAAUUAUUUAAUCAAUUGAUCUCUUAACUUUUUAUUUUUUUAUUUUUUUCAUUAAAAUUAUUAAUUUCUAAUAUGUUGUUUAUACUUUCUAUAUCAUUUAUAAAUAAAUUUGGAUUUUCUAAUUUAUUUAAUAAAAAUAAUGACAUUCAGUUUAAUCGAUUAUUUCUCCAUAUCUAAAUCAUUGAUCAUAUCAAAGGAUUUAAAUCUUCUAUAGAAAAAUUAUUUUUGCCUAUAACUAGAAGGUGGUAACUUAUUGAUUUUUAUGUUUUGUGAAAUUAUUGGAGGUUUCGGUAAUUUAUUCAUUAUACUAUCUUUCUAAUAAUUUAUUAAAUUCAUAACAUAUUUAUCACAUAUAAUAUCUCUUAUAAUUCAAGAUACUAAAUGUAGAUUACAAAAUCUAUGUGACAAAAUUGAUGGUAUGUUUUUAGGAUAAAAAAAUAGAUUGAAUAUAUUUGUGUGUGCGCAUUAGAAGAAAAAUCUUGAUUAUGUCACAAGAGGGACAAAAAAUUAUAAAUACAUGUGCAAAAAGACAUUUAAAAUUUGUGAAUUUUUAUGAAUAUGAUAAUGGUAAAAACUCUAUAAAGUUUAAAAAUAGAUAUAGAAGAGAUGGACAACAAAACUAUUUAAUUAUACAAAAUCAAUGAGAACUUAUUUUAAAAAAUAGUAAAUAUGUGAUUAAAAAUAAAUUUUUUAUAAAUUACUAUCACACCUAUACUUGAUUUUAGGUUAAAAUAGUUCACCAUUAGAUUUAAAAAUUUGUCAAAAUCAAUAACCCAUAUUUAUUGAUGAUUUGUUACAUUGUUUGUGACAUAAGCUUUCCUAACGUGCAAAAUUGCCAUUAAAAGUAAAACAAACAUGAAGCUAAAAGCCUAUGAAACAAUAAUAUCUCAUACCUUCUUCCUUAUAUAUCCUCAAUUACUCCCCAAAGCUCCAGUUAGAGAGUCGCACAAGUUCGGAGAAAAUUAAAAGCUGCAUCCGGCAAUAUAAAUAAACAUCAGAUCUAAACCACAUAAACAUAUAUCUAGCUAAUUGAUAUAGGAAGGAGAAGUAACGUACCGAAAUGAGAGCAGCUAGUUCACAGAUGACAGAUCNNNNNNNNNNNNNNNNNNNNNNNNNNNNNNNNNNNNNNNNNNNNNNNNNNNNNNNNNNNNNNNNNNNNNNNNNNNNNNNNNNNNNNNNNNNNNNNNNNNNUUAUUGAGAGGAUGAGUUUAAUUAAAUAUAAGAUUUUCACUUUUCUUUUAUAUAUUUUUCUUUAGAAUGAAUUUAAAUCUCAUUCUUAUUAAAUUCAUUCUUUUUAAAUGAAAGUAGAUUUUUUUACACAAAUUUUAGGUCUAUUUUAUAAUUAAUGUUCAACAAAUCUCUAAAUUAUAUUAUAAAAUUUUAUUUAAAAUCUCAACAGAUUUCAUAACACACAAAAAAAAUACAUAUAUAUAUAUAUAUAUUUAUAUUGUAAUGUUCUAACAAGAGAUCUUAAAUUUAAAAUAAAAAAAUAUGUGUUUUAACAUAUUACAUAAUAAAAUAUAUUAUAUUAAAGUGAGUAAUUUAUUUAUUUUUUAUUUUAUCUCUUAAUUUAAUAAUUUAAAAUAUCUUUUAUUUAAUAAUAAUUAUUAAAAUUUCUGUUUCCCAUUAAACGCAGCAUAAGUGAAGCAAAGGACAUUUUGGAGGCGUCUACCGACCUACCAUUUUGGAUUGCAAUAAAGUGAAGGGUCCCGCUAACUUACAGCUUAUGUCAAUUACAUUCAUAACAAAUUAAUAAUUGUCUUUUGUUCAAUUAUCUGUUCAUUUCUUCAAUCAAGUCCUCGUAUCCUUUUAAUUUAUGAUAAGAUCCUCGCAUGGACCAGAUCUGCAUGUGUGAUAAUUACGGCGGGACCCCCAUUUUUUAAUUUCAAUGGUCAGAUCAUGAUUACACUUACAGACCCACAGAAUAAUGCCAACAACCAAAAAACUGUAAAUUUCCAUGGACACAAAUACCCCCAACCAGUGCUUGCUAAGUACUCAAACUACACAUAUAUAAAUUAAUCACAUGUAUAUUUUACCAUUGACUCUAACAUUAGAUUCCCGCUAAACCAACCCAGUGUCCUUUUAUUUUUUAGCAUUAAUAUUAGGGUCCCGCUAACCUUAAUAUUAGCGAGACCCAAUGUCCUUUUAUUUUUCACCAUUUCUUCAAUUAAGUCCUCAUAUCUUUGAUUGUUAAUUCUGAGCUGAUGAAUAAUUUCUUCGCCCAUCGUUUCUACAUUUAUUAAAAAAAUUUAACUUUUCGCUGUACUUUUAUAAGGGUCUAAUGUUUAUAAAAAUUUAUAAAUUCUAAACACAUUUUAACACUUAUAUUUAUAAUUUCUUAUUUUUCUUGAAACAUAAAUUAAAUUUUUUCUUUUAAUAUGUCUAUAUAUAUUUCUAAUCUAUUUUUCCAUCCAAAGUACACACCAUCAUCAAUAUUCUCAUCUCUCGCCACUCUCAUCUUCAAACUUUCUUGGUAAAAAUUUCAAUUAUGAAACAAAAUUAUCAUCCUCUAUGCAUUUUAUUUUAAUUUUAGAAAUAUAUCAAGAAUCUCAUGCCAACAUUUGUGUUAAGAGAAGAAAACUUCAUACUACUAAACACUUUCUGAGAGACAAUUGCUAGAAAGUCGCCCAAAGAAUUCUUUUUAGACUAAUUUACAGUAUAUCAUGUUGGGCCGUGUGGAACAAUAGUUACAUGGUAAUUUUUUAAUGGGAUAUCUUUAAAGUUAUUAAGUUAAAAAUAAAAAAAAUACAUAUUUUAACAUAUUACAUGGUAAAAUAUAGUGUAUUAAAAUGAGUAAUUUAUUUAUUUUUUUAAUCUUAUCUCUUAAUUUAAUAAUUUAAAAUAUCUUUUUAUUUAAUAAUGGUUAUAUAUAUAUAUAUAUAUAUAUAUAUAUAUAUAUAUAUAUAUAUAUAUAUAUAUAUAUAUAUUAUAAAAAUAAAAAUAAAACAAUUUAAGUCUACCGACUUACCAUUUUGGAUUGCAAUAAAGUGAAAACAGUAUACUACCAAUCUCCUGUUUUGGAUUGCAAUAAAGUGUAAAUGGGUUACUUUCAAAAAAGAAAAGGUCACAGUGAGUUGUCAAUUUCAUCCUUGUCGGCCAAUAAUACAUCAACCUUUUGCUGGAUUUUUAUCACCGACAAAGACAAAUUAUUGAGUCGGGUCCCGCUGACUUACAGCUUGUGUAAAGUUACAUUCAUAACAAAUUGAUACUUGUCUUUAUUAUAAAUUAUUCUUCUAUUCAAAUAUGCGUUCAUGUCUUCAAUCAAGUCCUCAUAUUCGCUCAAUUUAUGAUAAGAUCCUUGUAUGGGAGCAUAUCUGCAUAUGUAAUAAUUAUUCUUCUAUUUCAGAUAGUUUUUGUGAAAAAAAUACUUUUAUCAAUUAUUUAUGUUUACUAAUUCUUAAGUCUUUUUUUAUUACUUUUCAUAGCUCUAUACAAAUGUUUGCUAUAGAAUUUGUGUUAUUUCGCUAUAAUAUAAUUUAUAUUGUAAACCUCUAUUCAUCUGUAAAUAAAAUGACAAUUUUUUUGUUUACUCCUAAAAAAUAUGAAAAUAUCAAUUUACUCUCAUAUUUAUUUAGAAGACAAUGGCAAAUAAGGCGGCAUUGAUAAUUUUUUUAAUUUACUUAUUAAUUAAUUAGAGUAAAUUAAUAUUUUCAUAAUGAGAGAUACAUUGAAGAUUGUCAUUCUUAGUAGAGGAUAAAUUAAAGUUUACCUAAUUAAUUUAAAAUAUCAUUAAAAUUUAACAUUCUAAUCUGGAUUAGAUGGGGGGGGGGGGGGACGUCCUUAUUCGGAUUAGACUCAGCUGGAAGAGGCAUAUCCUUAGCUGGAUCAAUUUGUUCAAGAUUGGAUGCAUCCAUCGAUUUCAAAUUAAGAUCUUGGAAGUAUCAUUAAAUUUUUUUACAAAAAUUUAGAUUAUCAAUCCCAUCCAAAACUUAUUGAAAGGGACAUUUCCUUUCUAUAAAAUUGGGUUACUAUUACCCCCCCCCAUCUUAAAAAUUCUAAAAAAAAAUCAAGGGUUGGCAUAUUUUUUUUUUUGCAAAAGCAUAAGAAAAUAAUUCAAAAGACUAAUUAGGGCACUAUUACUCAAAAUUCUAGAAUAGAUUUGCUAGUUCUCUUUAGCCAUAGAUUGGUCCAUGAUUGGCACCGCAAUAGCUCAGAAUCACCUCAAUGAUUGUUCCACACAGCCAAACAUGACACACUGUAAACUAGUCUAAGAUGAACUUUUCUGAGUGGCUUUCUAACAAUAGUCUUAGAGAAAGUGUUUAGUAGUAUAAAGUAUUCUUUUUUUAACAUAAAUGUUGGCAUGAUAUUCUUAAUAUAUUUCUAAAAUCAAAAUAAGAUGCAUAGAGGACGAUAAUAAUUUUAUUUUAUAAUUGAAUUUUUUACAAAGAAAGUUUGAACAUGAGAGUGAUGAGAGAUGAGAAUAUUGAUGAUGGUGUGUACUUUAGAUGGAAAAAUAGAUUGGAAAUAUGGAUCAGGCUACGGUACCACAGUGGUACCGUGCCACAUCCUUUGUCUUUUAUGGCUCCAAUAUUGUAAAUUUUCAUAUAACCCCCUUUUAUUCGUUUUUAUUUAAACUUUAAUUCACAAAUAUUAAGUUAAUAUCUAUUACAUCCACAUAGACAUUUUAGUUAGCACCUUAUACUAUUUAUUAUUUACAAAUUCUUAUUAUAUAUUGCACUUAUAUCACAAUACCCCCUCUGUGAACCGAAAUGCCCAUGCCGAACCCACAACCCGACCCGGAUGCUAUUUCCAUUUCCGGCCACUUCACCGGCCAAGGUUGGUACCGAUCGGAAGAUCGUGCGAUGCCGGUCAUCUCCAUGCCAAUCUUGUCGCCGAAAAGCGUUCGGAAAGCUCCCGAUUGAAGCCGUGAAAAGCCGCGGAACCGCCGCUUCAAUUCGCCGCGAUUUCUCCGGUUUCCGGUGAUGCUAUCACUUGAGUUUUGCUCCCCACGAUCCCUCUGUAUUUUCCGACCAAUCACAGCCACCGGAGGGAGCCGAUUUGCCGUUGAUCGGUCAUUAAAGGAUUCACGGCUUUGGGAGCUCGAUCCGGCGCCAUCACCACGCGUGAGAGGUCACCACCACCACCGUUGGACUCAGCUCGGCCAAAAGUGUCUAACUCGAGUUUCCCGUCGCCGUCAGUUGAAAUCCGGUCACCGUUGGUCGGCAUGGGUAUUUCGGUAAUGUUUAUAUGGAUGCAGUUGAAAUUAAUUUAAUAUUUACAAAGUAAAGUUUAAAUAAAAAAGAGUGAAAGGGGUUAUAUGAUAAUUUGCCACAAAAGACAAAAGGAAGUGGCAUGGUGCCACUGUGGUACUGCAGGCUGAUCCUGGAAAUAUAUAUAGACAUAUUAAAAGAAAAAAAUUUGGUCUAUUUCAUAAGAGAAACAAAAAAUUAUAAACGCGGAUGUUAAAAUAUAUUCAGAGUUUAUAAAUUUUUAUAAAUAUGAUAAUCAUUAGACCCUUAUAAAAGUAUAGCAAAAAGUUUAAAUUUUUUUAAUAAAUGUCGAAGAGAUGGACGAAGAAAUCAUCCACUAGUUCAGAAUUAACAAUCAAAGAUAUGAGGACUUGAUUGAAGAAAUGGUGAAAAAUAAAAGGACACUGAGUUGGUUAGCGGGACCCUAAUAUUAAUGGUGAAAAAUAAAAGGUCACUGGGUUGGUUGGCAGAACCCUAAUAUUAAUGGUGAAAAAUAAAAGGACACUGGGUUGCUAUCAAUUUCUAUCGUGUAGGUUCAUAGCCGGGGAAGUAAUUGGGCACAAAUAUCUCGGAUGAGAAAUAACCAUUUUAUCCCGCAACCAUAUGUUUAUGGCCUAAAAAAUUUUCACCUCUUUCACUUCUGGAACCCGUGCUUUCUGGCACAUGCACAAUACUUGGUUGCUACUUAUAGAGCGUUUUUAGAAUUUCAACGACAUGGUGCUCUUUGAUAAUUAAAAAAAUCCAAUAUAAUUUAUAGAGAAUUACAUAGUUGUGUGGGGCCGAAAUUCUUAUACAUGUGAUUUAAGUUAUAUAUGUAUAAUUAAGUAAUUAGAAAAUACUAGUUGGGGGUAUUUGUAUCCAUGAAAAUUUACAGCUGGUUGUUGACAUUACACUGCGGGUGUGUAAGUGUAAUCAUGGAUCUGACCAUUCAAAUUAAAAAAUGGGGGUCCCGCUAACUUACGGAGUCAGUAAUUAUUACAUAUGCAGAUAUGGUCACAUACGAUAAUCUUAUGAUAAAUUUAAAGGAUACAAGGACUUGAUUGAAGAAAUGAACGAAUAUUUGAAUAAAAACAAAUUUUAGAAUAAAGACAAGUAUUAAUUUUCUAUGAAUGCAACUUACAUAAGCUGUAAGUUAGCGGGAUUAGACAUGUAUUCACCUAGUUGAAGUAAUGAAAGUCUUAUUUUCCUAACAAAAAAAAAGUUAGCGGGACACUAUUGAAUCACAAGCUUGUCUUCUUCUUGAUUCUGUAAUUUGGCUGUCAAAAUGCAAUAUAUAAAGAUUACGAUAUCUCAAUUCAAAAAAUGCUAUUUAUGAUGAAAUAAAUGAAAAUUGAACGUACAAUCUGCCACGAACACCCUUGAUUCAAAAAAAUAUUGUUUCAGAUUAAAUAAAUGAAAAUUAAACGUACAAUCUGCCACGAACACUAUUCAAUUAACCGUUUAUUUAUCAAUGGGCUUUUAAUUUAUAAGGAGAACCCUUGCGCUUAAAAUAAUAAGGGUUCGAGUCUCCAUAAAAAAAUUUAUACGAUAUAUUUAUAUAUUUUUUAAUUAUUAAAUAAUUGAGUAGAAUUAGUAUAUUCUUCACGAAAUAUGAGUAAAGUGGACAAUUUUCGAAUAUUUGAGAGGGUUUGAAGAAUUUGGGCAGUGCUUCAGAGGAGUACAUGCCACGAAAAAGGUUCCAAUUGUAAAAUCUGUUUAUAAAUAUUAAUUAUUAUACCUACAGUCAUGUAUAACAGUAUUAAAAAAAAAUUAACCGUUUAUUUCCCCUUAAAUUUUUAAUCUCAAUGAAACAUAGAUCUAAUGGGAACUACAUAUAUAUAAAAAUACUAUAGAUUGAAGAAGUUGAAUUUUUCUUGUGUGUUAAGUAUUUUUAGUUAAUACGAAAGGAUUCUAGCAAGUUAAUACAAAAAUAUCAUAAAUUCAUUGUAGUACAAGAGAUUUUUUUUCCUUUGAUGUUAAGAGUUUUGGAGAUAAAAAAAAAAAUAGGUGAAAGAAGAAGAUGAGAUAAGAAAAAAUAUUAAGAAUAGUUUUGGCAUUUUGAUGCGUUUUAUAGUGUAAAAUCUAUAUUUUAUAGUAUAAAAUGAUACAGCCAAAAUUUAAUGAUAAAAUUUUAGGAAAAAAUUACACUCGUCAAAAAAAAAAAAAAAGGCUCAGCUUAGCCCAAAAUUUUUUUAUUAAUCGUCUAGCCUUAAUCUCUUUUUUAUGAGAUUCUUUGGCGUUUUAAUUUAGUCCAUUGUUAGCGAUCCUAAUAACUUUUAUGUGCAUCUAUUUUUAAUUGAAAUAUGUUUCAAGCUUGAAUAAAAUCUGCGGGACAACUGGUAAGUAAUAAAGCUCAUAUUUUUUUUUUAUUUUGAAAAUAAAGGGAAUCACUUACACUUAGCAUGAUAUUAUUUUUGAUAAGUCAUUUUUUUGUAGAUUAUUUUUUCUGACACGCUCUUAGAUUUAGUGAAAAUAAAUUGUAUACUUUUAAUGAAGAAAAGUAAAGAUCAACAAAAUAUUUUGUUGUUGGAAAAUGCUACUUUCCCUGGGUCAAACCCCGAAACUCAUCCAAACGACGCCGUUUCAUCUUUUUUUUUCCUCUUUCAUCUUUUUUUUUCCUCUUUCAUUCUCCCUAAACGACGCCGUUUUGGCUAAGGCAAAACCAUUGCUCUCUCUUUCUCUUCCGUCUUCCCCUUCCUCUCACAGCCAUUGAAUGCCCAGCAAAUUCAUAUCUCACUGCCAAAUUCAGUGACAUACACUUAGUAGGUACAAUCGCAAAGCAUCUGAUUUUGUUCCUCUCAAUGUUCCCCAACUUGUCCAGAUUCUGAACCACAAUCAACACCAACAAUGCCACCACCCCUGCCCCCAAUGAAUGCCCAGCAAAUGUCAAAGUAUAAUUUGGGUUCCUGUCAACCAAGCCCCUUAAAAAUUCACAUUGGGCAUCGAAAACCCACCUUCCAGCCUUCAAUGACCCAUUGUGAACAUAUCCACCAUCAAACUUUGUCUGCCCAAGUUUGUUAUCCACAACCCAAUUUGGAUUGAUUAUAGAAGAGAAGAGAACGAGGAGACUAUGCAGGUAUCCUGUAUUUUAGUUUGAUGAAGGAAAAUGGAACGAGGCAAACGAAGGGGCAGCUGGGUUCUGAAGAGAAUGAAGAGAAGAGAACGAAGCAAUGGGUCUGUAGUUGGGUUAAAUGAAGAGAAGGAAGAAAUCAGAACAAAGAAAAAAAAAAAAAGCAAAACGAUGUCGUUUGAAGACGAAUCAAAACAAAAAAAAUAAGAGUUGAAAACGACGAACUAUGCUGCCGUUUCGGAGUUUGACCCGGGAUUUGACCCGGAACUCUUUGUUGUUUUCGACAACUUUUGCGUUGUCAAGUGCGCCUGAUACCCUUUUUUUUUUUUUUUUACUUUUGAGUUGUUGUUUAUUUUGUAUUAUAAUUAAUUAUCAUGGACUCACGUGUCAUUGUUUUCAUUUCAAGUUCAUAAUUUAACAGUAGAAAUGGGUUCCACAAAUAAUUUAUUUUAUAAUUUUUUAAAAAAUUACCAAAAUAUAAUAAAUAAGGUAAUAAUAAUUAAUAAAAAAGUAGAUUUUAAGAUGGAAAAAUCUUUUUGUGUACUUAAUAAAGAGAUGAUAAGAAUGGGAUGCUUUUGGUUUACAUUCUCAUAGCUAUUCAUACUGAAAAAUUACAUCAAAAUUUAAUUAAUAAAUCAGUGAACUGCAGACUUAUUAAAUUUAAGCUAUUUUACUUCUCAAAAAAAAAAUUUAAGCUAUUUUAAUAAGUCAUAAAUAUACUAAGUUAAAAUUGUAGUAAACCCAUUGUUACAGAAUACUCUCCAUUGAGUGUUCUCCAUAGACUAGCUUUUCAAAGGUUGAAGUGGGUAUACUUUUAGUAAAAAGACCUGCAAAAUUAUAGUGUACCUAUUUGACAUCAACUUUUUUUAUCUGGUUUCGUAUUAUCAAAUACCUUCCCUACCCAUUUGUAUUCCAUUUGAUAUUUUCUAAAUGGUUGAAGGUAAAUUAGUAAAAAUUCAUUUUAAAAAAAAAUCAAAGAAAUUCAAGAAGAAGUUUUGUAUCUGCCAUUUGUAUUUGGGGUAUCUUUUUUUGGUUGUUGAGAGAAUGAGCUUAAAUCUAAAAUAUUUAUUUUCUUAUUAUAUAUUUUUCGUUGGAAAGAAUUUAAAUCUUAUUCUUAUUAGAUUUAUUCUCUUUAAAAAAAGGUAGGUUUUUCUACAUGUAUUUAGCGUGUAUUUUAAAACUAUUGUUCAACAUAUCUUUAGAUUCUAUUAUAAAUAUUCAUAUCUAAAAUCUCAAUAAUUUCCAACAUAUAAAUAUAUAUAAAGGGAGAUAGUAACAUUCUAAUAAGAAAUUUCUUAAGUUAUCAAGUUAAAAAAUAAUUUAAAAGAUAAAAAAAUACACAUUCUAAUAUAUUAUAUAACAAAAUAUAUUGUAUCAGAAUAUAUAUUUUGCUUACUUUUUUAAUAUAUCCCAUAUUAACUUAACAAAUCCUUUAUUUAACUGAUUAUAUAUAUUAUAUAAUAUAUAUAUAAUAAUAAUAAUAUAUUAUAGUAGUUUUCUGAUAAAAAAUUUUAAAAUGUGAGAAAGUUUGGAAAAAUUUUAAAACCGUACGACUUUAAAAAUUUUAAGUUUGCUUUUAAAAUCAUAUGAUUUUAAAAUUUUAUUAUAUUUUUUUGUACUUUAGAAAUUUAGACUGAAAUAUAUAUAUAUAUAUAUAUAUAUAUAUAUAUAUAUAUAUAUAUAUAUAUAAUUUUUUAAAAAUAAACAAUUUAGAGUAAAACAAAGGACAUUCUCCGGGCCUUUUACCUGACUAGCAAUCAACCGUUUUGGAAUGCAAUAAAGUGAAAAUACUAGACUACCAGUCUACUAUUUUGGAUUGCAAUAAAGUUAAAAUGGGUUACAGCAAAGACGUUAGAAAAAGAAAAAAGUGACAAUCAAUCUUGCCGGCAACAUAUCAACUUUUUUGCUGGAUUAGUAUCACUGUCAAACACAAAUUAUUGCAAGCACUAGCAAAAAGCAAUCUAUGAUUUCGCAAUUUGGCUGUCAAAUUGAAUAACAAUAUGAAACAUAACUAGAAAUAUAAGCAAGACAGGAUUUCGAAAUCACCCAAAACUUUUUUAAUAGUUUGUUUUCUUCCAAUACCAACCACUUCAAACGUGGUAAUAGUUUGUUUUCUUCUCCUUCAGCGAUAAUAGCUUCCAAUUGAAAUACCACCUGUACUCCAAGAUCUCCAAUACGCAAAUAUUCCAAAUUUUUUAAUCCGUGCUUCAACAGUGCUGGAAUCGUGUCACUCAAAUGGGAACAAUUGUCCACAAAUAGAAUUUUUAAGUUCUGAGACAAAUAAAUAAAUAACUUGAUGCAAUUAAAAUCUAUUAGCAGCUAGGAUUAUCAGAUGAUAAGUGAUGAAAACCGCAAAAAACAAAAACAGAAAACAAAAUCCAUACAAAAAUAUCAUAAUACAUAUGUAAACUAAUAAAAUAAUUAAAAAGUAAUGGAUUUAAAAAAAAUUAAAUUAGUUAAAAGAGAUCAUAUGAAGUGAUACAAAUGUGACAGUAGAUUGUUUUAGAAAAAUUAUUAUUCUAUUAAUUUAUAUGGCUUGAUCAACUAUUUAAUUGAAUUUGAAUAAUAUUAUAUACACUUCAGAAGUAUUUGCAUCAAUUCUUUCUAAACCAAAAUGAGAUAUGACUUUCAUUUGAAGAAUGGUUUUAGGCCCUAGAAUAAAAAAAUUUCCCUAAGAUAUCUGAGCAUUAUUAUUAUCACCGCCACAUCCACCACCAUCAUCAUCUCUAUAGGAUCAAAAAAUUAAUGGCUGAUCAUAAAAUUUAUUGCUAAUCUAUCAUUUUGAGUAAAAUUGAAUGAAAAGAAAAAAACAUGAACCCAAACAAACAUACCUCUUCAAGAUACUGCAAAUUGGCUUCAAGUUCAGUACUGCUGACAGUCAAGUUGGGACAGUGCUUAAGGUAUAACUCUUCCAAUGCCGGCCAAGUUGAAUAAUAAUUUUCUGAACAGAAGCUGAUGAGUUCUUGGAGAUCAUAAAGUGUUAAUUUUCUCAAUAAAGGGAGCACAAGUAUUGUAUUUCCAUCUCCUACACUUAUUUCCCUUUCAUUAUGAUCAGAUUUUGCUUCGACGAUACAUUUCAGUCUCUCGCAUCCACUUACAUGGAGACUUUUAAGCUGCUCCAAACUUCUAGCUUGUGACAACGUGAAGAUAUAUGUCAACUUGUUGCACCUAUGCACAUUCAAUUCUAUAAGAGUUUGGAGACUGAUCACAUGUUGGGCCGGCGCCUUCCAUAUCCACUUCAGUUCUGGUAAGUCCCACAUAGAUAACUCUGCUAAUCUUGAGAGACUCUUUCCAUGCGGCGACUUAGAGGCUUCCAUUAUGCAUUCUAAAUCUUCGCAAUCACGGACAUCAAGACAAGUUAACUCAUUGAAGCCCCUUUCAUCUAUGCUUGGCACAAUAUUGUAACAACCUAUAAUCCCACUUAAAUAAAGAAUUUCCAGUUCUUGAUACAAUGCCGAAAAAAUACCGAGCGAGGUCGCUUCAGGAGGGUCGUUACCAAUCAUUAAGAUCCUUGCCUUAUCACCUUCUUCCAUUUCAUCAUCAACUCCUUCACCUUUACGGAUGAUGUAUCUUUGCAAUUUCGGGAAUGUAAAGUCUUUUGGAAGACAUACAACAGAUCCGUCGACUUGGGAGUUCAACUCAGCAAGCCUAGCAUUACUUUCUUCUGAACUCAUCCCUUCAACCUCCCAAUUUUUUAUCCGACCAUAAAAUUCUUCUAAUUGAGGAAAGUUUUUUAUCGUAAUAGGAGAAACAGAACUGGUAUCAAUAUAUAGAAGUUUCAAUCUACUAAGUUCAUCCCCCAAUUCUUCUGGAAUUUUAAUGGGAGACUUCUUGAGAAAAAGAAUUUGAAGCCUCUUCAACUUUCCAAGGAAAGACGCAUCACUCACCUUACAUCGAAUCAACUGCAGAACCUGGAGGUUGGUGAGGCUCUGAAGCGAUUUAAGUGAAAGAACUCCACCUAUUAUAGUGACAACUUUCAAUGCUGGCAUCCCUUUAAAAAAAUGUUCUGGCAUUUGCAAUUCGUAAUUAUAUACGGUGUUCUCCAAUCGCAGAAUAUGAAGCUUAGGGCAUAUCAAACUACUAGGAAGCUCUUCUUCUUUUUUAUCUACGACCAAAGACAUUCCCCUGCACUGUUCCAGGCCAUCUUCCAUCGCCCGUUCCACCAUUUCGAUGCCAGUUAUACUAAAAAAUCUCUCCUCUUCCUCUUCCUUCUUUUUGCUUAUCCAUAUGGCUACAUCACGGACUACGUCAUGCAUUUUCACAGAUCUGUCAUUGCCAGUGUCUAACAGCAAUGAAGAAGCUUUGACCUCUUUCAUCGUUCCACUCAGUAGGCUCCUGACUUUUUCAAUUGACUCAGCUCGAUACCAUCUCAACCCCACUGCAUAUGCAACCAAAUCAUCCAAAUAUAUCUCAUAAUCCUCUGGAAACAAAGAACACAACAAGAAGCACGACCUGGAAUCCUCACCAUUCAAAUAAUCGUAACUAAAUUUGAGACAAUGGUAAACGCCUUGGUCUUCCUUGCCAACACCUUCUAUUGUAUUGAGUUUUGCAUCUCGUAGUUUAUUUAGAGCUAGGUUCCACUCAUCAAAUCUUUUAUCUCUUAGUGCACUUCCAACAGCUUUAAUAGCUAAAGGAAGCCCCUUACAUUCAUCAGCAACUCGUUCUGAAACACCAAUCAAGGUUGAAUCAGCAACAUCAAUGCCGGCAUGCUUUCUUAGUAAAGCCAAUCCUUCUUCUGGCUUUAGAACACCUAAUUGAAUCCGCUUGUCACAACCCAUGCGAUCACAAACUGGCUGCAGGCGAGUGGUUAGAAGGAUUUUGCAACAAUUGUCUCCAUCACCAACAGGAAUACCCACUGUCUUCAAGUCAAGUUCAUUCCAGACAUCGUCAAGUAUUAUGAGUAUCUUGCUGCUUUUACUCUCAGAAAACAUCAAGCGCAAUCGGUCUGCUCUCUCUUUUUCAUCUUUCUCCAUUAAUUUCCAGCCUAACGAGUUUGCCAGCUCACCUUGAACCUUUAUUAUAUCUGGAUCCUGAGACACAGUGGCUAUCCCCACCUCAUCGAAAAUCUUUUCUUGCCGAAGUUGAUUGCCCACAAAGUUUGCCAAAGUCGUCUUUCCGACACCACCGACACCAUACAAUCCCACCAUCGUUGUGCUAUCUCUUUUUAGUGCUUCAAUAAUCUGAUUGCAAGUCGAUUCUGUAGUCCCGAAAGACAUAAAAUGUCUUGGCAUAUGCAAUUCUUUGUCUGAUGGUAGAGGUUUAGGACCGGCAACUGAGCUGAAUUUGCAACGAUGUUGUAGUUCGGACAACUUGCUACUCUUCUUUGAUGCUUUUCUACCCAGCCAGUAUCGCCAACCCCAAUUAGGACACCAUCCAUUAAGACAACUCUUCUUUUCAUCUAUCUUUGCUUUCAAAUUUCGAACGUCGGCCAUUUCUUUGUCUACAUCCUCAAGCCAUGUCUUGACACCUUCCUCGACUUCUAUAGCACGGUGUAUUUGUCGUUCUUGUUCUACUCUUUUAUUGAUGCCAUCUUGUGCCUCCUUCAAUUUGGUUUCUUUAACCUUAAGUUCUUUAUUUAUGCUGUUGAACAGAGCAGAUAACGAGCUUGGUUUAUGGUUGCAUCCACCAACAACUCUCCAAGCUUUGAUGCAACACCUGACAAAAUUUCCAUGCUAUUUAUCUGCAAUUAAUAAAGUUGAUCUCAGUAAGCUAUAAGCAAAACAAUGAGGCUUGAUCACAAGAUCGAACGAGAAAGUUUAAUUACCUUUUUCCUAUUCUGUGAAUGCACGUUUAUUGAUACUAGCUUUGACCAGUAAGAGCAAAAUGCAAACGCCGAACUUUAAGUGGCCAUUAGCUGCAAAACAGAAGAGAGGAAAUAAGGUAAUUUAUUAUUAUUAUUAUUACUUUUAAGGACGGAUAUAGGUUAGCUAGCUUGCAGACAAAUUUACUAAAAUCAAGACAAACCUAAGAGUUUUCCUAAUUUGUUCAAACAUGGAAUAAGCGUUUCACAACAGUAUAUCCAUAAAGGCCCCAGCGAACGUAAUAUGUGCUGGACUAUAUUGAAAUUAGAUUAUUUUAGAAAAUUUUAAAUAAAAAAUAUCAAACAACAAAGAAAUCUAAUAGAAUCUGGAUAAAUAGCAUGGGAGAAUAUGGUAAAAUUGAUCAACUUGGUUCAAAAAUUACAAUUCUUUUUUAGAUUUGAACCAACGAUUUUGACUAAGGUCUCCUAAGCCAUAAAGCAUAACUCUUCCUACUAAAUUACACGCAUUUUGUUACAUUUAAAUGUGGUCAUAUUCUUUUUAUUAUAUUUUUUUAGAAGGACUCAUGGUAUGCUUAAAAGAAAUAAUAAUGAUUUAGAUGGGGCUGAAGCCCACUCAUGAAAAAAUUUAAAGGUUUUCAAGAUAAUUACCGAUUUUUUUCCAUCCAAUAUUCUAAUAGAAUGGUGCCAGAAUUCUCAAAUAAUAUCUUAAUAUUAUUCAAUUAGUUGGCACCCACCUAUUGGAUGAUUAAUUUAAUAAUUUGUUAAAUUAUUUAAUACUCCAUCUCACUAUCUAAUGAUGUAAAUGGUGGAGAAGGAUCGUCUCCUAGACUUUUUUCUCUCACUAAUCUCUUAGUGAAAUAAGUGGCCGAAAUUGAAUUUUAAUUUUUGAUAUUGACAAUUAAAUUGGCUUGUUUCACAUUAUUAACAAUUAAGCCAACUUUUUUCUCAUUUUUUCAAUUAGAUUUGGAAGGCUAUAAGAGAGUAGGAGAGAAAAAACACUAGAAGGAGAUCUUAAUCCAUAAAUAGUACCUUAUUUGGGAUGGUAAAGAUUGAGAUAAAUUUCCUCUUAGUCUCUAAAGUUUUGGCCUAUGCCCAGCCAUAAUUUUAGUAUUUUUAAAAAGAAUGAGAUUAGUUACAUUCUAAAAUUUAUUUUAAAUACUCUUUUACUCAACACACUCAUUCAAUAAAUAAAUUUAAAAAAUAAUUUUUACUUUACACACUAUUUCAAUUGUCAAAACUAUCCUUCAUUAGGACCAUUUCAUUAACUAAUUAUUUUCUAUUGACACCCAUAAAAUAUUCAUCAUUCUUGAACCAUGUGGCGUUAAUUAAUGAUUCCGAAGCAUUAUCAAGAUUCAAGAUUUAUGUUGAAAUUCUUUCAUCUGACAUUUGAACCCAGCCACUAGCUAUAUACAUAUAUACUUUCAAAUGCAGCUCUGGGAAUAUUUUGUGACUGAUUUUAUAAAGUGUUUUAGUUACAUUAAUGCAAUGAAACAAUAAAGAGUACGCGGCUUGCUGAUUUCCAAAUCAAGUUGCGGGGAAAAACAGAGCAUUUUUCUUUUAUAAUGGAUUAGAUUAGACGAUGAAGGAAAAAUUAUUAGCGAUUAUUAGUACUUUUGUGUGUGUUAAGAGUAAUGAUAUUAUUUUAAAUUAUAUUAAUGCCUUUGGUAGUGAAUUCAAUUAGGGUUAUUUUAGUAAUAUAGAUUUUCAUUAAAAUUAAAGUGUCCAAAUUAUAAUUUAGAUUUUUCAAAUGUAAAAUAAUAUUUUUUUAUCUGAUAUAAAUUAAAAUUCAAACAAAUGUAUAAUGCAACAAAUGAAAAGUAAAGAAUAUUAAUUAGGUUUUAAUAGAAACAAAUAUAAAUAGAUGUUUUGAGCAGUUAAUUUUUGUUAUUUUAUGCUAUUGGUAGUUUGUGGAUUAAAUAAUUUGUAUAAGGAUAAAUGGGGGUUUGUAUAAUUUAUACGAAGAUAAUCUCCAAAAUAAGCUUAUAUGUCGAAUUUAAAAGUGUUAUAUAAGUAGUAAUAGUAUAUGCAUCAAUAUUUUUAAUAAAAUUUAUUUAGAAAUUGGCCAAUUGGGUUUUAUGAAGAAAAUAGACGGGCAAGUAAUUAUGUAACAAGUAAUUUGUAGGUUGUGGUACUUCUCCAUACUUCAAAUCACUUUUAUCUAAUCAAUUGAUAAAUAUUUUUUGGGCACCAACAAAAUGAAAAGAAAAAGUUAAAAAUAAUUCUGAAAUUAAAAACGUUAGGUACUGCCUAUAAGCUAUACAAUUUUACCUUUUCUUCUAUCACAAUUAGUAUUAGAAAUAAAAAUAGUUUCGAAAUAAAUGUAAUUAGGAGGUAAUAUUAUCUCAACAAUACCUUAUAGGGAAAAAGACAUCUACAUCCUAAAGUUUGGAGAAAUGGUCUUAAAGACCCUAGGUUUUCAGAAAGGGAUAUCAAGACCCUUUUUUUUAACCGUAAUACCCUUUAAAUCUAGUAAUUAGAAAAUUGACUUUAAGAUUUUUUAAUUGACAAAUUUAAUAUAAAUAAUAUAAUCUAUCUAGUAGAUUAAUAAUAUUAACAAUAAAAAUAAUAUUAAAAUUUAAAUUCUUAUAUUUAUUUUAAUAAUAUAUUUUUAUUUAUUAUAAAGAUUUUAAAUAAAUCUUUGGGUUAAAUUGGUUUUCUAGUUAACAAAAUAUACCCCUAUUAAUAAUAUUGAAAUUACUUUCUACAUAAUAUUUAAAAUAAUUAUAAUUUAUUUAUUUCAAUAUUAUGUUUCUAUUUAUUUUUAAAAAUUACUUUAUUAGAGUAAAUUUUUAUUAAUUGAAGCUUUAAAAUCAAUUUUCUAAUUACUAAAUUAAAAGGGUAUUAUGGUCAAAAGGGGUCUUUCCUUUUUGAGUAUUUUGGAGUAUAGGUGUCCUUUUCCCUACUUCAUAUAAAGAUAUUCCAUAAGGUCUUAUAAUAACUUAUAUUAUAUGAAUUUAAUUAAAAUAUCAUUAAUACUUAAAUAAUAAUAAUUAUAGAAGACAUUGUAAAAAUUAUUUGAUAUAUAUUAUUAAUGAUACUAUAUAUAUGUGUAUAUAACUACAUGAUGGCUUGGAUAUAUAUUGUUAGUGUUAAUAAAUUUUUUUAAAAAAAUUUAAACUAUUGAUUUCAUGUAAUUCAAUGGUGGAUGAUUUAAAAUCAUAAAAUAUUGUUUUGACUUUCAAUAUCAACCGUUAGACUGUGAGAAAUUAAUUGCUCAAUAUUUUGUGUUAAAGUUUUAAAUUAAAAUAUCCCAAACCAUUUGUUUUACUUAAAAUACAAAAAAUAUAUAAAGAAAAUUUCUCAUUAAUUUUCAUAUUUUUAUUAGAGGUAAUAUUUUAUGUAUCGUCACCAUUAAUUGCCAUCAUUAAAGUAGUGACUCUUAGUAAUAUAAAAUUUUAUAAUUAGUUAAUUGCAAUCAAAGGAUAUCAAUAAAUAUUUCAUAAUUCAUAAAUUAAAGCUAAUUAAGAAUAUAUGAUAGUUUUAACUUUUAUGAAAUCAACUAAGUGAUAUUAGAAAAUAAAAUGAAAAUAAACUAGUGAAACUUAAAUUUUAUAAGGUUUGAAUAAUUUUCUACCAUGUAAGAAUAUUAAUUGUGACAUAAACCAUAGUUUCAUGGUAUACGUAUGCCGAAUGGGGUAACAAAUAAUAUAUACUUCACGAUCAUGAUAGUAUAUAAAGUAGUGGAUAUUUUAAUAUAUAACAUAAAAUUCUUUUAAGACAUAGGUGGUCAAUUAUAUAUAUUUUAGGACAUAGACAAUCUCAAUCAAGAGUUUAUUGAUGUGAAUAGAUGGCAUUCACUUAAAUGUAUGCACUUAAUUGUGUUGUUUAUUGGUAUUAGAUAUUCACUUAAAUGUAUAUACUUAAUUGUGUUGUUUAUUGGUAUUACACGUAACAAAAUUUUAUAUUAAAUUUUAAAGUUUUAUAUUGUUGUUUCUAUUGAAUUUAUAAAUACAAUAAAAUUAUGGCCAUCAACAAUCACAACCAACUGCCACAACAAUUAGAUUCUCAUAUCCGUUGACGACAAUUUUUUAUACUAUUGGAACUCCAAUCUUUGAAGCUACACAAUAGUUAAAAGUACCGACAUCAAUAGAACUUCCGUUCAUUGUAGAUCUAUAGUCAAAGUUUCGAAUCUUAAAAAUUUGACAGCAGAUUUAUGUCAUAUGAAAGCUUGUUACUAGUAAUUCUUAUACAAUUAUGUUGUUAUAGUUAUAAGGAUUCUAAUGGUACUAAAAUGCACUCCAUUAGACAUAAAGAUCCGACGACUAGUGGCGACAAUAACUAUCAUUAGUGACUUGGAGGUAAUUGCCGUUAAUAAAUUAUUUUUAACAUAAUAAUUAAUACAAACAAAUAAAAAAGUAAUUUAAGGAAAAUUAAUGUAAUAAAUAAUUGAAUUAAAAAAAAUAAAACCUAAAUUCUCGACCAUUUAUCCGUAUGUUUCGAAUCCAACGUUCAAAAUUGGAAUAAAACAUAGUAUAGCCAUUGGAAGUAAAACAAACAUUAAAGAGACUGGGAAAAAAUAUCUCAUACCUUCUAUAAUGAUACAUCCUCAAUCACUGCAGAAAGCUCCAAUUAAAAAGUCGCACAAGUUCGGAGAAAAUUACCUAACAACACAAAUAAACAUCAAAUCAAAGCAACAUAGGAUCCAGCUAACUAACAUCAUAAGUAAGUCCUUGUUCUCAGUCAAAUCUUGCAUUCUUAGGAUAAAAAAAAAAAAAAUUGAAAGAAUAACGGUAACUGGAAAGUUUGACGACAUAAAGAUCUAGCUAAAUUUUAAGAAGCAAAAGUAAAUAAUGAAAGCUCAAUAAAAGAUCAUCAGCAUUAACAUACCGAAAUGAGAGCAGCUCACAGAACUGGUAAUUUCCAAGAACAGGAAAAAUAAGUGAGCUGAUAUUGAGGACAACUAAAGUAGUCAUGGAGUAAUUUGCUAUUGAGGACACCUAAAAUAAGAAAAUUAAUUAACAUUGCUCUAUACACCAUUUCAAUAAUUUGACUAUUAAAAAAAAAUCCUAUCUAGAUCACGAUUUCUCAAAAUGAUGCUUUUUCUAAUUAAAUAAAUCAAAAUGCUUGCUUCUUUCUUUUUCAGAAAAGAAAAAGUGGCAAUGGCAUCAAUUUUUUGCUAGAUUAUUAUCACCAAAAGCACAAGCAAGAAAUAAGAAUACUCUCUGAAACCAACCAUGUAAAGAGUAGAAGUAAGUGGUCAAUUGUAAAUUAGUCUUUCUUUUUUCUUUGUUAUUUUUUCAUUUUUUGAAUGUGAACUAAAUAAAUUUAAGGGUGAAGCUAUUACACCUUGAAAACUAUAACUGAACACCCAUUUUUUUUAAUUAAAUUUUUAUUACUAAAAUAACCAUGGAGUAAUUUGCUACUAAGGAAAACUAGAAUAAUAAAAUGAAUAAUGAUUGCUCUAUACACCCUUUUCUAAGUCUAUCGUCUUCUUAAUUUCAUAAUUUGGCUGUCAAAAAGUAAUCUAUCUAGAUCACGAUUUCUCAAAAUGAUGCUUUUUCUAUCUAAAUAAAUGAAAAUGCUUGUUUCUUUCUUUCUCGAAAAGAAAAAGUGGCAAUGGCAUCAAUUUUUGCUUGCAAGCACAGCGAGGAAUCAGUAUACUCUCGGAAACUAACCAUAUUAAGAGUAGAAAUAUUUAUUGGGUUAUCACGAAGUAAGUUAGAAAUCAAUUAUAAAUGGUCUUUUUUUUAUUUUUUAAUGUGAACUAUAUAAAUUUAAGGUGAGGUUAUUUACACUUUGAAAAACAUUCUGAAAACCAUUAUUUCAUUAAAUUUUUUAUUACUAAAGGUCCGUUUGCUGCCCCAAACGCUCUCUAAAAUAGCCAUGGAGUAAUUUCUUACUGAGGAAAACUAGAAUAAUAAAAUCAAUUAUCAUUCUUCCAUGAACCCGUUUCUAGAUGUAUCUUCUUCUUGAUUUGGUAACUUGGCUGUCAAAAAGAAACCUAUCUAGAUCACGAUUCCUCAAAAUGAUGCUUUUUCGGAUGAAAUAAAUGAAAUUGAACCUACAAUCUGUCACAAACACGUUAUAAUGAGCCUAAUGAAAAGCAGUAUGAGAAAUUUUGCUUCCAUGUUGUUUCUUCCAUAUGUAAAGGUAGUAAAAAGAAAUUUAAGUCCUAGAAACAAAUGGAUGAAGAAUUAUCAAUAAUUAAAAAUUAAAAAAAAAAAACAGAGUUAUAAAAGAAUCACAGUUCCACCAAAAAUUAAGAGUUAUUUUAUUUGGUGGUUUCCUAUCCCGAAAGCAUUACUUGUAAAUAUGUGCUAACAAGUAAUAAUUAAGAAAGUUAAGGCCAAUCAUUUAGAAGGGAGAAAAAUGGAAACAUCCGGAAUAUUGUUAUGUGUUUUCAGUGCGUAUCUACCAAUCAAUAAUGAAAAAUUAAAUACGCAUGUUACGAAAAUUUAAUAAAGAGAACUGGAGGUGACAAAAUUUUUAUUAUUCUAUCUUUCUCUCCUCUGAAACUUCCUUAAUUUGGUUGGGAAGUGCUUUGUCUUAGGCAGCGGAUCUGUUAUAAAUACCCUAUCCUAAAGUUAAUAUUUUGAUUGAAGAAAAAAAUAGAGGACAAAAUUUUUAUUAAAGUAUAACAGAAUUUGGUAAAUUUAGAAUUGAGGAGAGAAAAUGAGUCUAAAUUCGAAAAUUUUGGCACUAUUUACAUAUCAUUAUUUGGGCAAAAAUUCAUUUCUCUGCUUUCAUAUGAUUUGGUCUUUCAUUGUUACGGUGCCAAUUUUUUAUUUGAAGAUGUAAGAUAGUGGUACUAUAGCUUAGAUUUUCCGUAAUUACUAUAUGGUAAGUACAAAAUAAAAUACCAGUUUAAAAUAUAAAAAUGAAAAACUAUUUUUAUAACCAAUAUUCAAUUAAAUACACUUGAAACUCUAUUUUUUCUUAAUAAAAAAAAUUCUAAUUUAUUUUCUCAAUUUAUCUAAACAACUUUACCUAAUCAAGCUAAAUCUACAUAUUACCCUAAACCUUAAUUCAUAAACACCCAAUCAAUCCAAUUGUUAAAUCCGAUUUCAUAAUUAAAAAAGCUAAAUUCUAUUUUAUUAUUUAUGGUGCAAAGUAAAAAAUGCCCUUGAAGUUAAGGGUAAAAUUGAUAUUUUAUUUAAAUUUUGUUAAUAUUCUAAUAAUGUUAAUGUCUUAGUGGUUAAUAAAAUCACAAAGUCAAACUUUUGUAGUAUUUUUUAUAAUAAGGUAAAGAUAUAUGUUUGAUAAUUUUCUUACGUCUUUUUACGUUAAAUUGAGUCUCAAGGGAAAAAUGGUUAAUUUGCUACAAUUCUGUCAGUUUUCUGAUGGAAGAUAAUUUUGAAACAUAGAAUGAAAGAAUAAGUCAAAACUAGAAUCAAACGUAGAAUUUUGAAAUCCAUACGAACUCUAACGUAUUAGAAUGAAAGAAUAAGGACGAUCGAUAAACUAGACUCAAACAAAAACAUGCCCAGUUAAAAAACGAAGGUAAAUAAAUAAAAAUGGUAUAAAAUUGCGAACAAAAUUAAUGAAAUGAAGAGAAAAUCACAGGAAUUCUAUGAAGAGGAAGGUAAACGAAACCUUCGGGAGCUGAGAAGAUGCCUUUUUUGUUGAUGUUUGUGCCUAUACAUACAUUUUUUUUUUAAUUUUGAAGAAAGUAUUGGUUAACAGAACGAACUAUUAAUAAUAGAUGCUGACAAUUUCAACAAGGACAAUCUUCGAUUCAAAUGUACCCCUAUGAUAAAGAAAAAGCCAGCUUGGCUAAAUUUUGAGCUCCACAUUACAAGAUCUAGGUGUAUGUUUAACUAUGCAAAAUGAAACAUCUAUUAAUUGUAAGUCCCUUGACCUCUGGAACCAGACAACUAGUCUCUUUCCUACUAGACAACCUUCCAUCGAUCAGACUAAUAAUAUUUACUAAAUCAUGUUCUACAGUUAAUGAUGGUUGUCGAAGCCAACAAAAAUAAAUUCCUACUCUAAAUAAAUUGUGUGUCGUGAUUGAGCAGGGUCGUGUUCACAGAGAUCGGUAAUUAUUUAAAUCCUUUUAAAAUGCAAAACAUAAAAUGGGGGAAUUGUUGACAAUAAUAAAAAUCAAAUUAAAAUAACAAGAAUGCAAAUUAAAGUUGUAAUUCAAAUUGGAGAAAGCUCUGGUUGAAGGAAUUAACUCAGCUUGAUUCGACUACUGAUCAUUGAUUCAAAUAUAGAUUAUUAUUACUUAUGAAUAGACCGGUUAUAGCUAUUGAGACCCUCUAAUAGCCAAUCUCUCCUUAACUAGUCGAUAACCAAGGUACGACCGUUGGAUAUUUCCCUAAUCAAUAGACAACCCUAGAUACGAUCAUAGGAUUUAAUCAAUUGACAGCCUGAAAAAUCAGAGAGACCCAAAUCCUAAUCAACACAUAUGAUGAUUCAUUUAAAUUAGAUUGUUUAUUCUCAUAACACAACUCACUGCUGUGUUAUUUGUCACAAACAUUAAAAUCUUCAUACGAUGAAUCCUUUAAUUGACAAUAGUUUAAGUUGAUAAUUAAAUAGUGGCCAAUUACCUAAUUAACAAACAUAAUCAUGAAACUAAUUCAGAGAAUAAACAAAUACCCAAAAAGUAAUAAAACAAUUAAAGCAUAAGAAAGAUCUCACAGUAGUAAUGAAUCAAAGCUUCAUUAACCUUCAAUCAGAAAAAUAAGUUUAGUUCUUCAUAGAGAGAAAAGAAAAAUUAGAUCUAGGGUUUCUUUCUUUUUCUCCAAUCCAAAAUCCCCUCUUUUCACAAUAGAUUCCUCCCUUAAAUACUCUCUCUCUUCUCUUUUAGAGUUCUAUUUAAAAUAAAAUACUAAUAUCUGAAAUAUUAAAUUCGUAAUUACAAAAAUAACCAAAAAUACAAAACACGUUAAACUAAAAACUGCAGGUCCGCAGUUGACAACACGCGCCCACGCCUUAUCAACAAAGUUCUUCUGACGCUCAUAAUUUUUCCAAGAGAACAAUCAUCUUUAAACAUCAUCUUAUAGCUCAAUUUUAUCACCAAUCAAUAGAAUUGCACCUACAAAAGUAAAACACAAGUAAAUCACUAUUAUUAAGUGCAAAACAUCCAUAUUAAGGGAAGUAAACAAUGCAAAACUAAUGUAUAAAUUGCACUCUAACAGUUAAUGAAGUUGGACCCAAGGCAAUGUCACAGGCCACUCAAAUUUCCCGUAAUUGGAGGAUAAUUAUGUGCACAUGAGUUUGCUUAGCAAAAAUCCGUCUAGGCGUGGAGUGCGCUUAAAAGCGGGAUGCACUUAGAAGUGGGAUGCGCUUAGCAAAUCAUCGAAGCCCGACCCAAGAUCUAGAACUCUCUGCAAAUUAUAAAUAAGCUAAAAGUUUCUAUGUUUCUCCACAUAGUUCCCUAGGAUAUUUAUGGAAGUUGCUAGGAAGUUUCCUCCCCAAGAACUCUAAUACCUAUAAAUAGGGGUGGGCCCCCUCAUUUGCCCAUCAACCACACCACACACACAAACACUUCAGCACACACACAAGCUCUCUAGAUUUUGUAAAAAGCUCUCUUGUAUAUUCUCUCUUUGAGAGUAAUAAAAUCAUAUUCAGCCAUAUUGCUCUACUUCUCUCUAGCAUUUUCCGCAAGUGUUCUUGCUUCGCUAGUUUGAGGAGUGGUCUAGGCUUGCUUAGCAACUUGUUUGCUACAAGGACAUCUUGGUCACAAAACAUGGACAUGCAAGGAAAAAAAAAUAUUGAUACAUUCUAAAAAUAAUACGCAUUCUUCUACAGUGAACCAAAAAAUUUAGGCUAAUGGUAGCAAGUGAAGGAGUUGUGAUUUCACGUGCAUUUUGUUGACAUGAACCUAAAGAACUUUUUUAUAGUUUAUAUUGUUUAAUAUAACAUUUGAAUUGCAAAAUAUGGGUACAAAAUGGAUACAUGAAGUGAUAAAACUAAGCUGAUUCUGAUAAAGAUUGAAUUAUAAGAUUUACGUUUAAUCAUAAAGACAUAAGUGGCGCACAAAGUCACGAAUUAUCAUCCAUGAUGCCAUAAACAUUAAAAUUGAGGUGCAUGUAAUGGUUUUCGACUAUCGGUGUAUAUCAAGAGGUCAAUUGAAAGCACAUGGAGAUAAGAGGUCAAUUGAAAGCACAUGGAGAUAAGUUAAAUUUUUAGAAUUCAUUGUCUCUAGAAUAUCUAUACAUACUAUAUUCUUUAGUUUUGCUUCAAUUGUUGAAAUUCCCGUGAUAAACAUGAACAACAACGGGAUUCCGAAAAUCGAAAUCAACACAAGGUCUGUAACAUUCUUUAUGUUCCACACGCUUCGAUGGCAGCAGCCACCAGCCAAUAACAAAUGAGGAUCAGCAAAAUUUCGGAGCGGCUACCAGAUUAUUAAAUAAGUUUUUGCUGUUAAUUAAGGAAUUAAUUGAACAACGUUAAAUUAUGGAGAAAAUCUUUCGUGAUGCAAGCACAUGCUUUUGCCCUCCAAAUCAAACACUCACCAUUGUAGGCCCCAAUGUCGUCUUUAUAGAUUUUCCAUCUUUAUGAUAUGUGCUCUUCUUAUCAGGAAAAAAAAAAAAAUUUCCAGCCGCAAACAUCGCCGAAAUUUCACAUUAUUAAAUCUAAAUUCAUUCAUUUCUUGACAAGGCAUAUCUCCUGCCUCUUCAACUUGCUUCUUGCAUCUAGCCAGCUAUAUAUCAACAAAAUUUACGCCUCGAAUCCGUUCCUAUUAACUACAAAUCCAAAAUAAUAAUAAUAAUAGUAAUAAAAAAAAAUCUUGAAGUAAGAGAGCGUAAAUACUAUUUUAAACAAUGUAAUCCAAUGUUAUUCUCUUAAGAACAUGAUGAAUAUUUGUUAGCACGGACAAUUUUUUUUUAAUGAUUAUGUUGAUGUUUCCUAAAACAUUGAGGGGCAGCUUGAAAUUAACCUUUUCGAAUACCCUAAACCCUCAACUCAAACCAGGUCCAGUUGUGUGCUUUGUUCCCUCCAUCAGUCUUAAUUUUUAUUUAAGUGGUACUGUACCACUGUUGCAACAUAGCUGAAUCCAUUAUAAACACCUGAAGUCAAAGUUAAUGUUUUAAUUGUUAAGAAAAGUUAGAAGAAGAAAUUUUUUUAUAAGAGAAUUGGGUUUAAAUUUAGAAUUCUUUGGAGGAAAUGAGUCUAAAUUCCAAUAAUAUAAUUCAGCACUAUUUAUAUAUACCAUUAGUUGGGUGAAAAUUUAAUUUCUCUCCUUUGAUGUGAUUUUCAUCAUUUAUUUUUAUAUGAUGGUAAUUUUUUGUUUAGAGUGAAGUUAUUGGCACCCUUUCAUUAUCCUUAUAAAAUCCUACUUCAAAUAAAAUUACACUUAAAGACAAUAGAAUUAAAUAACAUAGUUUUUUUUUCAAACAAAUUACUCACAUUCAUAAUUUUUUUUCUUCUAAUUUUCUGCAGGUUGCUUUGUAUCUAACUAAAAUAAAUUGUAUAAAUUUAGAAUAAUCUAUUAUUCUUUUUAAAUUCCUUAUUGAUUAAAUAUUUGUGUGCUUAAGAUAGCUUUAAAAUUAUAAGAUAAAAUAUAUAUAAUUUAAGCCAAUGAUUAACAUUAAAAUACUUAUCUCUCAUAAAAGUUUUUAAUUUGUGCAUAGGAUAAUAAUAAAAUUGCAAAAGAAAUGAAAAAUAGCAUAGCACUAUUUUGAGUUUAAACAAUAAAAAAUUAAAUGAAAAAUUAGAAGUGUAUUUAAAAAAAGGUUAUUUUUGAAAAUAAAAUAAAUAUAAUUAAAAAAAAAAGAGUUUCAUGAGGGGUGCAAUAGUUCAACUCUUUUGUUUAUAAGUUUUAAGAUGUUGGUAUCCGUAGCUUAGCUUUUCCCUAAUUAUUAUAUUAAAAUGUAACAACAAUGAUGAUCAACCCUAAUUUCAUGGAGGUCAAAGAUUUUGGUCAUGCCGCAUGAAUUAGUUGGUGGGAAACACUUUAUAUAAAUUUAUUUACAUUCAAUAAUUUGACUAAGACUGGGUAAGGUGCUGCCUGGAGUCAUAGAAUUUUUUAUGUCAAAAGCGCGUUUCACUUCAAUUAAGCCAUAAAUGUUGUUUAAUAUGCUCAUUUUGUAUUUUUUUUUUAAAAAAGUUUUAUUAAUUUUUUUGUUUUUAAAAAUAUCAUUUAUUUAUUUUUUUUAAUUUUUUUAAAGGUAAAGAAGUGGGUAAAGUUCAAAUUUAAUUUUUAUUCCUUACGUCAUGACCCCUAAGAUUUGAACUUAGGUGACCAAAUGUAUAAUAAUAGGCAUCUCAAAUUUCAUUUCUAAUGAUAUGCAAUUUAUUAAGAGAUUGUUAAUCUUUACAAGAUUCGAGUGAAUUAAUUGUAUUAUUUCACUAUUAAUUGAUGAGUAUCAUAUUAUUUGGAAUAACUUUUGAAUAAAAAAAUUGUGAUGGAUGAAAUAUUCUUUUGAGAAUUUAUUGACUUAUCUCAUUUAAGUGAUAUUGCAAAUAAUAUUAUUGUUUUGACGAGUAAGUUUGGAGUAAAUAUUACAUAUGGCAAGUGUGAGGUUUGUUAUUGCAUAUAUUUUGUGGAUCCAUUUUAAAGCCAAAAAAAAGGCAUUUUGAUUCAUUAUGAUUCUAGAUAAUUUCAAGCCAUAUGUCAUUAUUGGGAUAAAAAUAAAGUAAAAUGGUUAAAACUAUUUUUAUGUAAUUUAUAAAAAUUAAUGAAGCAACUACAAAAUUUUUUAACACAAAAAAAAAUUGAAAUGUGUGUGGAAAAAGAAGAAAAAAAAUAAGGCAUUUAAAUAUCUUCUUAAAAAAUACGAUUGAGUAAAAUCAUUUUAACAGAAUGCUCUUCCAAAUACAAUUCCACAUUUUUUUUAUUGCAGUGGGAUAUUCCAAAAUUGGCACAACUCAUUAAGAAUUCGGCAACUCAAAUUUUAUUUAUCUCUCUAUGCAUUUGACAAAUUAAAAAGAAAAAAAUCCAUAUAUUUUCUGUUCAAAAGAAACCUUGGUAAAUAUUGUAAAACAAAUUACCAAUUUUUUUUUUUAAUAUAUGCCAUUAUAUCGUCGCUAUUUUCUCGCCCACUUUCUUAAAAUAGAAUCAAUAUUUAUUGAUAGGUUGGGUUCCAAAGUAAGCACCAAUUCAGCAAAAUGGUUUUAUAGCAGAAAAAGCACUUGUAAGACAUUAUAUGAGUGUGUAAUUUGUAUAUAUAUCCCCAUUAAUUGUUGAUAGUCCAAUGGGUAUAUGCAAAAGGAAAAAAUUGGCUUUCCUUUUAAGACAAAAUUGACUGUCACAUGAAAAUGUUUGUAUAUAUAUCCCCAUUAAUUGUUGAUAGUCCAAUGGGUAUAUGCAAAAGGAAAAAAUUUGUAUAUAUAUCCCCACACACACAAAGCUCUCUAGCUUUUGUAAAAAACUCUCUUGUAUAUUUUCUCUUUGUGAGUAAUAAAAUCAUAUUCAGCCAUAUUGCUCUACUUCUCUAUAGCAUUUUCUGCAAGUGUUCUUACUUCGCUAGUUUGAGGAGUGUUCUAGGCUUGCUUAACAACUUGUUCGCUAUAAGGACAUCUUAGUCACAAAACAUGGACAUGCAAGAAAAAAUUAAUAUUGAUACAUGCGUUCUAAAAAUAAUACGCGUUCUUCUACAGUGAACCAAAAAAUUUAGGCUAAUGGUAGCAAGUGAAGGAAUUGUGAUUUCACGUGCAUUUUGUUGACGUGAACGUAAAGGACUUUUUUUUAUAGUUUAUAUUGUUUAAUAUAACAUUUGAAUUGCAAAAUAGGGGUACAAAAUAGAUACACGAAGUGAUAAAACUAAGUUGAUUAUAAUAAAUAUUGAAUUAUAAGAUUUAGGUUUAAUCAGAAAGACAUAAGUGGCGCACAAAGUCACGAAUUGAUAUGAUCCACGAUGCAAGUUCAAACAACUGCAUAAUAAGUUGCCCUAAGCUAAACUAUUAAUCUAGUAACUAUUCUAGUUGAUGUGGGAUAAUUUUCCUAUCAUCAUCUAUCACGUGCAAGCCGAAUUUGUUGCUUGGUCCUUACAUGUGGUAAGGUAAUAUGAAUCCACUUGUGCAUAAAUUUGGCUCCGAUAUUAUAUAGAAGCCUAUGAUCCAAAAUUAUACUUAAAGGUUAUUUCAAGAUUUGAGGGUUGCCUCAAGCUAAUAUUAUUAUUAGCCUGGUAACCUUUUUUUUGUUUGUUGAUAUGUGAUAUUUUCCCUAUAACUUUUAUUAAUCUUUAUGCUUAUGUUUUGUCAUUUAUCCCAAAAUAUAACAUUAACAAAAGUUCCAAAAUUUCCUUCAAGAGAUAUAUUUGAGACAAGUAAUUUGUGCAAUAACUUUGUGAAUUGAUGAGCAAAUUCAGAGAAAAGAAUAUAUGUGCCAAACGUAACGUUUAUUAUUGUGUUUAUUUGUAGAGCUAUUUAAAGCCCAAAAAAAAAGCACUGAUCCGCUAUUAUUUCAAAUAAGUUCAAGCCCUAUGUCAUUAUUCGUACAAAAAUGUAUUAGAAUGGUUAAAAGCUAUUUUUAUUUAACUUAUAAACUUAGGAAAUUAUCAACUGUCCGCCCUUAAAUUGCAUUGUUAUAAAAAAUAUUAUAACAUUUUCAGGUUGUAUCAUUCAUCUACUAUAAAUUUACAAUCUGCAUCAUUUAUCCACCAAAUCAUUAACUUCGUUAAAAAGUGAUAGACAUCACAAGGGUAAUUUAGACAUUUAACACACAAAAAAAAUAAAAGAGAAAUUAUCUAAGCUUACCAUGUUAUCAAAAUUGCUACAAAAUUUUAAAUUUGUUCAAUUUUCCAUUCUAAGUUUAGACCUCCAAGAUGUUAAUUGCAGUUUGUAAUUAAUGAGUUCAUAAGGAUAAUUUAGACACUCAAUAUGCAAAAUAAAACAUAAAAUAAUGGCUUAAAACAUUAAAACAAAAAACUACUUUUUAUAAUUGAUAUUCAAUUAAAUACAUAUAAACUCUAUUUUUUUCUUAAUUAAAAAUAUUCUAAUUUAUUUUCUCAAUUUAUCAUCAUAAAUUUACAUUAAUAAACUAAAUCCACAAAUUACCCUAAACCCUAAUUCAUAAAUGCCCAAUCAAUCUAAUAGUUUAAUUCGAUUUCAUAAUUAAAAAAGCUAAAUUUAUUAUAUUAGUUAUGGUGCAAAGUAAAAAAUGCCCUUAAAUUCAAGGGUAAAAUAACAUUUUAUUUAAAUUCUAUAAAUUAUUCUAACAAUGUUAACAUUUUGGUGGACUGUUAAUAUAAGUUACAAACUUAAAAUAGAAAAUCAAAUAAAUUCAAAAUUUCAAACUAUUUAGGGCAAAUUUAGGACAUAUGGUUAAUAAUUUUCCCAUGUCUUUUUACAUUGGUUGGUAUAAGUUACAAACUUAAAAUAGAAAAUCAAAUAAAUUUAUAUUUUCAAACUAUUUAGGGCAAACUUAGGGUAUAUGGUUAAUAAUUUUCCUUUAUCUUUUACGUUAAAUUGAGUUUCAAAGGUAAAAUGGUUAAUUUAUUAUAAUUCUGUUAAUUUUUUAGUGGAAGCAAACGAUAUAAUGGAUGAAUGAUAUAAAUUGUAAAAUUAAGGUGCAUGAAUGAUACAACUUUAAAGUAUUGUAGUAAUUUUAAUAAUAGAACAAUUUAAGGGUGGAUUGGCAAUAAUUUAAACUUUAAGCAACCAAAAAAAUUUUUUUAACAAAAGAAAAAUAAUUGAAAUGCUUUAAGAAAAAUAAAGGAAUUAAAUAUCUUUAUAAAAACAUAAUUGAGUAAAAUCAUUUUACAAAAUGCUCUUUCAAAUGCACGUUCCACAAGCCAGGGAGAACGGGUGGCUAACAAAAAUCUCACUUUUUAUGAGUUUAUAAAAUCUCACUUUCGCAGAAUCAAAAAAUAAACAUUAUUGCUGUCACGACAUUACGCACUUUCUUUGCCAUCUAGAAAGGUAGAACAUUUUGAAGUUCCUCAAUACAAAAUGCGUGCUACUACUAAAUUGGCCCAAUUAAUGCCAUCGAAAAGGCCAUCAAUUUAGCCAUCAAUUUUGUCAAAAUUUCAACAAUUAAAGAAACAAUUAAAUCUUGAGAUACAUACAACAAAGCCUUGAAACUUUAUUCUUCACAAUUUUAGCUCCUUGCGCGAACUGAACAAGUUGAACGAAGCUUUUUUUUUUUUUUUGGAUUUUUGGAAUUUUUUAAAAUCAUUUAUGUUCGCUACCAUCUUUUUCUUCGCUGGCGUCUUCAUUGGCAUCUCCUCGUCUGUAGUUUGCUGUGCCUAUACAUCCAACCAAUAAAUUGGGCAUUAAAUACGAAUGAUGAAUAAAAUGAUAAAAAAAAAAACAAACAGAGAAAACUAUAAUAUAACACAUAUAUAUAUAUUGAAAGAGAAAUUUUGAUUUUAGGAUAGAUCAAUUAGCUAUCACAAACGAAAACAUGAACCAACUAUGUAUAGAGUCAAUUAACUAAAGUUCUCAAGAGUUGACCUGUGCUCCAGAAUUCUUGGACUCAUCUAUCUCCUUCUGAAUUUCCACGAAGCUUGGGACAAUUAAGAACAUCUUCAUUGGAUGCAGAUGGAAAUGGGAUCUGAUAACCCGCAGGCCAAAAAUUGGUGAGGUUUGGUAAACCAAACAAUUUCAAGUCCCGAAGUUCAUUCAUAACAAUUUCAUUGUAAUCCGUGACGUCUGCUCCAUCUUUAUGCCAGAAUACUUCUUCUAAUUCAUCAUUAGCUAUUAUCCAUAGGUACUUCAGUUUUUGAAGACUUGGAGCUACGCUGAUAUGAAAUAGAUGCUUUAGUUUGGGGCAAUAACCGACAGAGAUAACUGUGAGUUUUGGGAAACAAACAGGUUGGAGAUGAUCCUCAUCCUCAUCCUCAUCAAUGAUUUGCUCUAAUUCCAAGCAAUCUUGAAUUUCCAGCUUCUCCAAUUGCAACAGAUUUCGAGCAAGUGUUGAUGAGAAAAGACGUCUCAGCAUAUUGCACCCGUCCACUCUUAAAUAGGUAAGACUUUGCAGGCUAAAAUUAUGCGUGGGACCUACAGGUUGGAGAUGAUCCUCAUCCUCAUCCUCAUCAAUGAUUUGCUCUAGUUCCAAGCAAUCAUGAAUUUCCAACUCCUCCAAUUGCAACAGAUUUCGAGCAAGUGUUGAUGAGAAGAGACGUCUCAGCAUAGUGCAACCGUCCACUCUUAAAUAGGUAAGACUUUGCAGGCUAAAAUUAUGCGUGGGACCUACGUGAUAUAAUAAUACUUGCAGUUCUCGAAGAUCGCGCAAGCUCAAUCCCUUCAAACAUGGGAAUAGUUUAUUUUCUUGUCCCUCAGCGAUAAUAGCUUCCAAUUGAAAUACCACUUGUACUCUAAGUUGUCUAAUACGCAAAUAUUCCAAAUUUUUUAAUCCAUGCUUCAACAGUGCUGGAAUCGUGUCACUCAAAUGGGAACAACUUUCCACAUUUAGAAUUCUUAAUUUCUGAGCCAAAUAAAUAAAUAACUUGAUGCAAUUAAAAUCUAUUAGCAGCUAGGAUUAUCACAUGAUAAGUGAUGAACACCGCAAAAAACAAAAACAGAAAACAAAAUCCAAACAAAAAUAUCAUAAUACAUAUGUAAACUAAUAAAAUAAUUAAAAAGUAAUGGAUUUUAAAAAAAAUGAAAUUAGUUAAAAGAGAUCAUGUGAAGUGAUAUAAAUGUGACAUUAGAUUGUUUUAGAAAAAUUAUUAUUCUAUUAAUUUAUAUAGCUUGAUCAACUAUUUAAUUGAAUUUGAAUAAUAUUAUAUACACUUCAGAAGUAUUUACAUCAAUUCUUUCUAAACCAAAAUGAGAUAUGACUUUCAUUUGAAGAAUGGUUUUAGGCCCUAUAAUAAAGAAAUUUCCCUAAGAUAUCUGAGCAUUAUUAUUAUCAUUACCACAUCCACCACCACCAUCAUCAUCUCCAUAGGAUCAAAUAAUUAAUGGCUGAUCAUAAAAUUUAUUGCUAAACUACCAUUUUCAGUAAAAUUAAAGGAAAAGAGAAAAAAACAUAAAUACAAAUAAACAUACCUUUUCAAGAUACUGCAAAUUAGCUUCAAGUUCAGUACUGUUGACGGUCAAGUUGGGACAAUAAUGAAGCCGUAACUCUUCCAAUGCUGGCCAAAUUGAACAAUAAUUUUCUGAACAGAAGCUGGUGAGUUCUGGGAGAUCAUCAAGUGUUAAUUUUCUCAAUAAAGGGAGGGCGAGCAUCGUAUUUCCAUCUCCGACACUUAUUUCCCCUUCAUUAUGAUCAAACUUUGCUUCGACAAUAUAUUCCAGUCUCUCGCAUCCACUUACAUAGAGACUUUUAAGCUGCUCCAAACUUCUAGCUUGUGACAACGUGAAGAUAUAUGUCAACUUGUUGCAGCUAUGCACAUUCAAUUUUGUAAGAGUUUGGAGACUGAUCACAUGUUGGGCGGGCGCCUUCCAUAUCCACUUCAGUUCUGGUAAGUCCCACAUAGAUAACUCUGCUAAUCUUGAGAGACUCUUUCCAUGCGGCGACUUAGAGGCUUCCAUUAUGCAUUCUAAAUCUUCGCAAUCGUGGACAUCAAGACAAGUCAACUCAUUUAAGCCCCUUUCAUCUAUGCUUGGCACAAUAUUAUGACAACCUAUUAACCCCCUCAAACAAAGAAAUUCCAGAUUUUGAUACAAUGCUGAAAAAAUAACGAGCGAGGUCGCUUCAGGAGGGUCAUUCUCAAUGAUUAAUCUCCUUGUCUCAUCACCAUCUUCCAUUACAUCAUCAACUCCUUCACCUUUACGGAUGAUGUAUCUUUGCAAUUUCGGAAAUGUAAAGUCUUUUGGAAGACAUACAACAGAUCUGUCGGCUUGGGAGUUCAACUCAGCAAGCCUAGCAUUACUUUCUUCUGAACUCAUCCCCUCAACCUCCCAAUUUUUUAUCCGACCAUAAAAUUCUUCUAAUUUUUUUAUCGUAAUGGGAGAAACAGAACCAGUAUCAAUAUAUAGAAGUUUCAAUCUACGAAGUUCAUCCGACAAAUCUUCAGGAAUUUCAAUGGGAGAAUCCUCGAGAUAAAGAAGUUCAAGUCUCUUCAACUCUCCAAGAAAAGAAGCGUCACUCACAUCACACCGAAUCAACUGCAGAACUCGGAGGUUAUUGUCUAGGAAUCGAAGUGAUUUUAGUGAAAGGACUCCAUUUAUUAUAGUAACAACUUUCAAUGCUGGCAUCCCUUCAAAAAAAUUUUCUGGAACUUGCAAUUUGUAGUCACAUAGAGUGUUGUCCAGUCGCAAAAUAUGAAGGUUAGGGCAUAUAAAACUACUAGGAAGCUCUUCUUCUUUAUUUCCCAUUACAGAGAUUCCUCUGCACUGUUCCAGGCCUUUUUCCACCGCCUGUUCCAGCAAUCCGAUGCCAUUUAUACUAAACAAUCUCUCCUCCUUCUCCUUCUUCUCUGUGCUUAUCCAUAUGGCUACAUCACGAACUAUGUCAUGCAUUUUCACAGAUCUGUCAUUACCAGUGUCUAACAGCAGUGAAGCAGCUUUGAGUCCUUCAAUUGUUCCACGCAGUAGGCUUCUGGCGUGCUCUAUUGAUUCAGCUUGAUACCAAGUCAACCCCACUACAUAUCCAACCAAAUCCUCCAAAUUAAUCUCAUAAUCUUCUGGAAACAUCGAACACAACAAGAAGCAUAACUUGGAAUCCUCACCAUUCAAAUUGUCGUAACUAAAUUUAAGACAACCAUAAACAUCUCGCUCAUCCUUAUCAAUCCCUUCGAUUGCAUAGAGUUUUGCUUCCCUUAGGUUAUGUAGAGCUAGAUUCCAUUCAUCAAAUCCUUUUCCUCUUAGUGCACUUCCAACAGCUUCAAUAGCUAAAGGCAGCCCGUUACAUUCUCCAGCAACUUCUUUGGAAACAUCAUUCAGGGUGGAGUCAUUUACAUCAAUGCCGGCAUUUUUUCGCAGUAAAGCCAAUCCUUCUUCUGGCGUUAGUGUACCCAGUGGAAUCUGCGAGUCACAACGCAUGCGUUCACAAACUGACUGCAGGCGAGUGGUUAGAAGGAUUUUGCAGCGAUUGUCUCUAUCACCAAUGGGAAUACCUAAUUUUUCCUUCAAGUUGAGUUCAUUCCAGACAUCAUCGAGGAUUAUGAGGAUCUUGGUGCUUUUGCUCGCAGAAAACAUCGAGCGCAGUUGGUCUGCUCCAUCUUUUUCAUCUUUCUGCUUUAAUUCCCAACCUAAUGAAUUUACCAGCUCAUUUUGAACAUUUAUUAUGUUUGGAUGCUGAGAUACAGUGGCUAGCCCCACCUUAUCGAAAAUCUUUUGUUGCCGAAGUUGACUGCCCACAAAUUUUGCCAAGGUCGUCUUUCCUACACCACCGAGGCCAUGCAAUCCCACCUUCUUUGUGCUCUCUUUUUUCAGCGCGUCAAUGAUCAGAUUGUAAGCUGAUUCUGUGGUCUUGUAAGUAGAAGAAAAAUAACUUGGUAAACUUAAUUCUCUUUCUAAUGGUGGAGGUUUAGCAAGGGCAGCUGUGUUGAUUUGGCUGUAGUAUUGUAGCAGAUCAAACAACUUCCUAGUCUUCUCUAAUGUUUUUCCGCCCAGACUAUAUCGGCAACACCAAUCAGGACACAAUCCAUGAAGACUACUAUCCUUUUCAUCUAUCUCUUCUUUCAACUUUCGAAUAUCGCCCAAUUCCCUGUCUACAUUCUUCAGCCACUCCGUUACAUUUUGAUCGACUACUAUGUCGGGGCGUUUUUGUCGUUGAUCUUCUAUUCUUUUAUUGAUGUCAUCUAGUGCCUUCUUCAACUUAGUUUUUUCAUCCUCAAGCUUUCUCACAAUGCAGUCGAAACAGAAUAGAUAGGAAGCUUGUUCUUCAAUUACAUUAGCCAAACAUUUUCCAAUCCGUUCUAAAAGUGGCUUUAGAAGUUCUUUUAAAAUAUCCAUGCUAUUUAUCUGCAAAUAAAAAAGUUGAUCUCAGUACGCUAUAAGCAAAACAACGAGGCUUGAUCACAAGAUCGAAGGAGGACGGUUAAUUACCUUUUUCUUUUCUAUGAUGCACGUCUAUUAACACCGGCUUUGAUCAAUAAGAGCAAAAUGCAAACGCUGGGCUUCAAGAGUUUUAGUGGCCUUUAGCUGCAAAAUAGAAGAUGACAAAUAAGGUAAAACGUUCCCAGCAAACGUGAUAUAUGGCGGACUUAAAAUGAUACCUUAUUUGCAUGAUAUGCAUGGGGUAGCUCACCCCCGCCUAGUGCCUUUGUCAAAAAAAAAAAAUGAUACCUUAUUUGGGAUGAUAAAGAUUGGGGUAAAUUUUCUUUUAUUCUUAAAAUUUUAAACUUAUUAUCAAUUAUAGUAUUUAUAUUUUUAUAAAUUAAAAAUCAAACAAAUCUGUCAUGCAACAAACAAAAAUAAUGUAAUAAAUUAUUAAAUGGUUAAUUUUAUUGAUAAAUUAUUAAAUUACAAGUAAUGAAAAUUUAAUCUCAAGAGUUAGUAGAAGAUCAUAGAUAAUACAUAAAAAAAAUAAAUUUUAAGUAAAUCAUAAUAAAAAAAUAAUUAUUCAAUCAAUUAAUAUUAGGUGUAAAUAAAAAAAAUGACAUAAACAAAAGUGUCAUAAAUCGACAACUUUUUUCUUUAAUCUUAUCCCAACUAAACCCAUGUGUAAAUUAGGAUUAUUAAUCUCAUGAUUUUAAGAUUAAACUCAAAUUUAGUCCCCCUUAAUUCAAUUAAACUAAACUUGCCAAACAUGGGAUAAAUAUUUAAUUCCAAAAUUAGUCCAAUCUCAUGCUUAGGACCAGUCCAGGAAUGUUGUACCUUUUAAAAUAAUUAUUAUUAACUGUGUGGUAGAAAUAAUCAACUGUGAAGAGAAUCAAAUAAAUGUUUGGUAAAUUUUAUUUUUAGAAGUACGGUGAGUUUUGAAAUCAGUUAUGAGAAUUUGUUAAAUUUUAUUAUUAAACUACUGAGAGAAAUCAAAUGACUAAAAUGUACAUUAUGUAGGAUAAAAUUUACUUAUACAUAUAAAAAUAUGUAUAUAUAAUAUUUUUAAUUUUGUACUUUAAUAAUUUUUACUAAAAAUAAAAUUUAUAAUAUAUUUGUUUUAUUUCUUUAUUUCUUUAUCUUAAAACAAUUGAUAAUUAAAUUUAUAAUAUGGUGAAACAAAUUUAAUAAUAAUUCGACCAACAAAUUGAUAUUAAUAAAUUUAUAUUGAUAAAUUAUAAUAAAAAUUUAUUAAAACAUUGAUUUUGUUUCCAAUUUGAAUAAAGAUAAUUUUGGGUUUAGAUAAUAAUUUUAAGGAUAUUUAUAGAAUUGUAUUAAAGAAUAAAAUUGAUUUUCAAAAUCAGAAUCUAAAAAUUACUUCUUCUCUACUUUUUAAAAUCAGUUAUGUGAGAAGUUAAUUUUGACAAAAUUUAUUUCAAUUAUUUCCACCAAACACUAAAAUUAAUUUUUAAAUUUUCAAAAUCACUUUUAAACCUCUAAAAAAACAAUUCCAAAUGGGCGCUUAAUCCUGGCAUCCAAAAUCCGUCUAAAAAGUUGCACUAAAAACAAGCUCGUAUAGCCAUUGGAAGUAAAACAAACAUCAAAUUAAGAGCCUAUGAAACAAUAAUAUCUCAUACCUUCUUCCGUUUAUAUCUUCAAUUACUGCUGAAAGCUCUAGCUAGAGAGUCGCACAAGCUCGGAGAAAAUUAAAAGCUGCAUCUAGCAAUAUAAAUAAACAUCAGAUCAAACCAACAUAGGAUAUAUCAAGCUAAUUAACAUCAUAUAUAACUCAUUGUUCUCAGUCAAAUCUUUCAUUCUUAGGAGAUAAAAAAAAGAUUGAAAUAAUAACUGCAAGUGAUAUAGGAAGCAACAGUAACAUACCAAAACGAGAGCAGCUAGCUCACAGAUCUGGUGACUUCCAAGACAAUGAGAAAUGAAUGAGGUUUAAUAGCAAGAUCCGAAUCAUGUAUCACAAAUUGCUAUUGACUUCGUGGCUUCACUUUUCUUUGUUUUUUUUCGUUUUUUUAAAUUCUAUAUCAGUGAGAAUUGAAAUGUGGAAAGUGGAAUGAUACACAUGCCUUAUCAUCUAUCAUGAGGGGUGAUUUGGUAAAACCGAUUUAAAAUAAAAAAGUUUAAAAAAAUUUAAAAAGAUGCUUUGUGUCUGACUGCUUGUAUUUGGGGUAUUUUUCGGGUUGUUGAGAGUGAGUUUAAUUAAAUAUAAGAUUUUCAUUUUUCUUAUUAUAUUUUUCUCUUUAGAAUGAAUUUAAAUCUCAUUCUUAUUAAAUUCAUUUUUUUUAAAUGAAAGUAGAUUUCUCUCCACACAUUUGAGAUAUAUUUUAAAAUUAAUGUUCAGUAUAUCUCUAAAUUAUAUUAUAAAUAUUUUUAUUCAAAAUCUUAACAAAUUUCAUAACACACAAAAAGAAAUACAUAUAUAUGUUGUAAUGUUUUAAUGAUGGAUCUCUAAAGUUAUCAAGUUAAAAAAUAAAUUAAAAAAUAAAAGAUACACACUUCAACUUAUUAUAUGAUAAAAUAUAAUAAAUUAAAGUGAGUAUUAUAUUUAUUUUUUAUUUUAUUUCUUAACUUAAUAACCUAAAAUAUAUUUAUUUAAUAAUGAUGAUAUAUAUAUAUAUAUAUUAUUUUUAAAAAAAUAAACAACUUAAGUGAAGCAAAGGACAUUUUAGAGGCAUUGCAAGACUACCAAUUUACCAUUUUGGGUUGCAAUAAAGUGAAAACUGUAGACUACCAAUCUACUGUUUUGGAUUGCAAUAAAGUGAAAAUAAGGUUAAUUUCAAAAAAGAAAAGGUGACAGUGAGUUGUCAAUUUCAUCCUUGUCGGCCAAUAAUACAUCAACCUUUUGCUGAAUUAUUAUGACCGACAAAAACAAAUUAUUGAAUCGGGUCCCGCUGACCUAAUGUAAAGUUACAUUCAUAACAAAUUAAUACUUGUCUUUAUUAUAAAUUGUUCUUUUAUUCAAAUAUGCAUUCAUUUCUUCAAUCAAGUCCUCAUAUUCGUUCAAUUUAUGAUAAGAUCCUUGUAUGGGAGCAUAUCUGCAUAUGUAAUAAUUAUUCUUCUAUUUCAGACAGUUUUUGUGAAAAAAAUACUUUUAUCAAUUAUUUAUGUUUACUAAUUCUUAUGUCUUUUUUUUAUUACUUUUCAUAGCUCUAUACAAAUGUUUGCUAUAAAUUUUGUGUUAUUUCGUUAUAAUAUAAUUUAUAUUGUAAACCUCUGUUCAUCUGUAAAUAAAAUGACAAUUUUUUUGUUUACUCCUAAAAAAUAUGAAAAUAUUAAUUUACUCUCAUAUUUAUUUAGAAGACAAUGGCAAAUAAGAUCGCAUUGAUAAAUUUUUUUAUUUACUUAUUAAUUAAUUAGAGUAAAUUAAUAUUUUCACAAUGAAAGAUACAUUGAAGAUUGUCAUUCUUAGUAGAGGGUAAAUUAAAAUUUACCUAAUUAAUUUAAAAUAUCAUUAAAAUUUUACAUUCUAAUCUGGAUUAGAUUAAAUGGGGGGGGGGGGGGGGGGAUGUCCUUAUUUGGAUUAGACUCAACUGGAAGAGGCAUAUCCUUAGCUGGAUCAAUUUGUUCAAGAUUGGAUGCAUCCAUCGGUUUCAAAUUAGUCUCUUGUAAGUAUAAUCGGAUUUCUUGACUAAAAUUUAGAUUAUCAAUCACAUCUAAAACUUAUUGAAUGGUACAUUUUAUUUCUAUAAAAUUGAGUUACUAUUAUCACCUCACAUCUUAUAAAUUCUAGAAAAUAAUCAAGGCUUGACAUACUUUUAUUUAUGCAAAAGCAUAAGAAAAUAAUUCAAAGUACUAAUUAGUGUACUAUUCCUCAAAAUUCUAGAAUAGAUUUGCUAGUUCUCUUUAGCCAUAGAUUGGUCCAUGAUUGGCACCGCAAUAGCUCAGAAUCACCUCAACGAUUGUUCAUGACACACUGUAAACUAAUCUAACAAGAACUUUAUGAGUGGCUUUCUAGCAAUAGUCUUAGAGAAAGCAUUUAGUAGUAUGAAGUCUUCUUUUUUUAACACAAAUGUUGGCAUGAUAUUCUUAAUAUAUUUGUAAAAUCACAAUAAAAUGCAUAGAGGAUGAUAAUUUUAUUUCAUAAUUGAAUUUUUUACAAAGAAAGUUUGAACAUGAGAGUGAUGAGAGGUGAGAAUAUUGAUGAUGGUGUGUACUUUAGAUGGAAAAAUAGAUUGAAAAUAUAUAUAGACAUAUUAAAAGAAAAAAAAUUUGGUCUAUUUCUUAAGAGAAACAAAAAAUUAUAAACGCGGGUGUUAAAAUGUAUUCAGAAUUUAUAAAUUUUUAAAAAUAAAAGGACACUGGGUUGCUAUCAAUUUCGACCGUGUAGGUUCAUAGCCGGGGAAGUAAUUGGGCACAAAUAUCUCGGAUGAGAAAUAACCAUUUUAUCCCGCAACCAUAUGUUUAUGGCCUCUAAAAAUUUUCACCUCUUUCACUUCUGGAACCCGUGCUACUUAAUUAUAGAGCGUUUUUAGAAUUGCAACGACAUGGUGCUCUUUGAUAAUUCAAAAAUCCAAUAUAAUUUAUAGAGAAUUACAGAAUUGUUUGGUGCGUGAUAAUUUGCUGAUGCAAUGAGGCGCCGAAAUUCUUAUACAUGUGAUUUAAGUUAUAUAUGUAUAGUUAAGUACUUAGCAAGCACUAGUUGGGGGUAUUUGUGUCCAUGGAAAUUUACAGCUGGUUGUUGGCAUUACACUGCGGGUGUGUAAUUAUUACAGAUGCAGAUAUUCUCCCAUGCGAGGAUCUUAUCAUAAAUUUAAAGGAUACGAGGACUUGAUUGAAGAAAUGAACGAAUAUUUGAAUAAAAAAAAAUUUUAGAAUAAAGACAAGUAUUAAUUUACUAUGAAUGCAACUUACAUAAGUUAGCGGGACACUAUUGAAUCACACGCAAAAAACAAUCUGUCUUCUUCUUGAUUUCGUAAUUUAGCUGUCAAAAUGUAAUCUAUAAAGAUUACGAUACCUCGAUUCAAAAAAUGAUGUAUCUGAUGAAAUAAAUGAAAAUUGAAUCUGCCACGAACACUAUUCAAUUAACCGUUUAUUUCCCCUUAAAUUUUUAAUUUCAAUGAAACAUAGAUCUAAUAGGAACUACAUAUAUAUAAAAAUACUAUAGAUUGAAGAAGUUGAAUUUUUCUUGUGUGUUAAGUAUUUUUAGUUAAUACGAAAGGAUUCUAGCAAGUUAAUACAAAAGUAUCAUAAAUUCAUAGUAGUACAAGAGAUUUUUUUUUCUUUUGAUAUUAAGAGUUUUCGAGAUAAAAAAAAAAAGGUGAAAGAAGAAGAUGAGAGAAGAAAAAAUAUUAAGAAUAGUUUUGACAUUUUGAUGCGCUUUAUAGAAUAAAAUCUAUAUUUUAUAGUAUAAAAUGGUACACCCAGAAUUUAAUGAUAAAAUUUUAAGAAAAAAUUGCACUCGUCAGAAAAAAAAUAAAGGCUCAGCUUAGCCCAAAAUUUUUUUAUUAAUUGUCUAGUCGCUAAUGUAAUCUCUUUUUAAUGAGAUUCUUUGGUGUUUUAAUUUAGUCCAUUGUUAGCAAUCUAAUAGUUUUUAUGUGAAAUAUGUUUCAAGCUUGAAUAAAAUCUGCGGGACAACUGGUAAGUAAUAAAGCUCAUCAUUUUUUAUUUUAAUUUUGAAAAUAAAAGGGAAUCACUUACACUUAGCAUGAUAUUAUUUUUGAUAAGUCAUUUUUUUGGUAGAUUAUUUUUUCUGACACGCUCUUAGAUUUAGUGAAAAUAAAUUGUAUACUUUUAAUGAAGAAAAGUAAAGAUCAACCAAAUAUUUUGUUGUUUUCGACAACUUUUGCGUUGUCAACUGCGCCGGGUACCUUUUUUUUUUUUUAAACUUUUGAGUUGUUGUUUAAUUUGUAUUAUAAUUAAGGAAAAAUAUCCACCGUUCACUUGAUUUUGUCUAUUUUUUUAAAAAUACACAAAUUUUAAUUUUUUUAGCUACACUCUAUCUGAACUUAUAAUUUUUUUUACAUUUCCACCUCCGCCUGUAAACCGUCAAUAAAACUAACGGAAUUUUAUCCAAAUUACUCUUUAACCCCAAAAAUAAAAAAUUACAUAUUUAUCCUAAAUAAACUUUAAAAUAUUAGCUUUGUGAGUAUUGUAGCCCUAAAUAAAGACUAAAAAUCUUUAAAUCCUUUCAAAAAUUUUAUUUUUUAAACAAAUAUUAUAAAAUCUCGCAAUCUCGCAACACAAAAGGACCCCACAUUUUCUCGGGAACCAAACAGGAACAGACGGAAGAAAGCGAACCUGCCAGAGAACGAUAGGAUUGGAAGUCCGCCUGGCGGGCUCUUUGGCCUCAAGCUCAAUCGGCGGCGGAAGAAUCGGACGCGUGGCGUCCGGAAACCUAGCCAAGCUCGGCUUCACACUCCUAGCAUUACCGUCAUCGGCUUCACUAACCGUUGACGUUUUGGCAGUCCCUUUAGAAACAACAGUUUCUUCUGCUUUCUUAGGUUGCUGAUUAAAGAAGAAAGGGCGAUUGAGUUGGAAUUUCGGCAACAGCGAGAGUAUGCUUUUGUUUUCUUGUUUUCUGGGACUGGAAGCAAUUUUUGUGUUUUCCGCCAUGACUACGGUCAAUCACUUUCAGAGUAGAAGAUUUUGGCUUUGCCUUUGCUUUUUCUUUCUUUUUUUUUAUUUUUUUAAAAGCAAGUUUUGAAGCGGCGGAGAAAGCAGUGUGGACUGUGGCGUCUUCAUAAUUAUUAAUUAUAUAAUUUUGUUUACAAAAACAAAUAAAAAUAAUUUAAGUCUAUUUUUGCCUACAUUAAAUUAUAUAUAUAACCCUUAAUAAUAAAAUUUUUAUUUGUAUAAAAUAUUAGUUUAUUACUGUUAGCAGGUGUGGAGGGCGUUUCUUUCAUGCAUGUGAUAUGUAAAAACAACAAUAAAAAUUCAGAAAAAAAGAGUUUAUUAUUUAUUGGUCCUCAGUCAUGCAUAAAGAACUAAAAUUAAUUAAUUGAUAAAGAAGAUUAAUCACCAAGUAGCGGGCAGCAGGAUUCUGCUCAGAAUCUUCAACCUCGAGCUUCAUCGGCGGCGGAGCAAUCGGCUUAGGAUCCGAAAAUUUCACCAUCUCUCGUUUCUUGCUUGCUUCUGCAGCUUCUCUUUCUUCACCUUCACUUUUAUUUCUCUCUUGCUUAUUAUUAAAUAUUGGAGCAGAAAAUAAUAAGUUUGUAAAGUGUGCGAACAGGUUUUUGGGUUCUUUUGAGUCUUUAUUUUCGCUCUCAAUUUGUGUGUCUUGUGCAGCCAUGAAUGCGAAUGUGGUGAGUAGAGACCAGAGAAUAAUUAAGCUUUGAGCUUCGAGUUUAUCAAAGCUUUUGUUUGGGUUCUUGAAACUGAAAUAACUUUUUUUUUUGCUUAUUACAGAUCUUAAACGACGUCGUUUUUUAAGCCCAAGUGAAAUUAUCAUUUUAGCCUUAUGACGUCAGCAACGUCUUGACGGUUUGCAGACGGAGGUGGAAAUGUGAAAAAAAUUAUAAGUUCAGGUGGAGCGCAGCUAAAAAAAUUAGGAUUUGUGUAUUUUUGAAAAAGUUGUCAAAAUCAGGUGGACGGUGGAUAUUUUUCCUUUUUUUAAUUAUGUCCUAUCUAUGAACUAAUUAAAUAGAAAAAUUAAUAUAAAAAUAAUUUUACUGCCGAUCAAAUUCAAAAUUAAAUAACAUUUAAAUAAAUUAAUUUUCUAAAUAAAGUUAAAAAUAAAUUCAAAAUUUCAAAAUAUAAUACACUAAAAAGAAAAAAAAUAUCAUUUGUUUAGAUCAAUAUAUAAAAAAUAACUACUUAGAAAGCUAUAUUUUUUAUUUAAUUACUUUAUUUUAUAUUAUUAUUGGAUAAACUAUAAUAAUGGUGUUAAUGUAACUAUAUUUUAACUUAUUUAUUUAUUAAUAAGUAUAAUGCCAUAUUUACAAGUUUAAUUUUUUAUUAAAUAAAUAAAUAUAUUUUUUUUACAGAUUCGCAGAAUUUUACGAAUUUAUAAAAGUAAAUUCAUAUCCAAUUCAUCAACUGUAGAUUUUUAAUUUUAAUCUAAUGUAAUCCAUCAAUCUAUAAAUUAGAUUUUUAUGCAUCAAAUUUCUACGAAUUAGCGGAUUGCGCGGAUUAAAUUAAAAUUUGAACACCUCCAACAUGAAGUUGCUGGCAGCUGCCUGCAAACUCUGAAUUAUUUCAAAACAACUUCCAGCCGCUGAUUGUACAAAGCAUCAAAUCCAGUGGUCUAUAUUUUUUUAAAAAUAUUUUAUUACAUGCGAUCUUUUAAUAGAUCCAGUGCAUGGCAGUCGUAGCCUUUGUUGUGGGUUUCCGACCACUUUUGCCUUGUAAGUGCACCUGGCCGACAUUUUUUGUUGUUUUAUUUGUAUGAUAAUUAUCAUGGACCUGCGUGCCUUUUUUUUUUUUUCAUUUAAAAUUUCUUAAUAAUUUAAGUAAGACAAAGAAAUGGGUCUCACAUAUAAUUGAUUGUAUAAUUUUUCAAACAAUAUUAUUUUAAUACCUGAGCGUUUUUUGUUGUUGUUUUAUUUGUAUGAUAAUUACAUGGACCUACGUGCCUUUCUUUUGCUUUUAAAAUCUCAUAAUAAUUAAAACAAGACAAAAAAAUCGGUCUCACACAUAAUUUAUUUAAAAAAUUUUUCAAACUAUACUAUUUUAAUACGUAGGUGACUUUUUUGUUGUUGUUUUAUUUAUACAAUAAUUACAUGGAUCUACGUAAGGAUGAAAAUUGCGCCUGCAAACUCACAAAUUCGUCCAAAUCUACCUGUCAAAUCCGCCCGCUAUGGAUAAUGUUACAGGUUGCAGGCGGAUUUGGUAUUACAAAUUGAAACCCGCACUUGGAUGAGGGUAGGUUUGGUAUUAGCUCAAUAUCUGGCGGAUACCCGUAUGGAUACCCACUAGACCCGCAAUAUUUUUUUUGAAAAUAUUUUUAAUUUAAUUUUAAUUAAAAAUAUUUAAAUCUAAAAAAUAUAUAAAGAAAAUAAUACAAUUAUGUAAGGUGUCAAAUAACUAAAGUGUUUUUGUAUGGUCUAUUUUCUUUUAACUUAAUGCAUGAAUUAUUUCAUUAUUAUAAUUUUUUUCAUUGAAUUAAUAUUUAAAAAGUAUUAUUCUUUGAAAAAUAUUAAUUUUAAUCAUUAGGCAUCAUGUUGGAUGGGUGUUAAUGGUGGUGAAUUAAAUAAAUAUCUUUCUCUUGGAGCUUGUGUUGAAUGAUAAUAUGAAAUAUAAUUAUUAUUUUUAGAUACUAGUUUGUGAUUUUUUUUAAAGGAUUUGUGUAUUUUAUACUUAAAUUUAAGAAUUUAUGUUAGAUUGAUGUUGGAAUUUUAAUUUUUCAUUUACAUUGGAUAAAUUUAAAAUUGAGUAUGUUAUGUGGAAUUUGAGGUUAUUAUUGUAAAUUUAUACAUUGAACAUUUAUAAUUUUAAAUAUAUAAACCCGCAAAAAAUCCGUCAUAUACUAUUGUGAGUUUGGUAAUUGCCAAAACCCGCUGUGGGUGGAUUUGUUUUUAAAAAAAUUAAAACCUGAUGUGGAUGAAUUUGGUAAUUUAAAUUUUGUGCGGGUUUAAGUUUGGUAAUGACAAACUUGCUGUGGAUGGUGCCCAUUGCCAUCCUAAAUCUACAUGCCUUUCUUUUGUAUUUAAAAUUGGGGAAUUGCCACUUUCCCCCAUACAGUAAUCAACAUAUACCAUGUAUCCCCCUGUUGUUUUCAUAAUGGCCAAAAACCCCCCUGACACCAUAAGUUUACAAUAUUACCCUUAUUUUUAGCUACUUUUUAUUUACAUUUAUUAUAAAUUACAUGAAUAGAAACUAAAUAAAAAAAUUAAGUAUUAAAAAUAAGAAAUAUAUGUUUUGAUAUGAGCAAAAUAAUAAUAAUAUUUUUUUUCUUGUAAUUAUUUAUUUUGUGAACAUUUUCUUAUAAUAAACAUUUUGUAAUAUUUUAAAAUUAAAUGUAAAAAGUAUAGGCAAAAUAUUUUAUUAUUUAUUUUAUAAUAAAUUUUUAUUUGUCAUUCAAGUUUUCUUAUAAUAAUUUUUUAUCAUUUUAUAAUAAUUUUCUUAUAUAUUUAUUAUAAGAAAUUUUCACAAAAUAAAUAAGUACAAGAAAAAAAUUUAUUAUUAAUUUUUUUGCUCAUAUCAAAACAUAUAUUUCUUGUUUUUCAUAUUUAAUUUUUUAUUUAGUUUCUAUUCAUGUGAUUUAUUUAAUUUAUAAUAAAUAUAAAUAAAAAAGUAGUUGAAAAUAAGGGUAAUAUUGUAAACUUAUGCUGUCAUGGGGUUUUUGGCCAUUAUAAAAACAGUAAGGAAGAAAAUGGUAUAUGUUGAUUACUAUAGGGGAGAAAUUGGUAAUCGCCCUUUAAAAUUUCAUAAUAAUUUAAACAAGACAAAAGAAAUAGUCUCACAUAUAAUUUAUUUUAUAAUUUUUUCAAACAAUACUAUUUUAUUACCUGGGUAACUUUUUUUUUGGUUGUUUUAUUUGUAUGAUAAUUGUGAUGGAUCUACGUGCCUUUUUUUUUUUUUGCAUUUAAAGUUUCAUAAUAAUUUAAAUAAAACAAAAGAAAUGGGUGCCACAUAUAAUUUAGUUUAUAUUUUUUUCAGACAAUAUUAUUUUAAUACAAAUGACCAAAACAAAUUUAAUAUUGACUAAAAUUAAUCAUAAAUUUCUAUAUUAUGACAUAAAAUAUAAAAAAAACAUUUGAAGAAAAAAACAAAGGCACCCUUAAAUUUGAAUUGGCGCUAAGUUACGUUUAAAGUAACUUGUGCCUCUCACAACAGUAACAUUGGCCCCACCUAAAACUGUGACUUAGGCCCUCCCUUAAAUUUGAUGUAGGACACUACAAGACUCUUUGACAAAGAUGUUGCGACCUAAAGCAUGGAAGGGUCUAAAGUUUUCGGGUGAACAUGGUCCAAACAAUGACACGACGUGUGUUACAGCUCCACGUCACUCAUUAAUAUGAGUAAUGGCAAUCUCUACAUUAAGCAUGCACUGCCUCAAAUUGCACGCGAAUACGAAAACACACUUCUGAGUUUUUUUUUUCGUUUUAAGUUAACAAUUAAUUUUUUAUUUUUAUUUAACACUUAAUUUUCAUCAAAUCUUAAACUGUCAUAAUCAAUUAUUUUUUUCAUUGCGACUCCUUAACUAAAUUUUGAUCUGUAAUAAAUAGAAUUUGGCAAUAUUUGUUCCUUUAAAGAUAUAAAAUAACCGUAACAUUGUUUUUACAUUUUGAAUUUUUCUUGCAUUGCUAUUUAGAAAAAUAAUGUUAAAUCAAUCUCAUAAAAUAUAUCAACCCAUCUGAAACCCGAAUAUUGCUUACAUUUGUUUUGUAUUGUUGGAAUGACGCCAAAGCAAUUGAAAAGAUAUUGAAAAAAUAAUAAUUGUAAAGAUUGGCUACGGGAUUUCACUGAAGCUAAGUUGUGACUUGUGACUGUGCAAAUGUUGCGUAACAAGAUAUGAUUAUUCUUGCAGCACAAAUCCAGUAGCAUGCAACAAAAACUACUCUCCAACACUGCCUGUGAAGAAAAUAAAACAAGAGUAAAAAGAGCAACCAUACCUGUGAAUCUCUUUACUUCUCCCCCUUUUCUGGGUAAACUCUAUCAAAUGAAAACGCAGCACGAUCACAUUGGUCACUGCCACAGUGCCACUGCCAUUACUUCGUCAACUGUGCCUCUUGCUGCAAGAAAUCUUCAACUGGAAGAUGGACUGUAUAAUUCAAGAUAAAAAAUACACCUAACCUGCAAAUGUUGCCAUCCACUAGCCUAUUAAAGACUCUGCUUUAUAUUUUCCUAGUUUUUUAAUCAAAAUUUUGCAAGAUUUAUUUUGGAAAAGUUCGACAAAGUUUUAUGUAAUAUACCGUAAAGCCAAAUACAAUCUUUUUAAUUCUCAGCAGCAACAUAUAUGGAAAAAAAUUGGAAGCGAUAUAAAUAUAACUUUGUUUGGUACAAGGAACAAUUAUUUCAUGCUUUCAGGUAUUACAACUUCCAGAAGUGCUAGCCAGAAAUUGUAAGGGAACUUUAACUAGCCACAGAAUAUGUCAAACAUAUUACCAGCAACCGUCUUUAGCACAAUUGUUCUGAAGUGGCUUCUGCAUCAGAAGAAUCCAGCUUCCAUCAAAGCACCACCAUCUUCCUUCUGGAUAAAAUCUGCAUCACUGGCAAGAGUUAUAUCAUCAACAUCUGCACCCUCGGUCCCAUCAUCCCAAUCAAGUGCUUUCUUCUCCACCUCUGGAUCAUAAGUCCACUCCAACCUCUUCAAAACAUCUCCGUCCUUCCAUUUGCCAACAACCGAUACGGCUUCCUUUCUUGCCUUCCCCAUUAAUAUAUCCCACCAAGAAAAACAAGCAUAAGAAAUUCUCUUCAAUGCCCCAUCAUUUAUGUCCCCCACAACUACCGUCUUAAGACACCUUAAAUUUGCCUCCAACAAAACCUCCACAAAAUCUGAAUCAUCCGACACAACAACCAAAUACUCAAUCCUUCUUUUGUGCGUUAUCACCAAAUGAUUCCUUAACAAAACAUCAGUAGCUUGUGGCUUAUCUGACGCUGUCCUGACCCAAAGCCCCCCUCUUUUCAACUCACCUAUCAAACCAUUACCCACUUCUGGAGUCAAAACUGCCCUUGCAGCCCUUUUAUAUUUCUCCAUCUUAAUUGAAUACUUGCCGACCCAAUGCACUCUCUUCCCUCUGGCUGAUUCUAUUUGAUUCAACAUUCAACCUCUUUUUAUGUUUACACUCAUAAAUUUGCAUAAAAUAAUUAACAAGUUUGACAUCAUCAUAAAAACUCCUUCCACAGACACCACAUACAUACGGCUCAGCAGGCCUAAUUACACCCUUGUUUCCAAUUGGUUAAACUAUUUUUUCUCUUCUCUUUGCUCCCUUACAACUUGAGGCACAUAACUAAAUGCAUGGCUAUUAGCAUAUGCCAUAAUGAAUUUAACAACCCCAAAUGAAGAUACUGAUUUUUCAGUUUAAUGGCCGCUUCAAAUGGGGGAACUGAAUUUGCGGGUUUGCUGUUUAAAUCCCGAAAAAUUCCACAUUAUGUUGGACAGUUUUUGGUUCUACAGUUGGUGAUCGGUUUUGUGAAUAAGGCUCCAAAAGAAAAAAAUCUAAACAAUGAGACAAAUGGGUUCUGGAUUUCUAAUCUUGUAAACAUUGUCCUGUCGCAUAAGUUAUGAAAUUUCUGAAGCAUCACUAUCCCGCAGUUCCUGGGAGAAAAAUAAGUCGAAGAACUACUCGUGGAACAAAAUUAAAAAGUUUAAACUAUGUUGAGAGACUUUCCCUUCGACUAAACGUUUUUAAAAAGAAAAAGUAUCAGAUAAGCAUUUUCAAGGGAAAAUGAUCAUCCAUUUGUUGUACUUAGGCAGGAAAAUAAAUAUAUCAACCCAACUAAACCCUCACAUCUACUGACUAAUAAUGCAUGGACUAACUUUAAGUAAGGAUGUAAAACUUACAAGAACAAGAAAACUACUGUUUAUUAAUUUCAAAUUUUACACAAAAUUACAAAUAAUUUUAUAAGUUGCACCAAAAAAAUAUUUUGCGGAUAGCAUAAACUAAUACUAGAAUAACCAUUCGUUAACGAUGCGGGCAGCACCAUGAAGCGGUGAGCCCCGUUUGGUGAAAACAAAAAAAAAAAAAAAUUAAAACAAAGCACUAUACAUUCUAAUCAAAUUGUUAACAUUAGCUAAAUACACAGCAAGAAGCCAGAAUAAAUUCGUUAUCUAAACCAAAUAAUAAAAAAAAAGAGGCAGUUUAGUCCCCAUCAUUUUCAGUUACAAACAAACUAAAGCACAAAUUAAGAACAAAGGUUGAAGCAAAGCAUGAUUGUACCUUGAGGUACUUGAGCUUAGUGUUCCCAUAAACGAGACCGAGCGAAAAAGCCGAAACCAGAGCAACCUAUUAUUAUUACUCAAAAAUUCAGAUCAGAAAAUAAAUGAUCUUUCAAUAACAAUUCAUAAGAACUCCAUCCCAUCGUAUAUAAAACAAAACAAAGAAAAUAUUGAAUUGAAAAAAAAUUACAUACAUGGAUUAAAAGAAGAUAAAAAUGGAAUUACCAGAGGGAGCUGGUGCCGGAGUAGGAACCAGGACGCAACGCCAUAUGAUGCUUUGUCAUGCUUUUCCUUCUUGUGGGUCUGCGCCGAAGUCGAAGAUAAAGAAAUAAGAAAGAGCUAGCAGCCUAGCACAUUGAAAAAUCGACUCAUAUAUUCGAUUCCGACUCGUAUGGCUAUUUUUAUUUGAUGAAUGAAAUAUUAUUUUACUCCCUAAUUUUUUUACAAAAUUACAAGUUUUGACUUUUGUUCAUAUGUUCUUUUUUACGGGAUCCUAUUCUAGGAGGAAUAACAAAUAGGCCGGAUAUGUGGCUAAGCCCGAGCGUGGUGUUGAUUGCCAAUUUUAUUUUAUUUAUUUUUUAUUAAUGAAGGGUUCACAAAGAGCUAGUGCAACACUAAACGAGAGUGUGAUCGUAAUUAUAACACUUCACUUUUAUUUUAAGUAUAAUUCUUAUAACACUUCACUUAUGUGAUCGUAAUUAUAUUGUACUGAAAAUUAUAUAAAGGAUAAAUAUGAAUUUAAUUAAACUAACAAGUCUUCACAAACUCGUGCAAACUUACUAUUUCUAAUCUUAAUAUGUGAUAUAAUUAAUUUUAUUGAUAAAGUCAAAAUAAUUUUUAACAAUGAAGAAAUAAAUUAUAAUAACAAUAAAUUUAUGACGAAAAAUGUAUACAAAAUUUAUUCUAAAUUAUAUGAAAUUUAAUUAAAAUUUUAUUGAAAUUUUAUGUCUUUUUUAAAAUUUUAUUAAAAAGUGGGAUUUCUUAAGAGUUUAAAAGGCGUGUUGGAGGCUUUACUCUUAUAUUUUUCUAGCUUUGAAUUUCAGUGGCCUUUACUUGGUUUAAAUUUUUGUUAUAAACCUGCAAGUAAGUGCAUUUAGGUGCAUUUAGGAUGCCUUUUGGUGAAGCUGGAUUGUAACAAUAAUUUUAUUUAUUAAAAUCAUUAAAAAUUUUAAUUAAUUAAAGUUUACGUAUCCUCUUGUCUAACCAAUCAAAUACUUUCUCUCAAGACAAUACCAGUGUGCUUAAAAAAAUGGUGAGAUUGGUUCUUGCCUAUUAGUUAAUGAGAAAAUUAUUGAAGAAAUAUGUAUCUCAUUUUCUUAUUCUUUACAAUAGGAUUACAUAAUACAUAUAUAGAUUCUAAACUACAUAACGUGCACAACUAACUGCAGACCAAGAAACUAGGAAACAAACUCUAUCAAAAAACUGAAAUUCUAUCCCUAUCUUUUUUUUUUCUAUCCCUAUCUUUUUUCCUUAAAAAUAGGAUAGAAAACAUGUGACUUUUCCACACUCCCCCUCAAGCUGGUUCGAAGAUAUCAAUCAUUCCCAGCUUGCUAGUUAGUGACUCAAAGCUUGAUUUAAGAAGUCCUUUAGUAAGAAUAUCGGCUAGCUGCUUUGUUGUUGGAACAAAGGUCAUGCAUAUCAAACCACUUUCUAUUUUCUCCUUGAUAAAAUGACGAUCCACUUCAACAUGUUUAGUUCUGUCAUGAUGAACAGGGUUAUGAGCAAUGUUUAUUGCUGCCUUGUUGUCACAAUACAACUUCAUAGGAACAUCAAUAAUAAUCUUCAAUUCUUCAAGUAGCUUAUUUAACCACAAAAGUUCACAAAUACCAUGUGCUACUGCUUUAAAUUCAGCUUCGGCACUGCUUCUUGCAACCACUGAUUGCUUCUUACUCCUCUAAGUUACCAAGUUUCCUCCCACAAAUGUGCAAUACCCUGAAGUUGACCUUCUAUCAAUAACAGAUCCAGCCCAAUCUGCAUCAGUAUAUACUUCAACUUGCAGAUUGUUAUUUUUCUUGAAUAACAGACCUUUUCCUGGAGUUUUUUUCAGGUACUUGAGAACCUUGUAAACAGCUUCCAAGUGCUCUUUACAUGGAGAGUGCAUAAAUUGACUAAUAACACUUACUGCAAAGGCUAUGUCUGGCCUAGUAUGAGACAAGUAUAUCAACUUACCAACCAACCUUUGGUAACUUUCUCUAUCCACUGAUUUUCCUUCAAUUGCAUAUCCCAAUUUGUGAUAAGGAUCAAUAGGAGUGUCUCCAGGUUUGCAUCCCAACAUGCCAGUUUCCUUGAGCAAGUCUAAAGUAUAUUUCCUUUGAGAGACAAAAAUGCCUUUACUGGAUCUUGCAAUUUCCAUGCCCAAAAAGUAUCUUAAGGAUCCAAGAUCCUUCAUCUCAAAUUCUCUAGCAAGAACCUUCUUGAGAUUUUCCAUUUCUAUUACAUUGCUUCCAGUCAAGAUGAUAUCGUCUACAUAUACAAUGACGAUCACAACACUACCAUCAGUGAAGUGUUUAAAAAACAUUGUAUGAUCUGCUUGACUCUGUAAAUAGCCAAAGCUAUAAACAGAUUUCGUAAAUCUGUCAAACCAAGCUCGAGGAGAUUGUUUUAAGCCGUAAAGUGAUCUCUUCAGCUUGCACACUUUUUCAAUACCAUAUUCAUUCUCAAAACCUGGUGGUAGAUCCAUAUAUACCUCCUCUUCAAGCUCUCCAUUAAGGAACGCAUUCUUAAGAUCUAACUGUUGUAGUUGCCAACCUAGGCUUGCUGCAAGAGACAACAAAACCCGAAUGGAAUUCAUCUUUGCCACGGGAGCAAAUGUUUCUUGGUAGUCAAUGCCGUAUGUUUGUGUAAAACCUUUCGCGACGAGCCUAGCUUUAUACCGCUCAAGUGACCCAUCUGCUCUGUAUUUAACUGUAAAAAUCCACUUGCAACCCACUGGUUUUUUUCCUUCUGGUAACUUGACUAGUUCCCAAGUUUUGUUUUUUUCUAGAGCUCUCAUCUCUGCAUACACAGCAUCUCUCCAUUCUGGAAUAGAAAGAGCAUCUUGUACAGAUUUUGGAAUUGCUAUAACAGACAGGUUAGCUGUAAAAGCUCUAAAAAAUGGAGAUAAUCUAUGAUAUGACACAUACUUAGAAAUUGGAUGAAGAGUACAAGACCUAGUUCCUUUCCGUUGUGCAAUUGGAACAUCUAGAUCAUUUGUAGUUUCUAAAACAGAUUCUGAAAUAGGAUUAGAAUGAAUGUUACCUACAAGUUCCAAGUUGCCUGUGUUUGGAUCCGAGUCUUGGCAGUGAGGAGAGGAAUGAUGAUUUAACCUUUUCGAAUUCCGUCGUGUGUAGACUUGAAGCUCUGGUUCUGGAACUCUCUCUAAUGAUUUUUCAUUAUUCACAAUUGAUGGCAUUGUAGAAGGAACAGGAGGUACACAAGACAUAAUAGGCAUUGGAAGAGAUAAUUCCCAAAAAUGAUCUUCCUGAGUAUGAUCCUCCCCCUGAAGAGAAGUUUUGGGAAGGAAAGACCUAUUUUCAAAAAAUGUAACAUCCAUUGUGACGAAGAAUUUUUUAGACAAUGGAUCAUAACAUUUGUAGCCUUUUCGAGUAGGAGAAUAGCCAAGAAAUACACAUUUUAAAGCCCUAGGAUCAAGUUUGCUUCUGUUCUGUUUAUGAACGUGAACAAAAGCAAUGCACCCAAAAAUCUUUGGUGGUAAAGAUGUGAAAACCUUAGCAUAGGGAUAGAAUUUUGUGAAAACAUUUAAUGGAGACUGAAAAUUAAAGAUUCGGGUAGGCAUACGAUUUAUCAAGUAUGAUGCUGUGAGAAUGGCUUCACCCCAAAACUGUUUUGGCACUCUAUUUGUGAACAUAAGAGAGCGUGCAACUUCUAAUAGGUGUCGAUUUUUUCGUUCAGCAACACCAUUUUGCUGAGGAGUAUCUACACAAGAGGAUUGGUGCACAAUGCCAUUUUCCAUGAAAUAAUGACCAAGGGCAGUAGCAAAAUAUUCUCUCCCAUUAUCAGUUCUAAAGACUUGGAUUUUUGCUUGAAAUUGUGUUUGAAUCAUGGUAUGAAAGGUUUUAAAAACUGUUGUAGUUUCUGAUUUUUCUUUAAGCAAGUACACCCAACAAACACGAGUGUGGUCAUCAAUAAAAGUUAUGAACCAUUUAGCCCCCGAAAUGUUUGUAACACGUGAGGGUCCCUAAAUAUCACUGUGUAUAAGAGAAAAAGGUGCAGAUUUUUUAUACGGCUGUAAAGGAAAAGAUGCACGAUGAUGUUUGGACAAUACACAAAUUUCACACUGAAACAAAGAAGGAUUUUUAUUCUUGAACAGUAAAGGAAACAAAUGUUGUAAAUAAGAAAAACUAGGAUGACCUAAUCGGAGAUGCCACAACAUUAUUUCAUCUUCAAUAGAGAAAGUUACUUUAUUAUUUGCUGCCUGAGCUUCUCCACACAAACUAACAUCCUCCUCGAAGUAGUACAAACCAUCUACCUCUCUAGCACUGCCAAUCUUCUUCCCCGAACACAUGUCUUGAAAUUCAAGAUAGGAAGGAGAGAAUUUAGCAAUGCAAUGAAGAUCCUUGGUAAUUUUGCUAAUAAAUAAAAGAUUACAAGACAAAUUAGGAACAUGAAGAACAUAUGUUAACACCAAAUUUGUGGAGAUAGGAAUAGAUCCUUUUCCUGCUACGGAAGAUAGUGAACCAUCAGCAAUUUUAAUUUUUUGACUACCAGAACAUGGAAUAUAUGAAGAAAAUAAUUUAGAAUGGCUGGUCAUAUGAUCGGUUGCUCCUGAAUCGAUGAUCCAUGGAUCUUGUUUCUCAUAAACAACUCCUAAAGUAGUGAAAUUAUUACCUUUUUGGGCUAAAGAACUAAAGGAUGAAGGAUUUGGGAGAGAUUGUGACUGAUUUAGAAACCUGUACAGUUGCUCUAACUGCUCUUUAGUGAAGAGUUGAGAUUCGGUUUCUCCAGUAUUGGUUGUCGGCUGAUUCUCCCCAACAACUUGGAAACCACGACUAUGUUUACCAGAGAAUUUAUUGUUUUUCAGAUUUGGAGGUUUUCCAUGAAGCUUCCAACAUGCAUCUCUGGUAUGUCUUGGCUUAUGGCAAUAAUCACACCAAACUCUAUCCUUCUCAUCACUCUUCUUCAGGCUUUUUAUUCCACCAACCAAUGGAGCUUCUGGUGUAACAGAGAUCAAGGCUGAGUUCUCUGCUGAAGAACCUCCCAUCAUCACAUUCUUUCUACUUUCCUCUCUUCUUACAUAAGAAAACACUUCCCUGGUAGAAGGAAGAGGUUCCUUGCCAAGUACUCGCCCACGAACUUCAUCAAGGUCUGAACUCAAACCUGCUAAGAAUUCAAAUACACGCUCUUUUUCUAACAUCUUCUUGUAUUUAGCACUAUCAGCAGCACAUUCCCACUCGCCAUCAUAGUACUGAUCUAACUCUUGCCAUAAGCCCUUCAAAAUAUUGUAGUAUUUAGUCACUCCUUGACUACCUUGUUUGGUUUCUCGAAUUCUGGUUUUUAGAUCAUAAAUCUGAGCAGAAUUUCCCAAAUCAGAAUAGGUCUCAGUGACAACAUCCCACAAAUCUUUUGCUGUUGGCAGAAACAAGUAAGUUUGACCUAUUUCUUGUUCCAUUGAAUUCACUAACCAUGACAUGAUCAUUGAGUUGUCAGCAUCCCAAGUUUGAAACUUUGGGUCGUCUUCAGUUGGUUCUUUAAUUGAACCAGUAAGGUAACCAAUCUUCCAUUUACCUCUGAUAAACAUCUUCACAGAUUGGGACCACUGAAGAAAAUUUUGACCAUUCAAUUUAUGGGUUGUGAUCUGAAGUGAUGGACUAUCAUUAGAAACAUAACUUGAUGGUUGUAGAUGCCGUUGCAACUGCUCUGAAGAUAACUCAGAAGUUUCUUGGUCGCUAUUCUUUGACAUUAGUAUUCAAAUAGAAUUGAAAACUAAACCCAAGAAUCAAAGAGCGGCUCUAAUACCAUGAGAAAAUUAUUGAAGAAAUAUGUAUCUCAUUUUCUUAUUCUUUACAAUAGGAUUACAUAAUACAUAUAUAGAUUCUAAACUACAUAACGUGCACUAGUAGGAAAGUAAACAACUAACUGCAGACCAAGAAACUAGGAAACAAACUCUAUCAAAACACUGAAAUUCUAUCCCUAUCUUUUUUUUUUUUUUCUAUCCCUAUCUUUUUUCCUUAAAAAUAGGAUAGAAAACAUGUGACUUUUCCACAGUUAAUAUACAUGUAUUAAUUCAUCAUUGCCUUUUAGUUGAAGCCAUUCAAUAGUGUAGAAGAAGAAGAAGGAGGAGGAGGAGGAGGAGGAGGAGGGGAGGAGGAGGAGGAGGAGGAGGAGGAGGAGGAGGAGGAGGAGGAGGAGGAGGAGGAAGGAGGAGGAGGAGGAGGAGGAGGAGGAGGAGGAGGAGGAGGAGGAGGAGGAGGAGGAGAAAAAUAUAUUAGUAUGGAAAGAACACAAGUUUAUUUAUAAUGCAGUCCCUCCCAAGUCCCUACAUGGGCACAAGCACUGAAGCAAACACACUGACACAACAUAUAUAUUACCAAGAAGAAAAGAAAUUAGUAGCCAGCUAGUAGCACAUUCAACAUACAUAUAUACAGAACUUGAACAUAAUUGACAACAUCUGGAGGGAGAGGGAUAUAUAUCGAUGCUGCAGCCUGCAAUUCAUAGCAUGUCAUCGAUCAUUUAAUUGCUUAUCAAAUGGUGUCCUUGAAUGUUUUGAUCAAGAAAACGGUGAUGAUGAUCAUUCUAAUGGUGAUGAUCUUCAAGGGGCCUGGGAAAUUUGUGAAACAACGCCCUAGCCGUAGUGUGUGUAUUUAUAACUUGAUGAUAGAGAGUACGGUGGUUGUCCAAAUUCACACAGUCACCAAACUUUUCCCAUGAAAUUAUAUGUUCGUAUAUGGCAGCAACCCUGCACACAAAUCAUCACAACCAAAAGCUCACGUUUUGCAUGCAAACGCCUGUCUAUAGUCAUUCACCAACCACAAAUUACUCAAGUAAGUACUCGUGUCGUCAACACUUACCCUUUACUCCAUCUACGCAAACAAGAAUUCAACUCGCUUAUUAGCGCUAUAUAUAUAUAAUAUAAUAUAAUAUAUUAAAGAGAAAGCAAACCAAAAUAAAUUCUACACUCAUGUGGACGUUUUGUUCACAAAAUCUGGACAAGAAAAAAUAAUAUUGAUACAAUCUCCAAAUAUAAAGCGUUCCUCUUGGUAAAACAAACAAUUCCUAUAAAUUUUGAUUAAUGGUGCCAAAUGAAAGAGUUGUAAUUUCAUGUAUAUUUUGUUAACAUGAAUAAGGAUACAAAAUAGAUUACGAAAUGACAAAAACAAAGCUAAUCACUAUGAAUGAUAGGUUUAGAGUAAACAUAAAGUUAUAAUCUUGGACAUAAGUGGUGCUUAAAGUCAUGAAUUUGAUAUCACCCAUGAGGGAAGUUCAAACAACGGUAUAUAAUAAGCAACAAAUGUUGGGAAAAAAAAUUCAUUGCAACACAACAUAAUAAAUUGUAAAGAAAUCCCAGUUUGCAUAAAAGAAAGGAAAAAAAUUAAGGAAAACAUAAGCACAACAAAAUUGGACUGAUCAUUAAAAAUGAGAAAUGAGUUAUAAUGAGAAUUUUGGUUUUGUAAUGAACUAAAUUGGGAAGUAUCAGAAGUUCGCAUGAAUACAAUAUAAAUGAUAAGAAGACGAAGGGAACAUAAUGAUAAUAAGCAAGCCAAAUAUUAAAAUGCAGAUUCUACGCUUCCACCCCCACACUUCAAUUUAGUGUCUCGCUGAUCAUUUCAGAUAUAUCAAUUACAAAGGGAGACCAUUUAUUUAUAUUAAGCGUACGCCUCUAAUGCUUUGCCAAGUGUCCAUUGAUAAUAUCACAAGGGCAAUUAAAUUGGUGUAUGUGCAUUACACCUCCAAAGUCAUGUUAAGAUAGUUAGUGAGCUGAUAAAAUUUGUUUCACGUGUGAGUUAGCUAAGUCUGUUAGAAAUGCAGACGUGUAAAGCUGAGUCAACAAGUUACUUAAGGUUGUUACGAAUGCUUAGAUUCAGCUCAUGUGUAUUGUAUGUAAUGCUUAGAUUCAGCUCAGAUUGUGUAUACAACUUUCUAAUAUUCUUUAGAUCUCAACAUAAAUACUUGUGAUCAACAAAUACAAUAAUAAGAAUCAUUAUUCUUCAUUUUCUCUCUGUUUCUCUCAUAUUUUCUCUGCAUCCAAACACAAUAUUUUCAGUUCUUGACUUGGUAUCACUACUACAAUAAACGAUAAAGAUGACUCUUAAAAUAAGUAUUAAAUGACGUGAUAAAAAAAGUCAUCUUUGUAACAGUCAUCUAAAGUGGGUAAUAAUAGAUGACGUCUUUUACGAGUUAUCUAUAUUGCUUUAUAGAUGACUCAUAUUAUAAAAUACCAGUCAUCAAAUUAUAUAUUUGUACUCCAUAAUUCCUAAAGAGAUGACUCUUUUUUAUUUAGCAGCUGUCAACUUUAUUUGAACAAAUGACUAGCUUUUGUAUUGGGAGUCAUCUUUGAAUAAUGAAUGUAAUAUUUCUGAAUUAAUUAAUAUCAUUUGAAACUAGAAAAUAUUUUGAAAUAUCUGAAUCUAUGAAUGUAAUAUUUCUGAAUUAAUUAAUGUCAUUUGAAACUAGAAAAUAUUUUGAAAUAUCUGAAUCUACUGCCUAAUUUUCAUAUUAAGCUAAUAUGGAUUAGCAAAAACUGCAUUAUCAAGCCUAUGGAGAAGUACAUAUAUUUAUUGUACAACAAAUAGUAUUUAAGAUUCAAAUUACUAGUAUUUCCUGUAUCACAAUAAAAAGUCUAUCAUUUUAACACAUCCCAAAUUGGGUAUCCAUUACAUUGUACAUUAAAAAAAAAUUCUUUACAACGAAAAUUACAUUCUUCACAAGCAUCAAAACUCCAUCUCCGAGGCAACUAUCAACAUUCUUAAUCCAGCAACAAUACUACAAUACUAAAUUAAAAUAGUUAAAAAUAAUGCAACAAUUAUGUGUGCACAUAACCAAUAUGAAAGAUACAACUAAAUAAAAAUUACUUAUAAUUUAUAUACAUAUCUUGCCAAACUCAUUGAACUAUCUGUUGAAUUUAGCCAAAACUAUUCUUCUAUAUCUACUUUGCUCGUUAGGUUGCUAUUGACUUUAUUAACAUUGUCUUGAGGUGCAAGCAUCUUAUCCAACCAACUACCUUAUACAAAAUAGCCAAUAUCAAUGGACACAACACUAUUAAAGUUUUCAAAACAUUUUAAAUAAAUACCUUAUCCAACCAAGUACAAUAUACAUAAAAGUGCAUUAUGAUUAACAAUAGAAUUAUUAAAAAAAAAAAAAGAAAAAGGGAUGAUUAGAACUUACAAUAAUACAAAGUUCUUCAAACAUUGGUUAAGUUCAUAAAGAGAUGUGCACUAUAUAUGUCAAAAUAUAAUAGCAUUUCUUUAUAACAAAAAUUUAAAUGCUAAGCAUAAUUAAUCAAAUAAUAAACUUGAUAUUGUUAUAAUGCGAUUUCUUGCUUUUACCUCUUAGAGACUAGACUUACCAAAUCCGAUAAUCAUUAGUAACCUGAAUUUAAUUUUUUCUAGUAUUGCGAAGUUAGUUAUUCAACUAGUCUCAUAAUUUUUGUUUCUCUUUUCAACUUAAGUGAUAACAAUGGCAUGAUAAAACUAUUCUUAGCAAGGAUUUCAUUAUCUCGAGAGUCAUAAAUCAUGUACUAAAUCAAAGUAGAUUUCAUUUGUAUGAAACUAUGACUACUUGCACUAAAGAAUCAACAUACGGAUUGUUAUAAUUUAUAAACAAUUAAUCAAUUUUUACUACAGUAUAAUAAAUAUCUAAAUAUCCAAUUUUCUCCUUUCCCUUUAAAUAUAUAUCCAAAUUUCAAUCAAUCUAAAUAAUAAUAAUUAUAGCAACAACAAUAACAAUAAUAAUAAAUGAAAAACCCCAACCUUGAAAUACCUGGCAUUUACUCAAAUUUUCAAAAUCUUCUAUUUCUAUUUCACUGUAUUGAUUCCAGAUCUAACAUUCAAACAUGAAUUAUGAAAAAAAGGAAAAACAAAGAUCUCAUUCACAUGAACUAUCCCCAAAUAAACGAAUCAUCAUUAUUUUUCAAUGAAUUAAACAAAUUAAAGAAAUAGAAAACACCUCAUUGUAAGGAUCCAAGCUUUUUAAAAACAGAAGUGUCAAAUGCUUUAUUCCUUUUCUGGAAGAUGUGAACCCAAACUUCCAAAUCUUCAAUUUUUGACUUGUUCUUCGCGGUUCGUGAUUGCGAUUGACUUCACGAUUUUCUCUCUCUUCACUCCCACUUUGCGUUUCUUCACUCUUCAAGAGCGGCGGCUGUAAAUUUAGAAUAAUAACUGUAGAAGAGAUGAAAUUAGGGUUGAUUAUUUGGGGACAAUUGCAAAAGGGUGGUAUUUUUAGUGAUAAGUUUGGAGAAGGAAUUUUGAGAAGAGGAAAAUGAAAGAGAGAGAGAGAGAGGUACAACUUGAAGAAAUUAGGGAUUUGAGGGAACUUAGGGUGAUUUUUUUAUUUAUACAUCUAUAUAAAAAUGCCGUUUUUUAAAUUACGAGUCAUAUGUUUACCUUAUAAAAUAUGACGUGUUUUUGUAUAACGAGUCAUCUUUUAACUUCCUAUCAAAUUAAAAUUAUCAUAGAUGACUCUCUAACUAUAGAAAAAGUCAUCUAAAAGAAAAGAUAACAAUUGUUUAGAUGUGAAUCGUCUAUUGAAUGUCAUCUAUCUCACUUACUGUAGUAGUGGAAUUUGUAUUUGAUGUUUAAUUAUAAUUUCUUGAAGUUUUUAUGUGUUUCAUUGAGUUAUAAUCUUUCUAAUGCCUUGCUUUCUUCUAUUUUAGAACUAGUUUUGAGAUGGAUACCCGUAUUGCAUCUGACAAAAUUUGAGUGUUGUUACAAAUACUUUAUUUGUGAAUAUGGUUUUGUAAUUUUUAUGCGUUGGCUUGCGGUAAAAUUACUAAUGUUAAAAUAUAGUGGAGAUAGAGUUCUUAAGAAAAUGUGUUGAUUACAUUUAUUGGCAAUAUAGUAACAUGUGAUGAACUUUUUUCUCCUUUUAUUAAAUUAGGCAAUUAAAUUGUCAAUUUUGCUUUCUUUUACCUUCUAUGUUCUUUUUUUCUUUGGGGCUACGAUAGAUAUUUUCAUUGGAUAGUUCAACUUAUAAAAAAAUAGCUAUGCACAAUUAUUAGACUGUAAACUAUUAUUAAGGUAUGCAUGUUCGUUCAUAGUUAAAUUGAUUAUUGCUCUAAUUCUUUUCUUGAACAUGAAUAAGAUGCAGAGUUACGGGACUAGUAUUCUAAGGCCAACAAUUGAGGGCAUGGCAAAAGAAUGGAGAGGCUGUUUAGGAUAUUUUGUGAAAUUUUGGGUUGUUGUUGCUUGAAUACCUCAAUGAUAUGGAUUAUAUGGUUAAAUGGAUAUCCAUGUUUUAUUAAUUGGAUUCUUUAAUUUUUUGUAUCAUAUUUUGUAUUUAUUUUAGAUUUAUAAAUUUAUUCUAAAAACAAAUUUUCUGAGAAUUCUAAUAAUAAUAAUAAUUCAACACAAAUAAUAAUAACAAUACAAUUCAAAAAUAAUGCUUUUAAGUAAUUUUAAUAUUCAGAUAAUACCAAUUUACAGCCAAAAAGUUUAAAAAUGCCAAAAAUUUUAAUAAUUUUAAUUUCUCAUUAAAAUAUUGUGUGACAGAUAUGUGACUGUGAAAAAUCAUCAUGAAUUCAUGAUGGAAAAUAUUCUGUCAUGAAUUAAUGACAGUGACAAAAAUGACAGAUAAUUUGUCUGUCAUACAUCCCCUUAUAUGACAAUUAUUUACUGUCAUCUAUUGCCUAUUUUCUUGUAGUGUGGAGCUAUCAACUCAAUUCCAAGAUCAACAAACCACCUAAUAAUGGUUUAAUUUAGAUAAAAAAACCACCUAUCAACACUUGGUGAGUUUAUAAUAAGUUGGUGGCAAUCACUAAGAUGGAGUCUCAUAUUGUGUAAGGUUUCAACAUGUUGUAAUCUCUUGAGCCUAGCAAAUUACUCAAUAUUUGAGUGUGGCUCCAUGGAUGCAGUGAAUAACGUAAAAAUCUUCUUGUGUACUUUAAAAGUUUUUGUCUUACUAGGAAUACAUCUUUGUAUUGGCUUUUGAAUUAAGGAUGUUCUAAUUUCUAUGGCCAAGUUUUGCAUCUGCUUUUGAUUUAGAUGUUCCAACUAUAAAAGCCUAGUGUAUUAAAAAAGAAAAAACUAUGAAGGCCUAAGAAUCUAAUUAUCUCGUUUAGAGUAUUGAUAUUUGAUUAUCUCAUUUUAUCUCACCAAACCCUAUUAAUGAUUCCAAUUUUAUCUUGUACAAAAAUACUAAAAAGUACAUAAGAUUUUUCUCUUUAGACUCUAUCAUUUCGCAAACUUAUAUAUAUUAUAAAUUUCAUGUCACCAAACAACUAAACUAUUUCAAAAGAAAAAAAUAACAAUUUUAUUCUUUUAGAAACAAUUUGAUCAAAUCUCUUCAUUGGCAGCAAACAAAAUCAAUUCCAUAUCCAAAACCAAAUAAAUGAUCAAGUUUAGAAAGGUCUAUCCAUCGCUUGGAUUGCUAAAAUCAUUCCCUUGAUAGCUUUUAACAAGAGAAAGAACAUUAUGGAGAUUGACCAAUUAGCAAAUGCAAAAGAUUAAAAUUACUAAAAGUGAGCAAUUAAGCUUUUUCAACAUGUGAUUUUUGCUUUCUCAUAUUGCUGAAACAAAUAACGUGAAACUGAGGAUUUUUUUCUUUUUUGUCUAAGCAUUUUUAUUGCAACUACCAAAAUGUUAGGACUUUUAUCAUUACAUCAGUGCGUCAAUAAUAUUGUUAUUUAUUUGUUCCUUGCAUUAGGGAUUUGUCUUGUCAUAGGUACUUAGAGAUUACUAUGUCUAUGGGUAGGAAUAUAGCAAGUAUAUUUAAUAUGUGGAAUGGGGUGAAAUCCAAUGAUCCUCUUUUAAAAAAGGAAAAACGCUAUGUUGGGAAAUUGAAACUUUAAACUGAACGUCGGUCUCAAAGUUUCACUGUGAGGCUGGCAUCAUCACUGUUGAUUGUGCGGAUGAUGCCAUGGGUUUAGGUGUUGUGAUGUGUGAUUGUCAUGGGUAUGUUAGGGUUGCUACUAUUUUUGCAAUUAGUAUUUUCUAAGUUAUUGCUAAUAUUUUACAACCCAUGGAACAACGAUAAGCUUUUCAAAUUCAUCAUAUUUUGUGUAAUUUUAAAUAGCUCAAGCCAUGUACUAGCCAAGUUAGCUCUUUUAAAUUCUGUUAUUUAGCUAGAUAACUUUUUAGAACGUUUGUGCGCACUUUAAUUAUAAUGAAGUUAUUGAUUGCUAAAAAAAAAGCGCACACAAAAGUUCUAAAUCUUAAUUAGAAGUAUUUGUUUUUCUUUUUUUCCUUUAUAACAUCAUUAUUAGGGUUAAAAGAAAAAUUAUUCGACCGGAUUUAUUCAAUAGUGUAUAAGUAAUUUUUCUCUUUUAGUAAUCCGACAUAGUAAUGAACUUACCCAUGUUUCAUAUACAUAUAUUUCUCAACCCUAGUAACUAAUUAGUUAAAUAUUUCUCGAACAUAGUAAGUAAAUAUUAUGAUUUAUUAUUACAAACCACCGUAUUAGUAUCUAUCUAUGAUUUAACAAUAGGUUAAUAUAGAUAUCGUGGAUUUAGUGAUCUUCAUUCUUCAUACUACCUUUCAGGACAUGGAGGUACAUCGUAUUGAUGUAAGUGGCACUUGUGGGAUAUAAUACAGUUCUUAGAAGAGGCAAAGAAAAGAGGAACUUAAAGUCAUCAUCAUAAUUCUCACUACCUAUCAGCCUAUAAAUCCCUAAUUAUUUCACAUAUCAUCAACAAUUUAAUAUAACACAUAAACCUGUAAUUCUUUCACAUAUCAUUUUCAAUAGUCACCAUAAAAACACAAGAAUCAUCAUUACCUUGUCUUUAACUAAAAAAUGAAAGAGACCAGCUCAAGAUGACACUAACUGAUUGAUGGAUUCAACUUGUUAUUUGCUGUGUGUUACAUGGUAGCUUCGAUUUUAUGUGAUUAGUAAACAAUCUAAGAGACAAAUCAAUAUUUCAGAGAGUGAUAGUAAGAGAGGUGAAAGAGAUGUUUGAGAUUUGAAGGAGGGAAAACGUAAUGGAUUUCAGCAACCAUUUAACAAGUAACCCGUUACUUUUUAUUUUUAAUUUAAUCUCAACCGUUGGACUCAUUUUACUUGAAUCCAACGGCUACAAAUAAAAAUUGGCACAAUGCUAGGCAUUNNNNNNNNNNNNNNNNNNNNNNNNNNNNNNNNNNNNNNNNNNNNNNNNNNNNNNNNNNNNNNNNNNNNNNNNNNNNNNNNNNNNNNNNNNNNNNNNNNNNNNNNNNNNNNNNNNNNNNNNNNNNNNNNNNNNNNNNNNNNNNNNNNNNNNNNNNNNNNNNNNNNNNNNNNNNNNNNNNNNNNNNNNNNNNNNNNNNNNNNNNNNNNNNNNNNNNNNNNNNNNNNNNNNNNNNNNNNNNNNNNNNNNNNNNNNNNNNNNNNNNNNNNNNNNNNNNNNNNNNNNNNNNNNNNNNNNNNNNNNNNNNNNNNNNNNNNNNNNNNNNNNNNNNNNNNNNNNNNNNNNNNNNNNNNNNNNNNNNNNNNNNNNNNNNNNNNNNNNNNNNNNNNNNNNNNNNNNNNNNNNNNNNNNNNNNNNNNNNNNNNNNNNNNNNNNNNNNNNNNNNNNNNNNNNNNNNNNNNNNNNNNNNNNNNNNNNNNNNNNNNNNNNNNNNNNNNNNNNNNNNNNNNNNNNNNNNNNNNNNNNNNNNNNNNNNNNNNNNNNNNNNNNNNNNNNNNNNNNNNNNNNNNNNNNNNNNNNNNNNNNNNNNNNNNNNNNNNNNNNNNNNNNNNNNNNNNNNNNNNNNNNNNNNNNNNNNNNNNNNNNNNNNNNNNNNNNNNNNNNNNNNNNNNNNNNNNNNNNNNNNNNNNNNNNNNNNNNNNNNNNNNNNNNNNNNNNNNNNNNNNNNNNNNNNNNNNNNNNNNNNNNNNNNNNNNNNNNNNNNNNNNNNNNNNNNNNNNNNNNNNNNNNNNNNNNNNNNNNNNNNNNNNNNNNNNNNNNNNNNNNNNNNNNNNNNNNNNNNNNNNNNNNNNNNNNNNNNNNNNNNNNNNNNNNNNNNNNNNNNNNNNNNNNNNNNNNNNNNNNNNNNNNNNNNNNNNNNNNNNNNNNNNNNNNNNNNNNNNNNNNNNNNNNNNNNNNNNNNNNNNNNNNNNNNNNNNNNNNNNNNNNNNNNNNNNNNNNNNNNNNNNNNNNNNNNNNNNNNNNNNNNNNNNNNNNNNNNNNNNNNNNNNNNNNNNNNNNNNNNNNNNNNNNNNNNNNNNNNNNNNNNNNNNNNNNNNNNNNNNNNNNNNNNNNNNNNNNNNNNNNNNNNNNNNNNNNNNNNNNNNNNNNNNNNNNNNNNNNNNNNNNNNNNNNNNNNNNNNNNNNNNNNNNNNNNNNNNNNNNNNNNNNNNNNNNNNNNNNNNNNNNNNNNNNNNNNNNNNNNNNNNNNNNNNNNNNNNNNNNNNNNNNNNNNNNNNNNNNNNNNNNNNNNNNNNNNNNNNNNNNNNNNNNNNNNNNNNNNNNNNNNNNNNNNNNNNNNNNNNNNNNNNNNNNNNNNNNNNNNNNNNNNNNNNNNNNNNNNNNNNNNNNNNNNNNNNNNNNNNNNNNNNNNNNNNNNNNNNNNNNNNNNNNNNNNNNNNNNNNNNNNNNNNNNNNNNNNNNNNNNNNNNNNNNNNNNNNNNNNNNNNNNNNNNNNNNNNNNNNNNNNNNNNNNNNNNNNNNNNNNNNNNNNNNNNNNNNNNNNNNNNNNNNNNNNNNNNNNNNNNNNNNNNNNNNNNNNNNNNNNNNNNNNNNNNNNNNNNNNNNNNNNNNNNNNNNNNNNNNNNNNNNNNNNNNNNNNNNNNNNNNNNNNNNNNNNNNNNNNNNNNNNNNNNNNNNNNNNNNNNNNNNNNNNNNNNNNNNNNNNNNNNNNNNNNNNNNNNNNNNNNNNNNNNNNNNNNNNNNNNNNNNNNNNNNNNNNNNNNNNNNNNNNNNNNNNNNNNNNNNNNNNNNNNNNNNNNNNNNNNNNNNNNNNNNNNNNNNNNNNNNNNNNNNNNNNNNNNNNNNNNNNNNNNNNNNNNNNNNNNNNNNNNNNNNNNNNNNNNNNNNNNNNNNNNNNNNNNNNNNNNNNNNNNNNNNNNNNNNNNNNNNNNNNNNNNNNNNNNNNNNNNNNNNNNNNNNNNNNNNNNNNNNNNNNNNNNNNNNNNNNNNNNNNNNNNNNNNNNNNNNNNNNNNNNNNNNNNNNNNNNNNNNNNNNNNNNNNNNNNNNNNNNNNNNNNNNNNNNNNNNNNNNNNNNNNNNNNNNNNNNNNNNNNNNNNNNNNNNNNNNNNNNNNNNNNNNNNNNNNNNNNNNNNNNNNNNNNNNNNNNNNNNNNNNNNNNNNNNNNNNNNNNNNNNNNNNNNNNNNNNNNNNNNNNNNNNNNNNNNNNNNNNNNNNNNNNNNNNNNNNNNNNNNNNNNNNNNNNNNNNNNNNNNNNNNNNNNNNNNNNNNNNNNNNNNNNNNNNNNNNNNNNNNNNNNNNNNNNNNNNNNNNNNNNNNNNNNNNNNNNNNNNNNNNNNNNNNNNNNNNNNNNNNNNNNNNNNNNNNNNNNNNNNNNNNNNNNNNNNNNNNNNNNNNNNNNNNNNNNNNNNNNNNNNNNNNNNNNNNNNNNNNNNNNNNNNNNNNNNNNNNNNNNNNNNNNNNNNNNNNNNNNNNNNNNNNNNNNNNNNNNNNNNNNNNNNNNNNNNNNNNNNNNNNNNNNNNNNNNNNNNNNNNNNNNNNNNNNNNNNNNNNNNNNNNNNNNNNNNNNNNNNNNNNNNNNNNNNNNNNNNNNNNNNNNNNNNNNNNNNNNNNNNNNNNNNNNNNNNNNNNNNNNNNNNNNNNNNNNNNNNNNNNNNNNNNNNNNNNNNNNNNNNNNNNNNNNNNNNNNNNNNNNNNNNNNNNNNNNNNNNNNNNNNNNNNNNNNNNNNNNNNNNNNNNNNNNNNNNNNNNNNNNNNNNNNNNNNNNNNNNNNNNNNNNNNNNNNNNNNNNNNNNNNNNNNNNNNNNNNNNNNNNNNNNNNNNNNNNNNNNNNNNNNNNNNNNNNNNNNNNNNNNNNNNNNNNNNNNNNNNNNNNNNNNNNNNNNNNNNNNNNNNNNNNNNNNNNNNNNNNNNNNNNNNNNNNNNNNNNNNNNNNNNNNNNNNNNNNNNNNNNNNNNNNNNNNNNNNNNNNNNNNNNNNNNNNNNNNNNNNNNNNNNNNNNNNNNNNNNNNNNNNNNNNNNNNNNNNNNNNNNNNNNNNNNNNNNNNNNNNNNNNNNNNNNNNNNNNNNNNNNNNNNNNNNNNNNNNNNNNNNNNNNNNNNNNNNNNNNNNNNNNNNNNNNNNNNNNNNNNNNNNNNNNNNNNNNNNNNNNNNNNNNNNNNNNNNNNNNNNNNNNNNNNNNNNNNNNNNNNNNNNNNNNNNNNNNNNNNNNNNNNNNNNNNNNNNNNNNNNNNNNNNNNNNNNNNNNNNNNNNNNNNNNNNNNNNNNNNNNNNNNNNNNNNNNNNNNNNNNNNNNNNNNNNNNNNNNNNCCUCACUCUCACCAUCAAAAUUUAGUAGUAGAAAGAAAACAUAAGUAUAUUGUUGAAACAUGAUCAACUCUCCUUGCACGUGCACAAAUGCCAAUUUCUUUUUGGUGGGAAGCCUUCCACACAACCUCAUUUCUUAUCAAUAGACUCCCAAUACAUACUUUAAACAAUCUUUCACUCUUUGAAAAACUUCAUGGUAGAAAAUCAUAUUUUAUUUCUUAAAACAUUUGGUUGUUCAUGCUUUCCUUUACUCAAACCUUACAAUAAACACAAGCUAGACUUUCAUACACAAAAGUGUUUGAUGAUUGGUUACAGUCCAAUUCACAAAGGUUACACAUGUUUGUCACCUACUGAAAAGACAUACAUUGCCAAGCAUGUACAAUUUAAUAAAUCUGAGUUUCUAUUUCUUUAACUCUUUCCUUCUCACAAGUCUAAUACUUUUGCAUCUUUAAUUUCACGGUCUUCUAAUCCUUUUAUAAUUGUCCCUAGUAUGUCAGUCAUUUAAGGCAGUAACUCUGCAUAUCCUUCUGUUAAUACUCUUGUUUCAUGUAUAAAACUGCUUCAAAUACCUCACCCUCACGUUCUAUUCCUAUUCAACAUACUAUAAUACCUGAUCAACACACCCCAAACAGUCAACACUCCCCAAAUACUUACUUUACAGUAUCUCAAUCUUCUUCACCUAAAUAAUCGCUUCACCUUGCUCAAAACAUUCAUCCAAUGGUUACAAGGUCUAAAGUUAGUGUGUUCAAGCUUAAAGACCUAUUUAGCUGUUUCUCAAGAUCUUGAACCAACCUCUAUCAAAAUGGCCUUACAUGAUCUAAAAUGGAGGGAAGCAAUGCAGGCUAAGUUUGAUGCUCUACAAGAAAAUUAAAAUUGGGUUUUGGUUCUAAAAGAAGUUGCACAGAAAAUUACUACACAGAAAAUUAUUGGCAAUAAAUGAGUGUUCAGAAUCAAAUAUAACCCUGAUGGUAGUAUAUCCAAGUACGAAGCUAGACUUAUUGCAAAGGGUUUUCAUUAGACUCCAAGUGUGGAUUUUUUUUAAACCUUUAGUCUAGUUGUUAAGCCUUGUACGAUCAGGGUAAUUCUAAGUCUUGCAGUCAUGAAUCACUGGUCCAUUACACAACUUAAUGUUAACAAUGCUUUUUAUAAUAGUAUUCUCACUGAAGAUGUGUUUAUGUCACAAUCUGAAGGAUUUCUUUAUCCUCAGUAUCCUUUUCAUGUAUGUAAACUUAAAAAGGCUCUUUAGGGACUCAAACAAGCCCUAAGGGCUUGGUAUGAUAAACUGAAAGGUUCUAUGCUGCAAUGGGGAUUCCACACUUCCAGAUCAAACACUUCUUUGUUUAUGCAACAUGUGGCAGGGGAAUUAGUUAUGGUUCUUAUAUAUGUUGAUGAUAUAUUAGUAACUGGUUCCAAUGCUAAACUUAUUGAAAGAAUUGUUCAACAGUUAAGGUCAGAAUAUGCUUUAAAAGAUCUGGGUGAGUUCAAUCUUGAAGUCACACCCACACAUGAAGGAAUUCAUCUCUCUUAAACAAAAUAUAUUAGGGGUUUGCUUAAGAAAUCUCAGAUGUUUGAGAGUAAAGGCUUUCAAACUCCCAUGAGCUCCAUUGAAAAAUUGGUAAAAAAUAAAGUUGCUGCAUUUAAGAAUUCUUAUCUACACAAAAGUAUAGUUGGAUCUUAUAAUAUGUAACCUUAACCAGGCCUGAAAAAUUGAAUUCACAGUCAAUAAGCUUAGUCAAUUCCUUGUUGCUCCUUCUGUAUUUCAUUGGCAAGCUUGCUAACAUAUAUUGAGAUAGCUCCAAUACACAACCAAUUAUGGAUUAUAAUUCCACAACAUAAGAUCUAUCACACUUACAGCUUUUUCAAAUGUAGAUUGAGGACCAGAUUUGAAUGAUAGAAAGUCAGUGGGAGACUACUAUGUUUACUUAGGUAAUAACCUUUUAUCAUGGUCAUCAAAGAAGCAGCAAUUUGUUUCAAGAAGCAUAGUAGAAUCUAAAUACAUAGCUUUAGCUUUGACUGCCUUUGAAGUGCUCUGGAUAAUAUAAUUUCUUAAAGAGUUGCAAAUAAAAUUGUUGCAAACCCCAAUUCUUAACUGCGAUAACAAGAGUGCAGAAACACUAACUAGCAAUCCAAGAUAUCACUCCAAAACUAAACAUAUUGAACUUGAUCUACACUUUGCUAGAGAGUACAUAGCAUAGAAAGAGAUCCAAGUUCAUCAUGUUCCAAGCUAUGAUCAAUUGCAAAUAUACUCACUAAGCCAUUAGCUCUAGAUCAAUUUAACUAUCUUAGAUCCAACCUCAAUGUUCUUCCCAAACCUUGAGCUUGAGAGGGCCUGUUAAGAUAGUUAAUGAGCUGAUAAAAUUUGUUGCACGUGUGAGUUAGUUAAGUCUGUUAGAAAUACAAAUGUUUAAAGCUGAGUCAGCAAAUUAGUUAAGGUUGUUAAGAAUGCAUAGAUUCAGCUCAUGUCUAUUGUAUGUAGUGCUUAGAUUUAGUUAAUGUAGAUUGUGUGUACAACUUCUAGAAUUAUUUAGAUCUCAUUAUAAAUAUUGUAAUCAAUAAAUACAAUAAUAAGAAUCAUCAUUCUUUAUUUUCUCUCUAUUUCUCUCAUAUUUUCUCUGCAUCCAAACACAAUAUUUGCAGUUCUUGACUAGUCAUAAGUGUGUGAUAUAGUGUGCUUUGAAUGACCAAGUGUAAAACACAAUACAAAAACCUCCAUUGGUGGAGACUGGAGAGCUAUAUUCACAAACAAGCUUUGAUUUAUUUAAAUUUUAAGAAAUGACGAGGAGCUUACAAUAUAAAUCAAUGGUAUUGGCCCAUUUUUCACUUAGCCAAUAAAAGAGAUGAAUGUGAUUGUGUGCUUUUAGGAGAUAUCGAAGGGCUCACUUCGACUAUAAUGAUAUAGAAGUUUAUGGACUUAAACUCAUACUCAAACUUUGUCUUGAGAUUAAUAGUUGCCUUAAGUUUAUAUUAUUAGUUCGAUAACUAUUUCAACCAAUGUUGGAUAAUUUUCCUAUUAAACCUCGUCAGGUGUAUGCCAAUUAUUGUAUGUUUUCUAAUGCUAUUGGUGUCAAUGUGCAAGUGUACACAACAAGUAAUAUAAUGAUAAAUAUUCAAGAUCGUCUCCACAUGGAUUGUUAUUAUAGGAAUUGCUACAACAAUUUUAUCAGUGCAAUUUUUAUUCUAAAUUAAAAUUAAAACAAAUUAUGAAACUAAUGAACUAAUUAAGAUAAAAAUGCAAUAAGAAAAAAAUACAAUAAAGUAAAUUAUCAUGGCAAAUAUAAGGAUGUAACCAAGGGGAAUGAAGUAGUUGAGUGAUUAAACUCACUUAGUGGUUUUGACUGACUAUUUCCCUAAUGUUUGGCUCGGUUGUUGCAGCAUCUGUUACAGCAUUGGGUAGAAUGCUUAUGUAUCCUCAGUUGUUGCAUGUUGGAUGUCUUAUAUCUAAAUGCAACAUAAUAGUGACCAAUCAUUAUACUAAUAUCAUAUAUAACAUUACACGUUUUAGAUUUUAAUUACCCUACAAGGUGAAUCUGUAUAUCUAGUUUAUCACUAAUUUUAUAUUAAACAUGACUAUUUUCGAAUCAAGUUAAACCUAACUCAGGAAACUCAAUCUAAAAUCAAGUAUUACUCUGAUAUGUUCCACUAAAACAGGCCUUUUUGAUGCUCUCUCUUAACUAAUAUCAUGAAAUAGGUGGUCAGCUAAAAUAAUGAAUUGAAAUAAAUAUUAUCAAAACAAUAUGCUAUAGCAAAUAUGCAGCAACAUAGUAUAUCAGUCAAUUAACCAUCAAGUUUGUUCAUCACUCAACCAUAAGUAAAUUUAGUUUAAUCCGCGAUAAAACAAGAAUCAAAAUAGUUCUAGCCAUCAAACAAUUCAUCAUAACGAGAUAAAAACAAGAGAACAAGAAGUAAGAGUUGAGAUCCGCUUGAUGUUCUGCUGGAAUCCUUUGGUGCCGUCCUCCAUUCUCUCUUUUGAUUUUUGUUUUCUCUUGUUUUGUUUCUCUAUUUUUUUCUCUAAUGACAACCUCCUCUUUCUUUGUGUUUGUGCUUCUUCUAUAGCUUAGAAUUAAGGCAACCGGAAGUUUAGGGUUCACAUCUUCCAGUUUAGGAAACUCAAUAUCACAAUCUUCAAAGUAUCUCGCGCGAAUUCUUCUCUAUCAAUGCUCCAGGAUUGCUAUAACAACUGUGCUAUACCAACAUUGCUACAAAAACAACUUCAACAUCAACAAUGUUCCAGACUUAUUUCAAUUCUUUUCUAAGCAAAUUUUUUCCUUAUCUUUACAAGCCUAUUACAGCUGCAUUCCUUCCUUGAAAUUUAAACUUCUAGUCACCUAUCUAAGCACAUAAUUUAUUCUAAAUCAAACAAAACUUAUUAAAAGUAAACUAAAAUGGAUCAUACAAAAUAUUACUAAAAUGCAAUAAAAACAUAUCAUUUACUCUCUAAUUAAUCAUGAUUUAAGUCUAAAAGUGUCAUGAUAACUCUCAUUUGAUAGAGUUAUCACCAAUCUUUUUGUCCAGUCCUUAUCACGCGGUAUGGUAAUGAGGACUUACUUGUGCAUGACUUUGGUUCAACAUCAUAUAAAAGCUCGUGAGGGCUAACUCUUUCUUAACAGCAACCUUAAGAGUUAAGGGUUGUCUUAAGCUUAUAUUAUUUUUAUCCCAAUAACUAUUCUCAAUUGUUAAGUGAUGUUUUCUUUAUUAAGAGAGUUCCGUGAAUAUGUACUGCCUUUAGCACAAUUGUUAUGAAGUGGAUGAUCUGCAUAAGAAGAUUCCAACUCCCAACACAAGCACUGUUAUCUUUCUUCUGGAUACAAUCUUCAGCAUUGGCAUGAAUUAUAUCAUCAACAUAUGCAUAAAAUUACACUUAAGGACAAUAAAAUUAAUCAGACAUAGUUUUUUCUCCCAAAUAAAUUAUUCACAUUCAUAAUCAUUUUUUUUCACUUUUUUACAUGUUGCUUCUUAUCUAACUAAAAUAAAUUGUACAAAUUUAGAUAAUCUAUUAUUCUUUUCAAAUUUCUUAUUGAUUAUAUAUUUUUAUACUUAAGAUUGAUUUAAAAUUAUAUAGUAAAAUACGUGUAAUUUAAGCGAAUGAUUAACAUUAAAAAAUUUAUCACCCAGAAAAGUUUUUAAUUUGUUUGUUGGAUAAUAAUAAGAUUGCAAAGAAAUGAAAAAUAGCACAACACUACUUUGAGUUUUAACAAUAAAAAAAUUGAAUAAAAGAUUAGAAGUGUAUUUUAAAAAAAGAUAUUGUUGGAAAUAAAGUAAAUAUAAUUAAAAAAAGGUGUUUCAUGAAUAAAUGAGAGGGAUGUCAAUAGUCCAACUCUUUUGUUUAAAAUUUUAAGAUGUUGGUAUUUGAAACUUAGCUUUUUCCUAAUUAUUAUAUUAAAAUGUAAUAACAAUGAUGAUAAACCCUAGUUUCAUGGAGGUCAAAGAUUUUGGUCAUGCCCCAUGAAUUAGUUGGGACAUACUUUAUGUAAAUUUAUUUAGGUUUAAUAAUUUGAUCAAGACUAUAUAAGGCGCCGCCUGGAGUCAUAGAAUUUUAUAUGUCAAAAGUGCAUUUCACUUCAAUUAAGCCAUAAACGUCAUUUAAUAUACUCAAUUUGUAUUUUAAAAAAAAGUUUUAUUAAUUUUUUUUAUUUUAAAAAUAUCAUUUAUUUAUUUAUUUAUUUAUUUUAAACUUUUUUAAUGGUAAAGAGGUGAGUAAAGUCCAAAUUCAAUUUUUGUCCAUUAAGUAAUAGCCCCUGAGAUUUUGAACUCAGGUGACUAGCUAAAUGUAUAACAAUAGGCAUUUCGAAUUUCAUUUUAAAAUGAUAUGCAAUUCAUUAAGUGAUUAUUAAUUUUUCACAAGAUCUUAGUGAAUUAAUUGUAUUAUCUCACUAAUCAAUUGAUGAGUGCCAUAGUAUUUGGGAUAACUUUUGGAUAAAAAAAUUGCGAUGGAUGAAAUAUCCUUUUGAGAAUUUAAUGAUUUAUCUCAUUUAUGACUUAUUGUUGCAGUUAAGUGAUAUUACAAGUAAUUUUUGCAAUAAUAUUAUUGUUUUGAUGAGUAAGUUUGGAGUAAAUAAUACAUAUGACAAGCGUGAGGUUUGUUAUUGUGUUUAUUCUAUGGAUGUAUUUUAAAGCAAAAAAAGGCACCGAUUCAUUAUGAUUCCAGAUAAUUUCAACUCAUAAGUAAUUAUUGGGAUAAAAAUAAAGUAAAAUGGUUAAAACUAUUUUUAUGUAAUUUAUAAAAAUCAAUGAAGCAACUACAAAAAUUUUUAACAUGAAAAACAAUUAAAAUGUGUGUGGAAAAAAAAAAGAAGGCAUUUAAAUAUCUUUUAAAAAAAUAUGAUUGAGUAAAAUCAUUUUAAGGAAUGCUCUUCCAAAUGCAAUUCCACCCUUUUUUUAUUGCAUUGGGAUAUCCCAAAAUUGGCAAAACUCAUUAAGAAUUCGGCAAUUCAAUUUUUAUUUAUCUCUCUAUGCAUUUGACAAAUCAAAAAGAAAAAAAGUUCAUAUAUCUUCUGUUCAAAAGAAACCUUGUUAAAUAUUGUAAAACAAAUAACUAAUUUUUUUCAUUUAUGCCAUUAUAUUGUCACUAUUUACUCGCCCACUCUCUGAAAAUAGAAUCAAUAUUUAUUGAUGGGUUAGGUUCCAAAGUAAGCACCAAUUCAGCAAAAUGGUUUUAUAGCAGAAAAAGCACUUGUGGGACAUUCAGAACCCAUUUUUCCAUUUUGUCUUUUGAAAAUGAGUCUUGAGUUUCCACAAGCCAAGAAGAAUGGCUAACAAACGAAUGGUACCAAAGAAAGAGAAACACACAUACAGAGACAGAGAUUAUUGGGGAGAUAUAAAUGUUUGUUUAAUAUGUAUAUAUAUAUAUCCCCAUUAAUUGUUGAUAGUCCAAUGGGUAUGUGCAAAAGGAAAAAAAUUGACUGUCCUUUAAGACAAAAUUGAUUGUCACAAGAAAAUGUUUGCACUCUUGCACACAACAAAAAUAAAGAUUCCAAGAACAAAUUUAUGGUACUCGUUUUUGUCCAAACUUAUGCGAUAAAAAUUAGUUUAAAUGACGCUUGAAAUACGUAGACCUUCACAGAAUUGAUUAGAUAUUUAUAGUAGGAUGGAGUGAUAAAUAGUUUCACAAAAUUAUUGGAAUUAACUAAUUAAUACAUGAGAUCUAUCUCAUUAAGAAUAAAAGAUUAAGAUGUUACUUCAAAAGCGUGACAUUGCUGGCAACAAAUUUAACACAAAAGUUUAAUUAAUUUUCCUAGUUGACAUAGUAAAAUCUCAUGUUGAAAAAAAAAAAAAAGUUUCAGGUUUGAUCCUUCUCAUUCAAGAAAAUCAAGCCAAAAUCAGUACAUCGUCCAGCAUAUAUCAAAGAUUUUUUCAAAGGCAAACUAAUAAUUCACGGGAGGAAAAAAAGAAAAAAAGAGAAGGAACAUAUGCUAUUCAAGACAUGUAUAGUUUGGACAUGAAGUCUAAGCCCAGAACAAUAAGCACCUAGCUGAGUUUUCAAUUUCCAAAACCCAACAAAAUCUUUGUCAAAAUAUCUGAUCUAGUCCCAUAUUAAGCACAUUCAUAGCCGUAUCAACAGGUUCAAAAUAUUUUCCCCAAAAAGAGAUAGAGAUUCCAUUGAGUUGUGAUUGUCCAAACGUUCUGUAACAAGUUAUGGGAGCCCCUAUGUUACAAUUAAUGUAACAUACACACUCAACAACAACCACACAAGUUAUGGUUAUUCUUGUAACACAAAUCCAAUAUUGCGCAACAAAAUUUUUUUUCUAGCUCGAUGGAUUAGUUUUAAAUUAAAAAAAAAAGAGUAAAAAGACCAACCAUGCCUGUGAAUCCUUUUUUUUUUAAUUUUUCUAAAUCUAUCAAAUGAAAAUGUAAUUAUAUGGUUCAGGAUACCAAUAUGCCUGAUCUGCAAUGGUUGACUUGCACUAUCCUAGAGGGGCUAUACUUUAUGUUGAAUUUCCUUGUUUUUUUUUUUAAAAAGAAAAAAUUACUAGGUUUAUUAUUGAAAAUCUUCGACACAUUUUAUGUAAGAUACCAUAAAGCCAAAUACAACCUUUUUUAUUCUCAGCAGCAACUUUUUUUUUCCAUAUAAAUAAUGUGGAAAAUAGCACCACCUUUUCUAGAAGGUGGUGCCCACCACUUUUGAAGAAGAAUGCGGUUGUUACUGCAUUCUUUGAAUCAAAGAAAAUGUUAAAAGUCAUGGCUGGCACCGACCAUCUAGAUGGCCAGUGCCAUGCCAUUCAACACGGCCCGCCAUUGUUGGUGGUGCUGUGUUGACUUGUUAAAAGAAAAGAGCCAAAAUUUUGGCUAUAUAAAGAGGGGUUCCUACCCUCAUUUUAGUAUCCAAUUCCGUGGGAGCAGUUAGUCUAUACAUGGCGAAUCCGGGUGGAGAGCAUUGGAUAGCUGUGAAAAUGAUUCUGAGAUACAUCAGAGGAACCUCAGAUGUUGCAUUAUGUUAUUGAGGAUCAGAAUUUACUGUCAGAGGCUAUGUGGAUUCAGAUUUUGCAGGAGAUCUUGAUAAAAGAAAAUCCACUAUUGGUUAUGUGUUUACACUUGCGGGAGCAGCUGUAAGCUGGGUUUCUAAACUGCAGACCGUUGUGGCUUUAUCUAUAGCAGAAGCAUAAUACAUGGCAGCUAUACAAGCUUGCAAGGAAGCUAUUUGGAUACAAAGAUUAUCGGGCACAAACAACAGAAAAUUUCUGUAUUUUGUGACAGUCAGAGUGCUUUGCACAUUGCAAGGAAUCCAGUCUUUCAUUCCAGGACAAAGCACAUAGGAGUUCAGUAUCACUUCGUUCGAUAAGUAGUGGAAGAUGGAAGUGUGGAUUUACAGAAAAUCCAUACGAAGGAGAACCUAGCAGAUGUUUUGACCAAGCCGAUAAAUGCUGACAAGUUUAUCUGGAGUAGAUCUUCUUGUGGCCUAGUAGAAACGUAGGCAACAUGACUAUGGCGAAGCAGAAAGGAUGGUGUGGAGAUUAAUUGAUUCUCAAUCAAAUCUCCAAGUGGGAGAAUGUGGAAAAUAGCACCACCUUUUCUAGAAGGUGGUGCCCACCACUUUUGAAGAAGAAUGCGGUUGUUGCUGAAUUCUUUGAAUCAAAGAAAAUGUUGAAGGAUUUGGUGCCGCCUAAAGAAAACUUUGACAAAGAAGAAAGAAAAAUCUGCAAAAGGUGGUUGGUACACCAAAUGAAAGAAAAAAAUAAUAAUUAAAUUAUUAUUUUAAUAGCCAAUUUUGGCUAUAAAAAUGGAGAGCUCCAUUUUGAUUUUGGCAUCCAAUUUUGUAGAAAGAGUCGAGAAUUGUGAGAAGUAAUUCUUGCAGAGCAGAGAGUUUUGUGUACUUAGUGUUUUGAGAGUUUGGGUGUAUUGGGGUUUUGGGUAGUGAGCUAAAAUACUACAAUACUUGUAACUACUUUUCACUAGUAUAAUAUUUUCCUUCUGUUUUCGUACGUGGACGUAGGCUAAAAGUCGAACCACGUAAUUUCUGGUGUCCUCUAUUGUGCUUGUUCUUUAUUUUCUUUCAAUUUUACUUUAGCUACGGUUCUGCUUAACCCACCAAUUUACUAACAAAUAACGCUUUAAACAUUAUUUGCAACAAGGAAGAAUUAUUUCAUGCUUUCAGGUAUUACAAACUUUCCAGAAAGCCACGGUAGCCAAGAGGAGCACAAAUCGGGAGUUUUUUGGAGGUACUAUAAAACUACUUAUUUUUCUAAUUAUGAGAUCGCCAACCAACUGUUACAAUUAUUAUUAUUAUUUGGCAAACCUCUACAUGACAAUGGAGAUUUAUUAGAUUUAAAAUGGAUAAUUUCAAACAUCUCAUAUUAUAUUGAUCCUUUCAAAAUCAAAUUACACGCAAAGCUGUUAAAAAAUUAAUAAUAAUAAGUAAAUCAACGGCAAAGAGGGAAAAUUAUACAUUUAAAUCAUUAAUUUAUUAUGAAAAUUUUCGUUUUACACUGCGAGUUAAGGAUGGCAAUGGAUCGGAUCUGACCCAAGAUCCAUAUGAUCCAAAUCCAAUUGGAUCGGAUUUGGGUUGGAUUAAAGUGGAUUUGGAUGGAUUUGGAUGUCAAUGCGUGGAUCUAAGGCGGAUCUGGAGCAAAUUCAGAUUUAUCUUAAUAUCUAUAUCCAAAUCUAUAUUCACUCACCAUUUAAUGUAAUUUUAUUUUAAAAAAUUCUUAACAAUUAUGUAAUUAUAAAUGAUGAUAAAAUUUAUUCAUUAGCAUGUAUUUAAGAAUCUUAAAACUUAAAGGUACUUAAUUGAUAAUAAGACAAAAAAUUAUCAAGUGUAAAAUAAAACUAGGAUAGCCUGCCCUAAUUUUUUUAAGUUUUUCACUCUACAAUUUAGUCUCUUUUUUCCUCUUUAGUUUACUCUCGCUUCUCCACUUCAUUUGAAUGAUUGGAUCAGUUCUUUAAUUGUUAGGAAAAUCCAUAGACUUGGGUUUAUUUUUCUACCAUUUUCUCAUAAUCUUAUUUAUUUUGUAUAAUCACUAAUCAAUGGUGGCUAUCAACUAUAAAAUAAUUAUGUUAAUCAUAUAUUUCGUUAAAUAUGAUCAUAAUAAAAAUAAUAAAGCACUGAAUAUAAUAAAUCAUUUUUAACUUAUAUGUUAUUAUUUAAUGAUAUAGGAAUGAUGAUGGUGUGCAGUGGAUAUCAAGAUAGUAAAGGAGACAUUAGAAUAUUAUAAUGAUCUUAUUCCUUCAAUUACUUUUGAUCGAUAUUUUAUUGUCUUUCUUAUUUAUUUAUUUUGGUGUAAAAGUAGAAGCUGCAAUACUUAUUAGAUUUUUUGUACACAUUAUAUAAUUUAAUUGUUACCAGUGCAUUUUAGUCUUAAAUUUUAUUUCUAAAAAAAUUGAUCUCUUAUUAUUGAGAUUUAGAAUUCAUGAUGGAUCUAGAGCAGAUUUGGAUUUUAAUUUUUCUUUUUGGAUUUGGAGCAGAUAUAGAUCUUUAUUUUUUGUUUCGGAUCUAGAUAUGGAGCAAAAAAUAUAGAUCCAUGACGAAUCUGAAGCAGAUAUGGAUUUUAAUUUUUAUUACGGAUUUAGAUCUGGAACAAUGUAGAUCCAAUCCAUAUCUGCUCCAUUGCCAUCCCUACUGCGAGAUAUAGCAUUCUUCAAUUAAUCACAUCAUACUUGUUGGAUGAGUUUCGAAUAACCCAAAAACGACACGUACAUUACUUCAUUGCAUUGGUAGCAGUUUGGUGCUUUGGGUUUGAAAAUGGACCAAGCUCGUGCAAUUACAAUUCUUUUAUGCCAAUAGGAAAACUAGACCCUAUUUUUAGUUAAAUGUACACAAAAUAGGAAAACUAGGUCCUAUGGUUUAUUUAAAUGUACACAGACAUCUCUCAAUUUUUUAAAAAAAUUGUUAAAUAAUUUUUUUCUUUUACUAUCAUAAUCUUUACCUAUGGCAACCAAAAAAAAAAAUGAUUUUAUCAUAAUCGUCCCAUGCAACACCUCUCUCAUGAUCACGCAUGUAAUGUACCUCAUCAAACCAAGCCACUUCACGCGUAAUCUCCGAACCUUAUAGUUUAUACUGCAUACUACGCCAGAUUUCAGUAGUCAUCACCUGAAAUUAAAACAAAUCAAAGCGCUGCAACACCCAAAAGAUGACACUACCAAGUUGACCUACCAAACAAGAAGCAUUAGGGUCAAUUGUGACAUCCCCAGUCAUCAAACCAACAUCUGAAAACUCUUCUUUAAACUCCCUGUACUUCUGAUUGCUAAGUGCCUUAAUCGGGGAAGUAUAUAUCACACGUUGCUUAUUCCGCAACGACAUAGCAAUAGCAUACAAUGCUACCACAGUUUUCCCAGCAGAUGUAUGGGCCGAUAAUGAAAGGCAAAUCCAUUUUUUUAAAAAAAAAAAAAACUAUUUUUAUUUUCACACAAGAUAACACUUGAUGCAAAAAAUUGGCAGAGCACUUUCUACGAAAGGACUUCCAAAUUCAAAUUAAAUUUUUUACAAAAAAUUAGAGCUUUAUUGUGUGCGCGCGGGCGCGCGUCCGUGUAUAUUUUAAUAAUAAUAAUAAUAAACGAACCAUAACGGACUCGCCGUUGUCGAGGCACUUGAUAGCUUCGGACUGGAAUCAUCUUCUGAAAUUAGUACAUUCCAUGCUUCGGAAUCAUCUUGCAUGAUUGGUCGAGAGUGAAAGGGAAUUCCUUAGCAGGUUUAGCGUCAGCUUCAGGCACUUGACCAAGACGCAUUAAACAGAAAAUGCGGCGUUUUCAUGGACUAGUACAUUCCAUGCUUCGAAAGUUUUAUGUUUUAGACUGAUUGGUUUGAUACAUUAUUUGUUUAUUGCAUUUUUCUUGCUUUAAAUAUUAUGUUGGAUUGAUAAGUUUUGUACACAUUUAUAUUGCUCGCAGUAAAUAAUUUAUUACAUUUAAAAAACUAUCAACCGUCUAUCAAAAGAUUUCUACUAUAAAUAUAUGUACACAACAAACUUUUAAUUUGGUCAAUUUGUUCUCUUAUUUAUUUUUGUUCUAUUUCUCUUUUCCUUUCAUUUCAUUUUAUUGUUUUAUGGUACAAAAAAAAAUAACCUUAAAAUUUAAGGGUAAAAUACUCAUUUUACUAAAUUCCGUUUAAUAUCAUAAUGCUGUCAAUGGACAAUGGCAAAGUACACGAGUGAUACAAAUUAAAAACAAAUAAAUUGAAAGUUUUUAUGUAUUUUCCUUUUAUUUUUUUAUAGCCGAUUGAGAUUUCCCUUCGUAUUCUUAAAUUCAAUACGUUUAGACCAUUUAAAAAAUUUUAAAUUAAAAAAAACCCGUGGUGUAAUAACAAACUCACAUCAAACCCUGUCCACUGUCAUCCCUAAUAAUAUUUACCACUUCAUACUCAAGAGUGAUAAUAACUGUGUAUCACAAUUGAUUUUGCAUACGGGUAAAAGUUCCAAGUCUGGAUAUUUAGUUAACGAAAUUGAUGAAAAGGGCACGAAAGAAAAUAAGAAAUUAAAUAAUACAGGUGGUAUUAAUCAUUACAUAUUUAGUUAAUGAAAAUUGAUGAAAAUAUUUCUGCAGACAUGAGCCGUAAUUAUAAUACCGUUAAGAAUGAAGCGGCAGAGUUUCCCCAAACAAGCUAAAACACGGCACCUGAAUUUAAAGAAUUUUUAUGUCACAGUAUCGGGACAAAAAGUUUAAUGCAAUAACAUACAUUAAGUUAAUUCCAUAAUCUAUCACCAAAGAAAGACAAACACAAGCUUAUAAGAUUAGAACUUUGGAAAACAUUGAAGAGUCGGACAAAAUUGUGUAACCUUCAGAGUUUAGAGCCUAGUUCAUCCAGGAAAGCAAAAGAAAAUAAUAAUAAUAAUGGUGGUUUGAUCUCAAAAGGUGGCAUCAAAGUGGUAACUUUGAGGUAUUGGAAGCAAUAACGUCUUCAACUUUGUCCUGAUUUCGAAGUCCCUUAACCCAUCCGCCAUCAAUGGAUUGAAUGCUUCCAUUCAACCCAUCAUCCACAAAAUCACCAACCCGUUUCACCUUCAUCUCCUACGCUUAACAGGGUACUUCCCAGAGAAGCUAGCAUAACAAAAAUUCUGAGAAUCAUUGCCUAACAACUUGUUCAAGAUGUCAAUCGGCAGAGAAGCAAGCAAAUCACACCCAAUAAACUCCCUGAUUUCCUCGACGCUCAUCCUGUUGGAAAUCAACUCCUCAGUACUCGGAGUGUCCACUCCAUAGUAACAAGAAGCUAUGAUUGGUGGGCUUGCAAUUCUCAUGUGAACCUCUUUAGCUCCAGCCUCCUCAAGCAACCUAACAAUUUUGGAUGAAGUUGUUCCUCUCACUAUCGAAUCAUCGACAACCACAACUCUCUUUCCCUCCAACACUCCCCUUACAGGAGAGAGCUUAAGCUUGACACCAAAGUCCCUAAUCUUCUGGGAAGGCUCAAUGAAAGUUCUCCCAACAUAGUGUGACCUUAUCAACCCUUGUUGAAAUGGCACCUCGGCUUUGGCAGCGUACCCAAGUGCAGCCACCACUCUAGAAUCUGGUACUGCAAUCACGACAUCACACUCAACAGGAGCCUCGGUAGCAAGUACUUCCCCAAAAUGAUUCCUCGACUCAUAAACAGACCUUCCAAAAACAACAGAAUUAGGCAAAGCAAAAUAAAUAUGCUCAAAGAUGCACUGCUUAGGUUCAGGGUGAGGGAUGAAACAAAGUGAUUGAACCCCAUCUUUAUCCACCAUCAAAACUUCUCGGGGAUGUACCUCUCUCUCGUAUGUGGCCUCAAUCAAAUAGUGCACAAGUCUCUGACGCAAAAACCACAGCACCAUUACUCCUCCUACCCAUCACCAACGGCCUAAACCCGUACGGGUCACGAACCGCAACAAGCUUAUCCUCAGUAACAAACACCACUGAAUAAGCACCCUCAAGCUUCUCACAAGCAUCCACAAUCCUCAAAAAGAACGGCCUAGCUUUCGAUAUCGCAAUCAAAUGGAGAACAACCUCAGUAUCAGAACUAGUAUUAAAAAUGGAACCAUUAUCUUCAAGCUUAGCCCUCAAAGUAUUAUAGUUAAAUAAAUUCCCAUUAUGUGCAACACCUAGAGAACCAAACCUGUACCCAGCAACAAAAGGCUGCACAUUCUUAAGCAUGCAGUCGAAUAUCUAACAUGACCAAUGGCCAUAUCGCCAGGCAAUUGAUCAAGUUUAGACUGAUUAAACACAUCAGAGACUAAACCAGCACCGGUAAUAGACUGAAGAACUUUAUUAUUCACAGCAACUAUAACUACACCUUCUUGGCCGCGAUGCUGCAGAGCGUGCAGCGCCAAAUAGCACAAACGCGAGGCCUCUGGGUCACCGUAUGAAACGACCCGCCCCGAAUCCCCCGGGCGAGUCAAUCUAGUCUCAUCAAAACGGAUUUGAUAAUAAUCUAAUUAGUAAGGAUUCUGCCGAAAAUUAGGCAAAGUCUCCUUUAUAUAUAUAACACUCCCAAUCUACAAAUAUGAAUAUAACACUCCUAAUAUAAUUCAAUAUACAACAAACUCCAGUGACCAACAUCCUCAACCAAAAUGCUGAGUUUUAUAUCUCUAGAGUCUCAAAAGAUAAUAUUAUAACUAAUAUUAAUAUUUUAGUUUAUUCUUAAUCCCAAAAGAAUAAUACAACAAAAAUUAUACAAUCCCAACAGGACAAGAUAAUCAAAAGAUGUCCUAACAAAAACAUUUAUAUCUUCUAACAUCAUCACGUGGCCAAGACUCAAAAUAUAUUUACAGUCGCUGGGUCGGUCUAGUGUACCUGCUACCUCCUGGUGAGGGGGAAAAAAUAUAAUAAAAACGGGGUGAGUUUAAAACUCAGUGAGAUCAGUGAGUGGAUAGUAGUUUUUGAAAAUUAAUACUUACUUUAAAAGAAAUAUUCAUAUAAUUUCCAAACACGAUUUCAUCAAAUCAUAUGCAAGAAACCAAUAGUAAAUCAUUUACAUUUAAAUCAGAUUACUAACCAUGAAAAGCAUAUAUAAUAUUGUACCAAAUAACCAUAGAAAUUAUAUUACAAUAUCAUAUAUAAUACACAAAUUUGAAAAUCAUCACCAAACAAGUACCUAGAGAAAUAAUCUCAUCAUAUCCGGACCUCAACGGACGGGCAAUGACGUUCUAUCUGGGUACCGUCAUGCCCCAGAGUUACACGGAUAGACAGGGAAAUAUCAUCUCAUAUCUCAUCAUAUCUUAUCAUAUAUGUGCGUGCAUAAUCUAGUCCCCAAAGGACAAAAGCGCCCAAGCACACGGCUCAAAGCCUCUGUGUGUACUCAGACGGGCCCCAAAGGCUUGUAUCUCAUCUGUAUCAUCUGUAUCUCAAUAUCUGUCUGUAUCUCAUAUCUGUGUAUCUGUAAUCAUCAUACCGCAUGCAUAUGCCCUCAAAAGGCAAAAACGCCCAAACACACGGGCCAAAGCCUCUAUGUGUGUUCAAACGGGCCCCAAAGGUCUCUCAUCUCAUCUCAUCUGUAUGGGUACUAUCUAGUGAUUUCAAAAACAAUCAUUAUACUCAUAUUCACAUACUUUUUUAACCAUAUUUUAAAUCAUACCACAUUUGAAUCCACUUUUCUUAUCUUUAAAAUAUUAUCAUGCUUAUUCAAAGUCGAUACAAAAAAUCAUUAACCAAACAUUUUAAUAAAAUACCAAUACGUGGACAAAAUCCAUUUCGAGGUAAUCAUUAAAUCAGAUCAUUUAAAAUACUUAUUUUGCAAACAUGCUUUACUAUCAUAAUUAACUAUGAAAAUAAGUUUUGUAUAUUCUACUCAUAGUGACGGUGUUCACGCUUGGUUAUCGUCUACGUCCGCAAACCGAUUCUUGCUCGUGGAUCCUCCUAAAUCAAGGAAAUAACAUAAAUAUUUUCCGUAAAACGGAAUUAGGACUAAAUUUAUGCAAUAAACUCGAAACGAAAAUCUAUCCAUAAUUUACAACUCCCGUGUCGAUAAAACUGCUAAAAUGUCCUCGAGUCCAUAAAUCAUUAAAAUACUUCGAAAUCGGAAAUCACUGAAUUACCCUCGGAAUCGUAAUUACACCAAUCCUCACUUCUAGGAAUUACUAAAAUAUCAAUAGGCUCAGAAAUUACAAAAUUGCCCUCAUAGUGUGAAAUUACCGAAAUGCCCUUGUCGAUCAACAGUCACUGGAAUUUGGUCAACGUUGGCCGGGAAGCACAAGUCUGAAAGUUCCAAUCAUGCUGAGUUCAAUGGUACCGGCGGUGAGCUCCAACGCGCGGCAACGACGUUGGAAUCUAGCUCGGCAACCGUGAAUUCCAACAAUUGACCGGCGGCGAAACAGUGACUCCCGGUGCCUAUGGAUGGUCGAAAAUGGAAGAAGGAGUCAUGAGGAACAAAAUCCAACCAGUGGUGUCACCCAAAACCGGUGAAAAUCCCGGUGGAACAAAAUGAAACAGUCGCGGGUUUUCAAGCUUCGAUCACCGGCGUUCCGGUUGGUUUUCGGCGGCGAUGGCAGGGGAACGACGGCUGGCUUCUAAGCUUCAGAUUGGUACCAAGCUCGGCCGAAACAGUGGCCGAAAAUGAAAGUUAUGGCCGGGUCAAUUUCGCAGGUCGUGUCGGGUUUUCCGGGUCAGUUGAUAGCUUCUGUUACUCUCAUACGUGUGUGUAUAAGUUCCAUGUUUCUAACUUAUUCUAUUAUUUUUAAUAAAGUCUUUAACCGCCUCAAUUUCAUUUUUAAUUCACAUAUGUUACAAUCCUCCCCCCUUAUAAAAAUUUCGUCCUCGAAAUUUACGUACCUGAUAAGAAAAGAUAGGGAUACUGAGCUCGCAUUAAGUCCUCGCGUUCCCAGGUAGCCUCUUCCUUUGUAUGAUUCUUCCACCAUACUUUUACUAAAGGAAUGGUCUUAGAAUGCAGAACUUGGUGUUUCUCUUCCAAUAUCUCAACUGGUUCCUUUUCGUAAGUCAAAUCUUCCUUCAACUGAAUUGGUUGCUACGAUAACACAUGACUCGGGUCAUAUAUGUACUUCUGGAGCAUUGAGACAUGAAAUACAUCAUGGAUUCUGGAUAACUCGGGUGGUAGAGUUAAUGGACCAAUGCGCUCAAUGAUCUCAUAUGGCCCAAUGUAAUGUGGACUUAGCUUCCCACGUUUCCCAAAUCGAAGCACCCUUUUCCAAGGAAAUAUCGGUAUGAAAACUCUAUCACCAACUUCGAAUUCAAGUUCCCGCCUACGCUUGUCUGUACAGCUCUUUUGUCUAUCUUGAGCCACCUUUAAUCUAUCCCGGAUCAAUUGUAUCUUCUCGUUAGUAUCUUGGACAAGUUCUGAACCGAAUAACCUCCGCUCACCAACCUCAUCCCAACAUAUUGGAGUCCUGCAUUUUCUACCAUACAAAGCCUCAUAUGGUGCCAUCUCAAUACUAGCUUGAUAGCUGUUGUUGUAAACAAACUCCAUCAGAGGUAAAUGAUUGUCCGAUUUACCUUUCAACUCCAUAACACAAGCUCGCAACAUAUCCUCUAGAGUUUGAAUAGUACGCUCUGAUUGUCCAUCAGUCUGUGGAUGAAAAGUUAUACUGAAGUUCAACUUUGUGCCUAAGGGAUUUUGCAAGCUAGUCCAGAACUUAGAAGUAAACUGGGAAUCUCUAUCUGAAACUAUAGACACGAGUACUCCGUGAAGUCGAACUAUCUCAGCCACAUAAAUACUCCCUAACUUGUCCAUCGAAUAGGUGGUUGAAUGGUAAGAAAUGAGCAGAUUUUGUAAGUCGAUCAACAACUGUUAGAGUGCAAUUUAUGCACUAGUUUUGCAUUGUUUACUUCCCUUAAUAUCGAUGUUUUGCACUUAAUAAUAAUGUUUUACUUGUGUUUUACUUUUGUAGGUGCAAUUCUAUUGAUUGGUGAUAAAAUUGAGCUAAAAGAUGAUGUUUAAGGAGGAUUUUUCUCUUGGAGAAAUUAUGAGCGUCAGAAGAACUUUGUUGAUAAGGCGUGGGCGCGUGCUGUCAACUGCGGACCUGCAGUUUUUAGUUUAACGUGUUUUGUAUUUUUGGUUAUUUUUGUAAUUACGAAUUUAAUAUUUCAGAUAUUAGUAUUUUAUUUUAAAUAGAAUUCUAAAAGAGAAGAGAGAGAGAGUAUUUAAGGGAGGAAUCUAUUGUGAAAAAGGGGGGAUUUUUGGAUUGGAGAAAAAGAAAGAAACCCUAGAUUUAAUUUUUCUCUCCUCUCUAUGAAGAACUAAACCUAUUUUUCUGGUUGAAGGAUAACGAAGCUUUGAUUCAUCACUACUGUGAGAUCUUUCUUGUGCUUUAAUUGUUUUAUUGCUUUUUGGGUAUUUGUUUAUUCUCUGAAUUAGUUUCAUGAUUAUGUUUGUUAAUUAGGUAAUUGGCCACUAUUUAAUUAUCAACUUAAUCUAUUGUCAAUUAAAGGAUUCAUCGUAUGAAGAAUUUAAUGCUUGUGACAAAUAACAUAGCAGAGAGUUGUGUUGUGAGAAUAAACAAUCUAAUUUAAAUAAAUCAUCAUAUGUGUUGAUUAGGAUUUGGGUCUCUCUGGUUUUUCAGGCUGUCAAUUGAUUAAAUUCUAUGAUCGUAUCUAGGGUUGUCUAUUGAUUAGGGAAAUAACCAACGGUCGUACCUUGGUUAUCGACUAGUUAAGGAGAGAUUGGCUAUUAGAGGGUCUCAGUAGCUAUAACCGGUCUAUUCAUGAGUAAUAAUAAUCUAUAUUUGAAUCAAUGAUCAGUAGUCGAAUCAAGCUGAGUUAAUUCCUUCAACCAGAGCUUUCUCUAAUUUGAAUUACAACUUUAAUUUGCAUUCUUGUUAUUUUAAUUUGAUUUUUAUUAUUGUCAACAAUUCCCCCAUUUUACGUUUUACGUUUCAAAAGGAUUUAAUUAAUUACCGAUCUCUGUGGACACGACCCUGCUCAAUCACUAUACACAAUUUAUUUAGAGUAGGAAUUUAUUUUUGUUGGCUUCGACACCCAUCAACAACCACCCAAACACUAUCAUGUCCUUUCUGAGUACGUGGAAGUCCUGCUACAAAAUCCAUGGUGAUGUGCUCCCACUUCCACUCAGGAAUAGGAAGCGGGUGAGAACACCCUGCAGGCCUCUGGUGUUCAGCCUUAAUCUGCUGACAGACUAAAUAUCGAGAAACAAAUUCUGCUAUCUCUCUCUUCAUACCCUGCCUCCAGUAAUGAUCCAUUAGGGUGCGAUACAUCUUCGUACUACCAGGAUGCAUCGCAUAUGCUGAACAAUGAGCUUAUUCCAUAAUCUCUUCUUUCGGAUCUUUAAUAUCAUGUACACAGAGUCUAUUACCCAUGACUAAGACUCCAUUGCCUCUCACCGUAAAAUCGGUUCGUAAACAUUUUUGCACAUCCUCUUUCAACUGCAUUAACUGUGGGUCCUGAGCUUGCAUCUGGUGAACUUUGUGAAUCAAAGUCGGCCUAACUCGAAAAUUAGCUAUCAAAGCUCCACAAUCGUCACCGUUCAACUCGACUCCCAAAGAUCUCAACUCGAUCAACAGAGGCAUCUAUUUCACUCGCAAGUGAGCUAUAGAGUUGGAAGACUUCCUACUGAGUGCAUCAACUAGAAAAAACAUACCUCUUUGAGAUACUGCAAAUUGGCUUUAAGUUCAAUACUGUUGAUGGUCAAGUUGGGACAGUAAUGAAGUUGUAACUCUUCCAAUGCUGUCCAAAUUGAACAAUAAUUUUCUUAACAGAAGCUGACGAGUUCUGGGAGACUUCGAAGUGUUAAUUCUCUUAACAAAGGGAGGGCGAGCAUCGUAUUUCCAUCUCUGACACUUAUUUCCCCUUCAUUGUGAUCAAACUUUGCUUCGACAAUACAUUCCAGCCUGUCGCAAUAAGUCACACUGAGACUUUUAAGCUGCUCCAAACUUCGAGCUUGUGACAACGUGAAGAUAUAUGUCAAAUUAUGGCAGCCAUACACACUCAAUUCUGUAAGAGUUUGGAGGCUGAUCACAUGUUGGGCAGGCGCCUUCCACAUCCACUUUGCUAAUCUUGAGAGCACCUCAUGAUUCCCACUCUUUCAAUGCGGCGACUGAGAGGCGUCCGCAUUGCAUUCUAAAUCUUCACAAUAGUUGACAAAUAGAUGAGUCAACUCAUUUAAGCCCCCUUCAUCUAUGCUUGGAACAAUAUUAUGGAGACCUAUUAUCCUUUUCAAAUUAAGAAAUUUCAGAUUUUGACACAAUGUCGAAAAAAUACUGAGCGAGGCCGCUUCACAAUAGUUAAUCAUUAAGCACCUGCUCCGUCCAAAAAAUUCAUCUUCUUUUUUCGUUCCAACUUCAAGUUUGUUACAGUUACUGACGAAGUACAUUUGCAAUUUUGGAAAUGUAAAGUCUUUUGAAAGACGUACAAUUUUUUGUUCAAUAUGUAAAGUCUUUCCAUCAUCAUCUUGGAUUUCAUCAUCGUCGGGUUGGGAGUUCAACUCAGCAGCCCUAGCGUAACUUUCUUCUGAACUCAUCCCUUCAGCCUCCCAAUCUUUUAUCCAACCAUAAAAUUCUUCUAAUUGAGGAAAUUUUUUUAUCGUAAUAGGAGAAAUAGAACCAGAAUCAAUGAAUAGAAGAAGUUUCAAUCUACUAAGUUGAUCCUCAAAUUCUUCAGGAACUUCAAUGGGAGACCCAUUGACACAAACAAUUUGAAGUCUCUUCAACUUUCCAAGGAAAGACGCGUCACUCACUUUACAUCGAAUCAACUGCAGAACUUGGAGGUUGGUGAGGAAUUAAAGCGAUUUAAGUGAAAGAACUCCACCUAUUAUAGUAAUAACUUUUAAUGCUGGCAUCUUUUCGAAAAAAUAUUCUGGAACUUGCAAUCGGUCGCCAUAUUUAGCAUUCUCCAAUCGCAAAAUAUGAAGGUUAGGGCAUACCAAACCACUUGGAAGCUCUUUUUUUUCAUUUCCCAUCAAAAAGAUUCCUUUGUAUUUUUCCACUGCCUGUUCCGCCAAUCCAAUGCCAACUUUACUAGUAAAAUAUUUUUUCUCCAUUGAGCCUAUCCAUAAGGCUACAUCACGAACAAUGUCAUGCGUUUUCACAAAUCUGUCAUUACCAGCAUCUAAUAGCAGUGAAGAAGCUUUGAGCUCUUUAAUCGUUCCACUCAAUAGGCUCCUGACUUUUUCAAUUGACUCAGCUCGAUACCAUCUCAACCCCACUGCAUAUCCAACC